CUUGUGCUUUUCGCUUCCAGAAACCUUUCCAUUCCUAAUGAUUUCCCAAUCUUGGCGGGAAAACAUAUUCUCUGGUUUUCCGGAUACAACGCUGGAUUUAGGAAAGAAAUUCUGAGUGUUCCACCAGUAGGUUAACCAAGGUAUAUAGUGAGCAGCUCGAAGCGCCCAUUGAUCCUGCGGAGGUUGCUUCUUAUAGGCAUAAGAUGACAAGUUGGCAGGAAGUCCUGGCCACCAGUAGUUGAUCACCGGAGCGAUCAGCACUGCUCCUGCUAGCCUGUUGUAAUAGGCAUCUCAAACACAUCGAACUUUAGAGAAAAAAUUUCAGUACCGAACGAUGCAUACCGAAGGAGGCUUCUUGUAAAAUCUUACCUAUGAGGGAUGUACUGAAGACACUUCCAGAUGCACUGUCCUCCCAUUGAGUAUCCAAUCACAUAAAAUUUGGAUCCGAGUUCCAGCUGAUCACCAAGCUCCUCUAUAUCUAACGCCAAGCUCUUCGUUGUUCGCUUAGGAUCCGGAUCACUUUCACCGUACCCUGGUCUGUCGAAAGACACAAUGUACACACCUAAAUCUUCAAUAACUUCCUGAGAAAAAAAAAAAAAAAAACAUCCGCCACGAAAUCAACCAAAAUAGAGUUGAACUGAAGAAUGACAGAGAACCAAUCAAGGUAGUACCGGAGAGACAGAUGUUGCAAUGACUGGAUCAUGUCGGGAAGUACCGAAGGGAUGAACAAAGAUAAUCUUAUACUUGGCCACUUGUUUUGGAACACCAUGUUCCUUGUAGGCCAAAAAUCUUCCAUCCCUUAGCCUUAUUCUAGGCGCUGUGACAGGUGGACCGCCAGGCGAACCACAGAUGUUCGGAGGGGGUGGUCGGGCGGCCUGAUGUGCCCACGCCAGCAAUCCAACCAACAAGAUGAAUGCGAUCCUGUUAAACAUCAUUGAGAAGAUGAAGUAUGGAGCUUUGCUCAACUGCAGUGAAGAAGCAAAUACAAAAAUAACAUUACACUUGAGGACAUUAUAUAAUAAGUUCUAAUUUUGCCUCAAUUGGAUCACUCCAAUUUUUAAGAGCUCAAAUAAAAAUGGUGUAAUGUAUAAACAAUACAAAUACAAACACACUUUUCAUUUAUCGAAAAUGAUAUUCUAAUAUCUAAACAACAAGAGACGGAUUCCAAUAUUUAAGAGAACGCGGUGUUCUAACCAACUAGGUUAUACUAAUUGUUUCUAUAGCGAACACAAUCAAUAAAUAAGUUGGAAAUUAAAAGAUGCACUCCUUUGUUUAACCGAAACCACAAGAAAAGAAAAUCAUAUGCACAUAAAAAAUCAUACUUCCUAAUGUGCUUUUUUGGAAAAAACUUACCACCAAUGCUCCUCCCUCUGAUAUUUAUAUGUUUAUGCAGAAGAAAAUGGCAGAAACAGGCUGAGUGAGCAGCUGCUUUUAGCUUUAGUGUGGUGCUGAAGCUGCCGGUGUCGGUGGGCUGCUUGUUUUCGUAUUGACAAACGAAGAAGAUAGAGAAGUCAUGAAGAAAAUUCGUCCAUCACAAUGAUGAGAAGUCAGAAAGAUGAGAAGGGAUAUAGUUUUGUUAGACAUUUUUAAUUCAUUAUGGUGUUUGGUAUCGCGUUCCACCUAACACAAGUUACACAACCAGCCACACAGAAAAAUCCAUCCACUGAUGAUUUUGGCAUACCUUCCCGGCUUUCCUUUUCACCUUUUUUAUCUUUUUCUGUAUUGGAACUUUUAUGAGUCAUCAGUCAUCAGACCCAUCACAAAUGUGGUAUUAAUGCAAUGUCAUUACAGCAUCUCUAAACAUGGUGUAAAAACAACUAAAAUUUUAUUUUAAUGAGUCAAAUUUAAAAAUAAUAUUGUUGUAGCAAAAAGCUGUCUUUAGUCUUGACGAAUUUGAUCAAGGUCAAAGCCACACACGCGCCCACGAGUUGGGGGUUUAGCCAAUAGAUCUCUGAUGCUUAAUCUGAAAAGAGUGAGUUUUUAGAGCUUGAGUGUGUAGCAAAAGCUUACCAGAAAAUGGUGUAGAUGCAGUAUUUAUGGGAAGAUGGGUAGUCAUAAUGUUAGGAUUUUUCCUUACACAUGACGGUUUCCCAUUGGCCAAGGUGUGAUAUUCAUAGGAUGGAUAAGAAAAGAAUUAUCCCGAAGAUAUUAACUAUGAGAUAAUACCUUGGGAUUAUCAAGUAUCUUUGAUUGCUUCUGAUGAGAAUUCCUUGCCUGUUUGAGUUGAUUUUCAAUUAGGAAUGUAUUAACGAUAGAAUUUGGUGACUAAUCCUAUCAUUAAUGUAUUUAACUUUUCCAUGUUACGACAGGAAACUUGGUGAUGUUGUAUUCAGCAGCUCAAUUCUCUAGGGAUAUUGAACUGCAUGUGUGAAUAUUUGUGGGCCCUACCCAUUAAUGAGGGCUUUAUUGUAUUUUUUUGGAAAAAAAAGUCACAUGUUUUUUCUAGAAUUUUUAGAAUUAUUUUUUGCUCCACACACAUCUCUAAUAGACUAUAUAAAAAAGUCUUUAUUAUAACAUAAGGAAUAGUCACUUUUCAAAUUUAUAGAGUAAUUGUCCAUCAGCUAAAUAUUUAAAAAAUAAAAUUAAAAGUUGACCCUUGAGCAACGAAAAAAGAAAGAAAUAGAAGACUGUUGUAGAAAUGGUUUUUUACACAAGUACCACUUGAACUUGUAAGCAUGUGCGAUAAUAAUACCUAAACUUUCAAUUUUUAUUUGUUACCACCUGGACCCUCUUAAGUGUUGGAAUGUACCACCUACGUUACUUUUCAUCCAUUCUACUGUUAAAACAUGUCACCUGAAGAGAUUUUUUUCAUCAAUUAACUUCAUGCGGCUAUUUAGAAUCAAUAUGCUCCAAAAUAAUAGUGUCUGAGUUAAUAUUGCGCUAAAAUUGGGGGUUUGUAUAACUCCAGUUUGGCAAUUCCCUUUAUAAAAGUUAGAAAAAUUCAUAUUUGUAUAAAUUAAGAUAAAUCACACACCCACUUGCUGAUCCAAAAAAAAAAAAAAAAAAGUGAAAAUACAUUGUAAAUGAAAGACUAGAUUUUGUACAAUAUUUCUACUUCAAUUCUUCAACAGUCCUUGCCAAAAUCAAAUCAGAAAUCAACUUCUUCCUUUCUCUUGAUGACCUAACUCCAAGUCCGCUAAAAAUUCGCCUUUUGCCUUUGUACAAAUUGACAAUAGUGAUCCCUAAAAAGUGAAUUGACAAAAAUAUCCCUCCAUGUGAAGAGCGCGUGAAAUAUUUUAACGGAAAAAUAGAUGAAAAGUAAUGUAGGUGGUAGGUUCUAAAAAUUAAGAGUGUCUAGGUGGUAAAAAAUAAAAAUGAAAGUUCAUGUGGUACUUGUACAAAAUCCUCCAAAUAAGAAUAAAUGAGUUGGGGUUGAAUUGUUAAUAAAAAAAAUAUUCAAAGUUUGUUAAAAUAAAGAGUGUUGUUGGAGAUGGAAAGUUAAACUAAAUAGCUAAAAUAGUUUUUUGGCACUUUUGACUUGCUAGUUAAUAAAAAUUUAGAGCUUUUUAUAGACAUGUUAUAGUGCUAGAGCAUCUUCAAGAGACUUUUUAAUAUAACUAGUGGCGGAUCCAAAAUUCUACCAUCGGGUGGCCCUAAUCAAGGCACACUAGGAUAGGCGCUACUUAGGUGGUGGGUUGCGGCCUCGCGCCUGUGCGCUUAGAUGGGGCCUAGGCAAACUAGGCAGAUUUAAAUAAAUUUAAUAUAUAACAUAUAAUAAGUGCCCAUUUACACUUUAAAAAACUAUACUUAUGAUUAGGAUUUGAGUUUAUUAUUUUAAAUAGGUUUAUUAUUUGACAUAUAACAUACAAAAACAUCAGAAUUUUUGCUUUAGUAAUUUAGUGAAUUAGAUGGUAUGAGAUGAAAGUUUAAGUGAUUACGUGACGCAAUAUUUUACGAAAUAUUUUUUCAAAUGUCGUAUGUAUAAUGAAUUUUAAAAGAAAUAACUGUAUCAAACACGUGUUAUAAAAAAUAUUGAUUUAGUAAUCCACCAUCUGUUGUAAAUAGUGGGUAUGUUUGCCCACAUGUGUAUAGUAAAGUACCACAUGUGUAUAGUAAUGUGUAUAGUAAAUACUCAUAUGCAUAUAGUAAGCCUUUCACUAUGUUGCUUGUGAUUUGCUUCUAUAAAAGCAAGUCUUAUGGAACACAACAAAAGAUUUAGGAGAUGAAAAAAGCAAGUCUUAUGGAACACAACAAAAGAUUUAGGAGACGAAGGUGAGAGGUUCAUGGGAGAGAUAGGAAGAAUAAAAGGAAGAGAGAAAAGAGAGAAAGAGGAGAGGAGAUAAUAGAGAGAGUUAUCUUUGUACUCUUAUUAUUUCAGAUUAUAAUGAAAACACCACCGCUGCCCCGAUGACGUACUCCAGUCACACUGAUUGUAGAGGAACCUCGUAAAUUUUGUGUCUUGUUUCAUUUAUUCCACUGCACACGCCGUCGAUUUUACAACACAUUAUCAACACGAGAAGCUCUCGUGUCAGUAGAAAGCACAACAUCACAAAUCUUGUUCAUCUCUAUCGCCUGAAAUCUCACAGAUAAGAAAAUCUUUUCAUUUUAUCUUAAAAUCUUUGUACUACUGAUUUUCUUGAAGCAAAUAUAUAUAUAUAUUGUUGUAUGACUGUAUAUCAUCAUUUGCAGAAGCAAAAGAGUACAAACUCAAAAAUUCGUAGAGAAUCUAACAGUCAUGUAAACAGCCUCGGAACUCCAACUUGCGGACCUCGGAUUGAAAUAUUUUCUUCUUCAAAGUUGUUUGUCUGCUCAAUAUCUACAACAUAUCAAAAUUUCAGAAAACUUUAACGGUGCGAUUGUCGCAGAUGUCUGAAAUACCAAACCAGUUUCCAAUUUCCGCAGAAAACUGGACAGCCACCUUAUGAGUACCAAAACUCUAUUUCGGUAGCUCAGAUUGAAAUUGUUUUUUCAUGAAAGUUGUUCGGUAUCCUCUUAUCCAUAUCAUACUAAAAUUUGACCUAAAUCUAACGGUUUGAUUUUCGCAUAAGUUGCAGACACUCUUGACUCCAAAACUUAUGGGAACCAUUUCGACUUUUUCGAAACUCAUCGGAGGAGGAACACCAAUUGGAACCUAUUGUUACUAUUAUUUCCUGAGUAACCAAAAUGACUUCAGAACUGUGAAAUGAAAACAAAAAUAAAAAGGGAAAUGGGGCCAAAGCUCUUGGAAAGGUGCGUUGCACCAUGUGAAAGAAAAAAAAAAGGACAAAGUUCUUGGAAUGUUGCAACAUGUGAAUGAAUAAGAAAAUAAUAAUAAUAAAAAUAGAUAAAGGCUUUUGGAUGGUGUUGCACCAUCUGAAAAGAAAGGAGAAACAAUAUAUUUAUUUAUGUGAAUGGUGUUGGCUUAAAACACUUUCACAAGUUCUUUUUACUUUAAAGCAAUUUAUUUACCAUGGACGGUUUUACCGCCCAUUGCUUUAAAUUUUGAUGGUGCUAAAUUAAAGCCUUUGUCACAAGUUUUAUUUACUUAAAUGCAAUUUAUUCAAUAUGGCUGGAAUUACCGCCUAUCGCUUUAAUUUAUUUAUUGCACUUAUCUUUUGUUACAAUGAGUAUAUAUAGGACCUAAAGUUCAUUGGUCAGAUCAGAACCUGCAGUUUCUUGAUCCUCAUCAUAUAAAAAUGAUUGGACCUGAAGUUCCAUCACGCAAAAAGAUCAGGUAUGAAGUCCCUUGAUCCUGAAGAUCAGGACAUGAAGUUCCUAGAUGAGUACCGUAAGUUUGAAGUGCCGCAGUGCCUUAACUUAAUUGUAAUAAAAGCGAUAAGAGUUUCAGUUUACAAACUAUUAAAUAAGGACCAGAAGUUCCUUAUGUCCAUACUCAAAAUGGUUUAGCAGAAGCCUUUAUUAAGCUGAUGAAAUUGAUUACGCGCGCUCUGCUCAUGAAAACGAAAUUGCCAGUUUUCUACAUGGGGACAUGUUAAUUCGGUUGAGACAUGUUACCAACCAUCAAUACUUCUCAGUACAACUCGUGUUUGGGAACCAGCCAAGCAUUAUACUUUUAUGAUUUUUUGGUUGUGUUAUCUAUGUGCCUAUUGCACAGCCACAAUAUAUUAAAAUGAGGCAUCAACACAAACUGGGAAUUUAUGUUGGAUUUGAUUCACCAUUUAUCAUUCAAUACCUAGAACCCUUGACUGGGGAUAUGUUUACCGCGUGGUAUGCGGACUAUGAUUUUGAUAAGAUAGUUAUCCCGCCAUUAGGGAGAGAAAAUAACAUUGUUCUAGAAGAACGAUGAGAAAAUAUCAUUCCAGAAGAAUGAUAAGAAGAGACCGUUCCAGAAGAACGAAGAGAAUUUGUCUUAUUUUGAUUCAUGAAGCAAUCAAUGAGAAAAUGAAAUAGGAAUGAUUAAAUGAUGCAACGAAAGUGAUGAAAUCACAUAUAUUUGCUGCAAAUGUGCCUACAAAAAUUGAUGUCCUUGUUGGACAAUAUAAUGAGGCUGUAAAUGAUUUCUCUGUUGCACGCCUGAAGCGUGGCAAACCCUUAGACUCAAAAGGUUCAGUCAUUUGAAAGAAGAAGAAUAUGGCAUUACUGAACUAUUGCAUUCUUGUAACAUAACUGUUGCAUGCCAGAAGCAUGACAGUCGUCGCAUGAAUACAUGGUCCAGAAGGACAAUCUGUGGACAUGGGAAUAUUGAUGUCUCAUGCAUGUAGUAUGAUAGACGUAUAGGUUCCAAUGACUUAACUCCCCAAAAGUGGAGAUUAAAAUCCAAGCUCUAUAACGCUCAAGAGGAGGUUAUGAUCUGCAUUCUUUAAAUUAUGACUAUCCUGGAAAAGAUAGUGUAAUAGCCUUGAAGAGGCAAUGGAUAUCCAAAUAAAUAAAAAGCUUUUAUGCAUGCGCAUGCACAUGAGAAUAUGGGAUCACAGAUUGAUGAUAACCAAUGACAAUGUUGGUUUUGACAAGUAGCUACUAAAUUCAUCAAUGAGCUGUGUUGAUAUUGAGUCCCGUUCUUUUGCGUCAACAAAAUUAUUGGCCAAUAAUGGAGAAAGGCAAUUCCAUUACAAUUUUGUAAGAACGUGGAAAAAUGGAUCUAUAUAUUUGAAUAUAAUACAAAUAGCCAAAAGAUGUUGAACCAAGGAGGUUACAUUGGGCAUUUGUAAUAUAGUGAAAUACACUCACAUGAUAUGACACAAGGUAUUGAAACCUGAAAUUAUACUCUUGUAAACGAGUUCAUAUGAAUGGAGAAUUAUAUACGAAGGGUUGUGAGUCGCCCACAUCAUAUCUCCAUAAGUAUCUUAAGUAUACAUGGAAGCAAAUUGCUCUAUAUAAAUUCCAAAGGAAAAUGUGUCAUGAAGUGUAGAAAAUCCCUGAAGGAUUCAAAUUGCUUAAAGUAAGCCCCCGAAGGGUAAAGCAUAAAAUAUGUUCUUAAUACCAAUGAAUGGUAUAAAUUACCUUAGUAAGUACUAUCAUUAUGAUAUUGUUGCAACCUCUUGCAAAAGGUUGAUGAUAUUAAAUUAGAACUCUUGAAGAGUUGAUAAUAUUAAAUUGGGACUCCUGAAGAGUCUAGAAAAAUUAUAAAGUGUUGAAGGAAUUAUUGUCUCGAGCUGCAGAUCGAACAAUAGACCAACACGAAUCUUAUCCAUGAUGUUUAUGAUAUUAAAAGAACCAUAUGGAUUGAAGAUUAUGAGUUGAAUACUCAAAUGAUGUAGACACUAAGAAUUAUCAUUUAUCUUUGUGAGGGUAAAGAUAAAUUAAUAUUGGUCCAGAAGUACCACAUCUUAGUGAAGUAUAUGCUUUAUUGUAUUUGACACAAUACAUUGAAUGAAAUAAAGCUUAUCUAUUAAUAUCUCCGAGAAAUUACAGAUAUGUACAUACACAUGAGUUAAAACAAACAAACAGGAUGGAGCCUUUACAAAGGUUGCUCAUGUGAAGCCUCAUUACUCGGAAGUACCCCAGAAGGGGGAGACACUGGAGAUUGAUCAUGUGGCACCCCAGUACUUAGCAAAACACCAGAAGGGGAAGGCAUCAGUUGUUUUCGGAAUCUAGCAACGAACCUCUGGUGAUCACUUUGAAUCCGACUUUCGGAUUCUUGCAGCUGAUCGAGCUUUCUUUUCAUGCUCGUCGAGUAAUUAUUUGCAAGCACGUGUAACAUUCUAUUCUCGUGCUUGAGCCAUCUGAUCUCUUGUUUAAGACUUGCCACCUCAGCCAUCAAUGAUUCAACUUGGCGAGUUUGAGCAAGUAGGCGUUGACCCAUAUUGGAAACAGAGCCAGCACACUGAACACUGAGAGCCAAGGAGUUUUGAAUGGCAAACUCAUCAGACCGUUUUGAAAGGAUCUUGUUAUCCUUUGGAGUGAGAAGAUUCCUAGCUACCACAGUAGCGGUUAUGUUAUUCUUCAUCACAUAGUCCCUAGCCGUAAGAGGACCAUUAAAAGAUAAGAAGGACGGGCGCCAUAUAUUAUCUUGACGCUGCUCGUCUGUAUCACUCCUAAGACUCAAAUCUAAGCAAAUGUUAGAUGAGCAAGUCAUUUUCAGAAAUGAUGAAGAAAAAAAAGAGGUCAAAUAAAAUUUCAGAAGUGCAAGAUGAGGGAAAUUUCUACAGGUAGCAACUUUUUGAGCAUACUCUUGAACACAAUUGAUGUCUCUAUAAAAGAAGAGGCAGCAGAGCCACUUGUUCAGAGAUCGAAGAGGCACCGCUCUCCGAAUUUCAAAAGCCAGAUUUUCCUAAAUAAAGUUCGUUGGCAUUUUUCAGACGCAAUCUCAGCUUUUUCGGAUAUCGCAUGCAAUUUUGUCAAAGAUCUCUGACAAAGUUGAAAACGUGUAAAUCUUACUGUUCUAAUUACACCACAGUUGCUGACAAGAGUAAAGGCACAACACCACCACUUGCUAUUGGGAAAUCUCUAUAUAUGUCGACCUUCGUUCUCCAUAACAAGGCAGACCAGCAAGCAUGUCCAACUCUUCAUCAUCUCCAAGAAUGCAUCUUCAAUAAAGCAUCUCGAAAUACUCAGUUUUCUUCCUCUCCGAGAAUACCUCUUCAAACAAGUCGCACCAGAGCAAGAUUAUCUCAUAUCUUCAGGGACGAGAGCAAAAGUAGUCAUCUUCAACUGUUGUUGGAGCUGGGUCUCUAGUCACCAAGAAAUGAUGAACCAUACAAAUGCAAGGGUUUGCAUUCCACUCCUGCAUCAGGGGACAAAUCCUUCAAGAGAAGAUGCCACACAUGUAGGGGGAAAACCGGAGAAAAUGCUACUUAAGCAAGGGGAGCAAGUAAGGCAAGUGAAAAUGAUACAUUGAAGCAUGUGGAGACAAGCGCAACAAACACGUGCUGAUUCAUCCCCGACAAAGCUGAAUAUCACUUGCCACGUGAAGCUCUUCACGAUACAACUUCAUUCAAGAUCAAGCCUCGAAGGUCCUUGAAGAAAUCACAAGUUUGAUUCAAGAUCAAGUGUCUACGACCCUUGAAUUAAAUUUAGCUCCAGAUAAAAGAAGUAAAUUCAGACAUUUGGAGCAAGUUUAGCAGAAGGCCCUCCAGCCCAGUUCAAGAACAAGUCUGUGGAAAGUUAACAACAAGUAAAGUACCUAUUUCGGCAACUCUUUUUACUAAGAGACUGAAGCAAAAUGAUCAACGAUCAGUCUAUAUGAUUUGAAAUCAAGGGGAGAUACUCAUCAGGGGAGCAUCCAAAACAGAUCAAGAUCUUAACGAGUCAAUUGAAGACUUAUGUGGGCAUCCAAGGGGGAGUGUUGUAAAUAGUGGGUAUGUUUGCCCACAUGUGUAUAGUAAAGUACCACAUGUGUAUAGUAAAUACUCACAUGCAUAUAGUAAGCCUUUCACAAUGUUGCUUGUGAUUUGCUUCUAUAAAAGCAAGUCUUAUGGAACACAACAAAAGAUUUGGGAGAUGAAGGUGAGAGGUUCAUGGGAGAGAUAGGAAGAAUAAAAGGAAGAGAGAAAAGAGAGAAGAGGAGAUGAGAUAAUAGAGAGAGUUAUCUUUGUACUCUUAUUAUUUCAGAUUAUAAUGAAAGCACCACUGCUGCCCCGAUGACGUACUCCUGUCACACUGAUUGUAGAGGAACCUCGUAAAUUUUGUGUCUUGUUUCAUUUAUUCCACUGCACACGCCGUCGAUUUUACAACACCAUCUCUUUAUUUAUUAAAAUGAUAUGUGACACAACCUAAUUAGAGAACAAUUAAAAAAAAAAAAAAUUGGGAAGUUGGUCACGUGGGAAAUGGAAAAAGAACGUUUUUCUUCAAAAUGGGGAGUUGGUCACAUGGGAAGUGUAGAGAGAAAGUUUUUCUUCUUUGUUGGAACCAGGUCCAAGAACAGGAGAAUCAUGGCUGUAUUCUCUGUGUUCCUCUUCGUCUGAACUUAGAUACUUCUUCUCAACCCUAAAACUGGAUUGCCGAAGUAAGCUUGAACUCUUUUGUUUCGCAACACCCUAUUCCUUCUCAGGCCUAUUCAAAUGGCUGUAUGGAUAAUGCUUUUAGGCUGAACCGAAGAAUUGGCUUGAAAUGAUUAUCCAAGUUGCUUGCCGUUUGACAGUUUCUGUUGCUUGUUUCAUGCAUUGGUAACUUAUUUUUUGUUCUUUAUUCCAAUUAUGGUCUUUCUAUUCAUUAUCUUUGACACAAUAAUGAAUAAAUUUUCUUUUGUUCAUUCGAAAGUACGGCAUUGCGUCUUUCACUUCUAGCCGGAAUUAGAAAUGGAAGAUUGAUAGAUUUCACUAAAAAUGAUAGCUAGCAGUUAGUACAGGCCAGAAAAUGGUGAUCUGUAGAAGAACUAACAGAGUGGUGCUGGCAUGUACAAAGUUUGAUUUUGGUCUCUGUAGUGUAUUUUUUAAAUUAUUAUUAGCGGGAGGGGGAGGUUCAAAACUAUUAUAAUAAUUUGAGGAAAGGGGGAGCUUUGAGCCCUAGAUGCAUAGGUGGAAAUCCAACAUCCUAUUACUAGGAUAUAUUGGACCACAUGCAGGUAUUACAUGGGUGGAAAUUCCAACCCCUUGUCCCUGUAGUAGUUUCAAUUGUCGGGUUUAUAAAGAGAUGCUUUACCUUGCGGGUGUUACAUUUGCACGAAUCGCAUUGCAUCUGUAUUUUGUGUAGUUCCAACUUUGCUGGAUUUAACCAUAAAAAUGGCCUGAGAUAUGGAACAUCAUACAACUAAUUUUGAAUCGACUCUCAUUAUUUCCUCUAUUUGAAUUGUAACAUUACAAAUAUUUGUCUUGGAACAUAAUUUGGAUAUAAUGUAGCAUCUCUGAGAGAGCUGCCCUGUAUCGACGACGUCAAUGGUCUACUCUUUAAUUAGAAGUGCCUUUAAGAUGACUUCACUCAUACCAUCUACAGCUGGCAACAAAUGUCCACCACCUGGUAACUCAUGGUAGUGAAUCCAUGGAAGCUUUUCGGCAAUAUAGCGUUGCAGCUCAACUGGGACAAGCUUAUCUUCGUCACCCUGCCAUAGAUGGACCGAGCCUUCGUUGUUGACAAAAGGGUUCUUCAGAUCCGUAGGAUCAAAUUCCCAGCUCCCAAAUCCAAUUAUGAUGUCGCGAAAGAUGGACUCAGCUUCUCCUCGCUGCGUGACAUGUUCCUGCCCAAACAAAUAACAAAACAAAACAAAAAUCAUCAACGCUGCCGAGUUUCUAUAAAAUCGUAAACAAUUAGCGAUCGAAUAAGGAAAGUACCUUGUGCUUUUCUCUUCCACAAACCUUUGCAUUCCUAAUGGUUUCCCAAUCUUGGCGGGAAAACAUAUUCUCUACUUUCCCGGAUAAAACGCUGUGUUUAGGAAAGAAAUUCUGAGUGUUCCACAAGUAGGUUAACCAAGGUAUAUAGUGAGCAGCUCGAAGCGCCCAUUGAUCAUGUCGAGCUUGCUUCUUAUAGGCAUAAGAUGACAGGUUGGCAGGAAGUCCUGGCCACCAGUAGUUGAUCACUAGAAUUCGGUGUUCUAACCAACAUGGUUAUACUAGUUGUUUCUAUAGCGAACACAAUCAAUAAAUAAGUUGGAAAUAAAAAGAUGCACUCCUUUGUUUAACCGAAACCACAAGAAAAGAGAUCAUAUGCACAUAAAAAAUCAUACUUCCUAAUGUGCUUUUUUGGUAAAAACUUACGACCAACGCUCCUCCCUCUGAUAAUUAUAUGUUUAUGCAGAAGAAAAUGGCAGAAACAGGCUGAGUGAGCAGCUGCUUUUAGCUUUUGUGUGGUGCUGAAGCUGCCGGUGUCGGUGGACUGCUUGUUUUCGUAUUGACAAACGAAGAAGAUAGAGAAGCCAUGAAGAAAAUUCAUCCAUGACAAUGUUGAGAAAUCAGAAAGAUGAGAAGGGAUAUAGUUUUGUUAGACAUUUUUAAUUCGUUGUGGUGUUUGGUAUCGCGUUCCACCUAACACAAGUUACACAACCAGCCACACAGAAAAAUCCAUCCACUGAUGAUUUUGGCAUACCUUCCCAGCUUUCCUUUUCACCUUUUUAUCUUUUUCUGUAUUGGAACUUUUAUGAGUCAUCAGUCAUCAGACCCAUCAUAAAUGUGGUAUUAAUGCAAUGCCAUUACAGCAUCUCUAAACAUAUUGUAAAAACAACUAAAAAUUUAUUUUAAUGAGUCAAAUUUAAAAAUAAUAUCGUUGUAGCAUAAAGUUAUCUUCAGUCUUGACGAAUUUGAUCAAGGUCAAAGCCACAAACGCGCCCACAAGGUGGGGGUUUAGCCAAUAGAUCUCUGAUGCCUAAUCUGAAAAGAGCGAGUUAUUAGAGUUUAAGUGCGCAGCAAAAGCUUACUAGAAAAUGGUGUAGAUGCAGUAUUUAUAGGAAGGUAAGCAGUCAUAAGGUUAGGAUUUUUCCUUGCACAUGACGGUUUCCAAUUGGCUAAGGUGUGAUAUCCAUAGGAUGGAUAAGGAAAGAAUUAUCCCGAAGAUAUUAACUAUGAGAUAAUACCUUGGGAUUACCUCAAAAUAUUUCCCGUGUGAAGAUUUGAGGAUACGGCGCAUCACUAUUCGUCCAGGAUGUCCCAAACGAUCAUGGCAAAGUGUAAUUUCGUGCGCGGUCCCAGUAGUAGGGCCGGCCACAUAGUGGCAUUCUAUGGGGCGUAUGGUCGUAGUAUACAAAUCACUCGGGAUGCGCUUAAUCUUUUCUAGAAUACGCUUCUGGCCAUAUUCGUAGGAAGUUAUGCAUAGAAAUUCAACUCCGUUUUCUAGGUGGGUUUCAGUGUGGUAAUUGUUAUAUCUAAUGUCCUUGAAACUAACAACGUUCUUCUGGAACGUGGAGAGUAGAGUGCCUCAGAAAUGGUCAAGAUUGUACCAUUAGAUAACAUUAUAUGUGCCUUACCGUAUCCUUCUAUCAGGUUGAAGGGGUCUGAGAGGGUUGUCAGAGGUGCAUUCUUAGGUAUGAAGUUAGUGAAAUAGAUGCGUUCACGCAAAGCUAUGUGCGUGGUUGCACUAUCUGCCAGACAACUAAAUUCCCACUAGUUAUACUUAGAAUGAAAAAUUAAUUUGAAUCGGUCACUUGCAAAAUUUUUUAUAAAAAACAGUUAUCAAUUUAAAAUAAUUACAUUUAUUCAAGGAUAAAACUUAAUAUCCAAAACAAACACCAACCAAUAAUCCAAACAUAAAGGAAAAUUGUUCAAAAAUCAACCAAAAACAUGUCACGCAUAAAGGAAAUAAUCUCAUUAUUUCCUCUAUUUGAAUUGUAACAUUACAAAUAUUUGUCUUGGAACAUAAUUUGGAUAUAAUGUAGCAUCUCUGAGAGAGCUGCCCUGUAUCGACGACGUCAAUGGUCUACUCUUUAAUUAGAAGUGCCUUUAAGAUGACUUCACUCAUACCAUCGGCAGCGGGCAACCAAUGUCCACUACCUGGUAACUCAUGGUAGUGAAUCCAUGGAAGCUUUUCGGCAAUAUAGCGUUGCAGCUCAACCGGAACAAGCUUAUCUUCGUCACCCUGCCAUAGAUGGACCGAGCCUUCGUUGUUGACAAAAGGAUUCUUCAGAUCCGUAGGAUCAAAUUCCCAGCUCCCAAAUCCAACUAUGAUGUCGCGAAAGAUGGACUCAGCUUCUCCUUGCUGCGUGACAUGUUCCUGCCCAAACAAAUAACAAAACAAAACAAAAAUCAUCAACGCUGCCGAGUUUCUAUAAAAUCCUAAAAAAUUAGCGAUCGAAUAAGGAAAGUACCUUGUGCUUUUCUCUUCCAGAAACAUUUGCAUUCCUAAUGAUUUCCCAAUCUUGGCGGGAAAACAUAUUCUCUGCUUUCCCGGAUACAACGCUGUGUUUAGGAAAGAAAUUCUGAGUGUUCCACCAGUAGGUUAACCAAGGUAUAUAGUGAGCAGCUCGAAGCGCCCAUUGAUCAUGUGGAGCUUGCUUCGUAUAGGCAUAAGAUGACAGGUUGGCAGGCAGUCCUGGCCACCAGUAGUUGAUCACCGGAGCGAUCAGUGCUGCUCCAGCUAGCCUGUCGUAACAGGCAUCCCAAACACAUCGAACUUUAGAGAAAAAUUUCAGUACCGAAUGAUGCAUCAUCAGGUAAUGAGGCUGCUUGCAAAAUCUUACCUAUGAGGGAUGUACUGAAGACACUUCCAAAUGACUUGUCCUCCCAUUGAGAAUCCAAUCACAUAAAAUUUGGAUCCGAGUUCUAGCUGAUCACCAAGCUCCUCUAUAUCUAACGCCAAGCUCUUCGCUGUUCGCUUAGUAUCCGGAUCACUUUCACCGUACCCUGGUCUGUCGAAAGACACAAUGUACACACCUAAAUCUUCAAUAACUUCCUGAUAAAACAAAAAAAAAAAAAAAAAAAAAAACAUCCACCACGAAAUCAACUAAUAUAGAGUCGAACUGAAGAAUGACAGAGAACCAAUCAAGGUAGUACCGGAGAGACAGAUGUUGCAAUGACUGGAUCAUGUCGGGAAGCACCGAAGGGAUGAACAAAGAUAAUCUUAUACUUGGCCACUUGUUUUGGAACACCAUGUUCCUUGUAGGCCAAAAAUCUUCCAUCCCUUAGCCUUAUUCUAGGCGCUGUGACAGGUGGACCGCCAGGCGAACCACAGAUGUUCGGAGGUGGUGGUCGGGCGGCCUGAUACGCCCAUGCCAGCAAUCCAACCAACAAGAUGAAUGCGAUCCUCUUAAACAUCUUUGAGAAUGAAGUAUGAAACUUUGCUCAACUGCAGUAAAGAAGCAAAUACAAAAAUAACAUCACACUUGUGGACAUCAUAUAAUAAGUUUUAAUUUUGGUAUAUUUCCCUCAUUUAUAUUGGAUCACUCUAUUUUUUAUGAGCUCCAACAUAAACAGGACAUCUAAAUCAAACAAACACCAGGAAACAAGGGUAUAAACCAUAAACAAUACAAAUACAAACGCACAUUACAAUUAUCGAAAACGAUACUCUAAUAUCUAAUUCAAGAGACAGGAUUCUAAUAUUUAAGAGAACGCUGUCUUCGAACCAACAUGGUUAUACUAGUUGUUUCUAUAGCGAACACAAUCAAUAAAUAAGUUGGAAAUAAAAAGAUGCACUCCCUUGUUUAACCGAAACCACAAGAAAAGAAAUCAUAUGCACAUAAAAAAUCAUACUUCCUAAUGUGCUUUUUUGGUAAAAACUUACCACCAACGCUCCUCCCUCUCUGAUAAUUAUAUGUUUAUGCAGAAGAAAAUGGCAGAAACAGGCUGAGUGAGCAGCUGAUUUUAGCUUUUGUGUGGUGCUGAAGUGUCGGUGGGCUGCUUGUUUUCGUAUUGACAAACAAAGAAGAUAGAGAAGUCAUGAAGAAAAUUCGUCCAUCACAUUAAUGGGAAGUCAGAAACAUGAGAAGUCAUAUAGUUUUGUUAGACAUUUUUAAUUCAUUGUGGUAUUUGCUAUCGCGUUCCACCUACCAGCCACACAGAAAAAUCCAUCACAAAUGUGGUAUUGGUUAAUGCAAUGCCAUUACAGCAUCUCCAAACAUGUUGUAAAACAACUAAAAUUUUAUUUUAACGAGUCAAAUUUAAAAAUAAUAUUGUUGUAGCUAAAAAUUGUUUUCAGUCUUGACGAAUUUGAUAAAGGUCAAAACCACACACACGCCCACAAGGUGGGGGUUUAGCCAAUAGAUUUCCGAUGCCUAAUCUAAAAAGAGUGAGUUUUUAGAGCUUAAAUGCGUAGCAAAAGCUUACCAGAAAAUAGAGAUGGAGUAUCUAUAGGAAGGUGGGCAGCCAUAAGGUUAGGGUUUUUCCUUUCACAUGACGAUUUCCCAUUGACCAAGGUGUGAUAUCCAUAGGAUGGAUAAGAAAAGAAUGAUCUCGAAGAUAUUAACUAUGAGAUAAUAUCUUGGGAUUAUCAAGUAUCCUUGAUUGCUUGUGAUGAGAAUUCCUUACACUAGUACAAAAAACACUUUGCGCGAUGCAGGUCCUUCGUCGAGCAAAGUUAAAAAAUCGUCGCGCAAACAUUAGAGCAACGAACCUUCGUUGCGCGCCAACCGUCGCGCCAAGGCAGUGACGGAAGGGUUUGUGCGACGAAGAAGUAACCUACGUCGCGCAAAGCCACUUUGCGCGACGCAGGAACAUGCGUCGAGCAAAGUGUCUUUGCGCGACGCAGGUCCCUACGUCGUGCAAAACUACUUUGCGUGACGCUUCUUCGUCGCGCAAAGUUUUUUUUUUUUUUUUUGGUAAACAUAUUUUUUUAUUUAAUUUUUUAUAAAUAUUGUAAUUAAAUUAUAAACAAUAAUUAAGAAACCAAAAAAAAGUAUUUAAUUAUAAAAUAUAUGAAAAUGUACAUACAAGAUGUUCAAACAUAAAAGAAAAAACUAAUUGACCAAAAAAAAAAACAUAAAAGAAAAAACUACAACAAGUAGUCUUCUAGGCUUGAUGCAUGCAUCAGACUACUAAGUAUUGGCUGGUGGUGUAGCCUUGCCACGCUGAUGAAAACCAUUGCCUCUCAGUCUGUUGUAAUCUCCAUCCGUAACUACCUCUGCUUGAACUCCGGCCACCAAAACGCCCCCUUGUGGCGUCAGUUUGGUAACCUCCUCUGCCUCUGCCCCUUCCUCCUGGUUGAAAAAUUCAAAAUCCACAUAAGGAGACCAAAAGUUGAGCAAAUUAAAUGUUAUCUCUAAGGAAAACAGAUGCAUAGAUGCUUAAUAGUUUGGUAGAUCACAUUCUAAAUGCUGGCUAUGCCAAUAAACUCAGUAAGCUCAUGAACAGGACAACAUCUAUAUCUAACGCCAAGCUUUUCGUUGUUCGCUUAGGAUCCGGAUCACUUUCACCGUGCCCUGGUCUGUCGAAAGACACAAUGUACACACCUAAAUCUUCAAUAACUUCCUGAGGAAAGAAAAAAAACACCCACCACGAAAUCAACCAAUAAAGAGUUGAACUGAAAAAUGACAAAGAAUCAAGCAAGGCAGUACCGGAGAGACGGCUGUUGCAAUGAUUGGAUCAUGUCGGGAACUAAAGAAGGGAUGAACAAAGAUAAUCUUGUACUUGGUCACUUGUUUUGGAACACCAUGUUCCUUGUAGGCCAAAAAUCUUCCAUCCCUUAGCCUUAUUCUAGACGCUGUGACGAGUGGACCGCCAGGCGAACCACAGAUGUUCGGAGGUGGUGGUCGGGCGGCCUGAUACGCCCACGCCAGCAAUCCAACCAACAAGAUGAAUGUGAUCCUCUUAAACAUGUUUGAGAAGAUGGAAAGUAUGAAACUUUGCUCACCUGCAGUAAAGAAGCAAAUAGAAAAAUAACAUUACACUAGAGGACAUCAUUGUAUAAUAAGUUUUAAAGUGCUUUUAGAUUUAGGUCCAAAAAUAAGUGGUUUUCGUGAGUGAGUUCAGUAAUCUAAUUACAUGUUUUUAUACUAAUUUUACCCUUUUAGAUAAAAAUAUUUAAAUUCUUUAAUUAGAGAAUACAUUUCCUAAAUAUUAAAAUAAAAAAUCGAUUUACGUGGCAAAUAAUCAAAUGACCAUAUAUUUGAAACUAAAUAUACACCUCUUUUCGUAGGCAUAAAAACAUUAUAAUACAUUUUGAGAAAGGAGAUGAUGAUAUGUGAGAGAAAAGAAAGAUCGAAGAUGUUUGAAGUUUGAAACGUGAGGAACAAAAACACAAAGUUACAAUAAAAUGAGUUGAUUAAAAAGAAAACAAGAAAUAAAAGAGGAGAAUGCUUCCAUGGUGCUUUGGUGCCACCUGUCUCAUAUUUAUUGGGUUGGUUGGAGUGCUUUAAUCAGACUUGACCAAACGAGAUUCAACAAUAAGGGGAUUUCAUUUCUACAUUUAAGAACAAAGCAGUAGCAGAUGCCAUACAAAAAUGAGAAAGAAGAACGAAAAAAAAGAAAAAAAGAAAAGCAAAUUAUUCUCAAGUAAUGGUGAUUCACACUACUCUAUUUAUCAUCGUAAAAUUAGUUUAAAUUUUAAAUAUGUGUAGUAAAUAGAUACAGACUUCAAAAUUUAAAUUCAUCAAACGAUGGUAAAUAAAGUUGUGAGUAUUAUUAUUACUUGAUAAUGAUGAUUUGUGAGCAAAAAUGCACCCAAAAAGAAAUUAUGAAGAUAAAAUGAGCUGUGAGAAGUAGGUCAGGAAGAGAUUUAAUUCCUAAUCACUGAAUUUAUUUCCACAAGUAAACUAUUCUUAAUAAUAGUUUGAAUAAUUAGACUUAUAGCAAGUUUUCUCGAGUUUUUUAAUUUGCUACUUCCCCUCAAUUGAUGAAAGGUUAUUUAAAUCAAACAACAACCAAAAAAAUGGACAAUCAAGUAUAAAGAAAACAAAUACACACACACUUUACUUUUAUAUCGAAAACGAUAUUACAAUAUCAAAACUAUAAGAUGCGGAUUUUAAUAUAUAAGAGAGAUGUUUGUGGCAGGAAUUUCCAUUGGGGAUGUUCCCUGGCCGACGAGCACACAGCUCCCCGAGAGGUCGGCACCGGUUGAUGCUUCCUGUCAGGCUUCUGCUUUACUGGCGGGUUUGUCGGGCAAAGCUUAGUUGGGCAAGGUUUGUCGGGCAAAGCUUGUCGGGCAAAGCUCUUCGGGCAAGGCUAAAAGAGAAGGACAGAGUUAACUUUGAAAGGGUGCCUUUGCGGGGCCUUAGGUGUAGGCCUUGAGGCUCACAAUCAAGAUUAACCUUUCAGUGCUUAGGCGUGCCACUGCCAUCUUCAGCAUGGCAGAUGUAGAACGAAUGUUGAAUUUCAAUUGUAUAUAUAUCCAAGAGACUAUUUUAGUCAUGACGGGUGCCUUUGUGGGGCCUUGGCCUUGAGGCUUCCCGUUCAUAACUAACUUAGUAUUUGAAUAUAUACAUAUGGUUCGUUUCCUUGGUUUAUAUGAGUCUUAUACCCAUUAUACUUCCUGAUUACUUGAGCCCGAGGAGCAGAAUGAAUCCAAAUAGGUGCAUUUGUAGGGCCUUGAAUAGGCCUUGAGGCUUCCCAUCAGAACUCUUUCUAUACUCAAUGUUCUAGCCUGAGGAGCAGAAUGAAUCCAAAUAGGUGCCUUUGUAGGGCCUUGAAUAGGCCUUGAGGCUUCCCAUCAGAACUCAUUCUAUACUCAACAUUCUAGCCCGAUGAGCAGAAUGACUCAACAUUCUAGCCCGAGGAGCAGAAUGAAUCCAAAUAGGUGCCUUUGUAGGACCUUGAAUAGGCCUUGAGGCUUCCCAUCAGAACUCUUUCUAUACUCAACGUUCUAGCCCGAGGAGCAGAAUGAAUCCAAAUAGGUGCCUUUGUAGGGCCUUGAAUAGGCCUUGAGGCUUCCCAUCAGAAUUCAUUCUAUACUCAACGUUCUAGCCCGAGGAGCAGAAUGAAUCCAAAUAGGUGCCUUUGUAGGGCCUUGAAUAGGCCUUGAGGCUUCCCAUCAGAAUUCAUUCUAUACUCAACGUUCUAUAGUAAUCAUAAUAUAAUAGAAAUAAAACUAGGUGAUAGAUCGAUUACUUGCGCCCCAAGUAACUUCAGACUUCUUAUUUAUCAAAGCUUGUCAUGGAUGUGUUAAGUCCACAUAAGGUUCUUUUUUAUGCAUUGAGGCCAAGGACUUUUAGAUGAUCAAAUCUUACAUGCCCAAGGGCUUAGAACUUAGAUCUGGCUUGAACUAUGAAAACAUAUUCAAAUCGGAUUCAAGCGCUGAAAGGAUCUUUUAAUAGCCAUAUUACUACAAAUAACUUGAAUACAACUUGUAGUAUACAACAUAUUGCUAGGUUAGUGAAUGAAAAGACAAAAACAAAGGGGUCGGGCAAGGUUUAACCUUGUCGGGCAAGGCUGAUCGUCUUGCAACUUCCUAUCUUUGUGGUUUCAAGGGGUUUGAAAGCUUAGAAACAGGGUUGGGAGAUGAGUUUACAGAAAGAGAUCGAUACUACAUCAAGAGUUGAACAGGGUAGCAGAGCUAUUACAAAUGGUUUAUCCCGAAAGGGAUGAAGGCUUGCUGACUACAGCUUUGUUUGAAGGCAAAUCUGGCUUUUGAGCAGAGUUUGUGCUUGUAUUUGUUUGUUUGAGUGUCCUCAUUCCUGACUUUUCUUCUUUCUUUUAUAGACAACUUGGCUUGUCUUCUUGUAGCAGCAAUCUUGCCCGACUGCAGUUUGAAUGGUAGUGACUCAUCAGCUUUUUACUUGUAUUGUCACUGUAAAGUACUUUAUGGGCUGUAUAGCUGGUCAGUCUAUACUACUUGGCCAUUGGGUAGGUGAGCAAAUGGUGCAAAUGACCUGCACCUAGUCAGUAAAGCCUCUUCUGCCUUCGGGACUUGGGCUGGACUUCGGGCUUUCCUCCUCUUAGUUGGGCCAACUUCCUUCUGAGCCCAAGGUUGAAAUUAUAACCCAAACAAGAGACACAGUGUUCUAGCUAAUUUGAUUAUACUAAUUUUUACUGUAAAUGCACACAAUCAAUAAAUAAGUUGCAAAUAAAAAGUUGCACUCCAUUGUUUAACCGUUUAACCAAAACCACAAGAAAGGAAAUCAUAAAAAAUCAUACUUGCUAAUGUGGUUUUUUGGUAAAAACUUACCACCAACGCUCCUCACUCUGUGAUAAUAAUAAGUUUAUGCAGAAGAAAAUGGCAGAAACCAGGCUGAGUGAGCAGCUGCUUUUAGCUUUUGUGUGGUGCUAAAGCUGCUUUUAGCUUUUCUGUGGUUGUUAAAUUACGUGAAGGAACCCACCUUCACCUAUUUCAGGGCUCGUUUCUUGUCUAGAACUGGCUUGACUUAGACAAUCUGCUGGAUUUUAAAGGAAAAAAAAAAUAGAAAUAUGAAGGUCAGAUUGCAUAUUUUGUCAAAGUGACGAACGUAGAUGGAGACGCGAAGAAAAAUUGUCGAUCUUAAUCUCUAAACUUUUUGUAAAGCUUAGGAGGAAUAAGUUUUGUUGGUAAUUUUAAUGAGAUAUUUGUCGAUCUCCUUCCUUUUGAACUAGUAAAAAAUUGCUAAAUUUUUAUAUAAACUUUAAUUUUAGUCAAUUACUCGCCUGAAUUGUCACGCCCCGAUCCCGACAUAUGUCCGGGAUCGACACGUGACGUCAUCAAAUAACCACAUAUCUAACAUACCCGUCCCUUGGGAUAUGUAUCUAGCACAUGCCAUGCCUCGAAUUACAUAUAAUUUUUCGUAUGCUUUAUGGUUGCAUCUAACCUCCUCGUUAGACUGCCUACGUACCCUCAUUAGGGAUCAAGCCAUUCAUAGUUCGCCAUUCAUUACACCUCGACGUUUAUCACAAUACGUUCAAAUCAAAAAGCAUAGCAUUCCUCAAUCAAUUAUUAGAACUUAACAAGCAUGAAUUACUAGAUUCAUGGUUACAUAACAAAUCCACAUGACAUUCAAGGUUUUCAUUCCAUCCAUCAUAUAAAUCACUAUGUUUUCAACGUGAUAUCUCCAUCCACAUCAUGUAACUUAUCCAAUAACCAACGAAGCACAAUAUUAUUCUUAAGCCACAUUGAUCACUAAAUAAUCAUAAUAAUAGCAAUCAUAUCCAAUGUCAUUCCAUAAUUCCCGUCAAUUAAUCCCUUCAUGAAUCAAGGAUGCAUGAUCUUAGCAUUUAACUACGUUAAUCAAUCAAUGAGAUAACAUACGAUUUCACCAAUUCAAUUAGAGAACUCUAUAUAAUUCCCUACUUGGGUUAUGAGUAAUAACAUGGUAAUUCUAAUUUAUAUUCACAAGGUCUAUGGAUAAUUCUCAUUCGCUCGAAUCUAGGGUUCUAGACUAACCUUUUGGAAUGUGCAAGAGUAAGGAUUUCGGACCACUCAACGAAACCAAAAUAUCAAGCGGUUUCUUAUAAUCUACUUAGACCUGUCAUAUGCAAAAUCAGUGUCUACAUCAUGGAAAUGGUGCACUGGGCAAUUCAGAACUUGGAUAAGUUGUGAAGCUCAAGUGAGCAACAAUAAUACAAAGUGUGAUAAUAGUGAUAAAAACCAACCAUCAAUCACAGUUUAUAAACUUUGAAUAUGAAUCAUUCAUAAGAAAUUAAUACCAAACCUUCGCAAACUCCGAAGGAGUCACUCAGACAUCCAACGGUUCGUUUGAAACAAUCACAACAUCUCACAACCAUAUUCUCAUAUAACACCAGGAAAAGUAGGGUUAGAGCGACAUAGUUCGGCUGAAGCCUAUACCUUUGAAUCUAUCUCAAUCCAAACUCAAUGAAACCCAAGGUGAAUAUUAUUCCGGAACUUCACUCAACGGAAUCGCGGAGUAGAAGGGAUUUCGAACCAUCUCUCACGGAAUCCAAGUGGUUACGAUUCCAGAACAUCACUCAACGAAAUCGCAGAAUACAAUGCAUAACCACCAUUAAAUGAAACCCAAGUUAGAUACGAUUCUGGAACUUCACUCAACGGAAUCGCGGAGUAGAAGGGAUUCUGAACCAUCUCUCACGGAAUCCAAGUGGUUACGAUUCCGGAACAUCACUCAACGGAAUCGCAGAAUACAAUGCAUAACCACCAUUAAAUGAAACCCAAGUUAGAUACGAUUCCGGAACUUCACUAAACGGAAUCGCGGAGUAUAAGGGAUUCCGGACCUUCUCUCAAUGGAAUCCAAGUGGAUACGAUUCCGGAACAUCACUCAACGGAAUCGCGGAAGGCCAACAACCAUAAUGUACAACGGCUCAAAGAAAUGAGACAAGCACAAGCUACUAAAUUUACAAAAGCUUAACCAAGGGAAAUAAGGCACAUAUGCUAAAUUUAGAACGAAUCAACGAAGCGGGAAAAGAAACAAUAUCUAAGCAACAAAUCCCCAAUCACAAUGGGUUCACAGUCCACCACUAGUCCUCACAUUUCAUCACAUCAAGCCAACCAUACAAAGCAAACCAUGUUUCUAAUAUGCACGUCAAAUCCCACAUCAUAAAACUAUAACAAUGGCACUUUAUAGGAAACAUAAUCAUAAAACCACCUCAUACCCUCUCAGGAUAAUAAUUAUGAAAAUAGAGUAAUCACCUAUAUCACAUAUAUUAAAGUCACUCACCCUUUUUAUACUAGUAACCAUACAUAUUAUUUCUCAUCCAUGAAAUCAACAUUUUAACGUUCUAUUCCUAUGCUUGUAACCUUCAUUCUCCAUCCUUUAAUAAACCAACCCAAAAUUAAUGGUUUUUCAACUUAAAACACCACCUCUUCACUCAUGCCACUACCCCUUUUGACAUGUAUAUGCGGCAAUAUAUAUAUAUAUAUAUAUAUAUAUAUAUAUAUAUAUUAAGAGAAACUGGAUCGUUUACUAAUAACUUGAAUAUAACUACUAGUAAACAAUCUAAACUCUUAAACCCCAACCAAACACACACAAAUAAGCACAAGAUUAACAAGGAUGUCAUUUCAACUAUAAUUCCCUUCUAGGUCUAGAUGCUUGGUAACGAAAGAAGUAUUUCAUAAAUCUAAUGUCACACAUCGGAAAAUUCGACUUUUUCCAAAAAUUCUCAAAUUUUACAAGAAUGAAGGUUUCAACAAGUAGAGUAAACUUUAUACCUGUGGCUAAAUCCAAUUUGGCCAGGAAGGCCCUCAAAUUGGCUCGCACCCGUUGAAACCCUAAGGUGGGUGUUCUUCAAUUCGGCUUUCUUGGUGUUCCAACGCUUCAACCACCAGUUGGGUCUUGUUCCUGGGUCCAAGGGAAGUUGAUUAAGGGUGGUGGUAAGUGGUUAUACUCUCCGGAACGACAAUUCGUUGUCGAGAACCCCCUGGGUUCUCCUAUGGAGUUCGACCCGAAUUAGACCUUAAAAACCCUUGAUUUUUGGUAAAGAGGAAAUGAGGAAGGUAGUUGAGCAAGUUGCAGGUGAAGGAGAUUGGAAAAAUCAUAUGAGAAAAGGAAUUGGCCUGAAAUUGGCCGGUUUGAAAUUGGUUGGUGGAGCUCACGGUUUCACGAAAUAAAGAGGGGGGGGGGGAGAAAAGUGGCCCUUCCUUUUCUCCAAAUAUGGGUCCUUUCAUACCCUUUAAAAAUCUGACAGGUUCCCCCCUUUUUUAUUUAUUUAUUUAUUUUUCUACUAACUUAACUUAACCUUUAAUCUAUGAUUCCCACAAUCUAUAGUUCACAACUUCAAAUGUUCGUAACUAUAUCGUUAUAAUCCAGACUCGCAAAUGGUUUUCGCCUAUGCAUUCGUGAUCUCGAUAUCUAUUCGAAAACGUUACUUGUGACCUUUAAUUAAAAUCUAAAUUCAAACAAUUUAAAAUAAAUUCUCGAGGAAUAACACAAAAUCUCAAUAGUACAAAUACGUAGAUUCUAACAGUGAAAUCCGGGAACGGGAUUUCACAUGAAUUGUUAUAAUUAGCCAAAUUUUCCCUUAAUGUUAGAUUUUGGAUUUUUUCUUCUAUUUUGGUCACAACAAAUGUUUGAAGGCAAUAAAGUAAUUUUAUUCCUAAUGUAUACAUCAAAUUGCUUUUUGUUUUUUCCUUCUCCACCUCCUCGACGCCGUUCAAUCAAAUUGCUUUUUGUUUUUUCCUUCUCAACUUCCUCGACGCUGUUCACUCCCUAUUCGAAUUAGUAGCUGCAAAGUAUUAGCUUUGCAUCCAAUUUACCUAAAUAAAAUUACCUUUUUGCCUUUAUACAAUUGUCAUGUGUUGUUUGCGUGACCAAAAUAGAGGAAAAAAUUGGCUAUUUAUAACAGUUUAAAAUAAUAAUCAGCUAAAAUUAAAUUUCAAAAAAAAAAUUAACAGUUGCAUAAAAGUUCUGAGGCAAAUCAAGAAAUAGGUCAAUUUUAAUUAAUGGCAUAUUAUAAGUUGGCAGCCUUCCUCUUCGCUUUUAUUCUUUUUCUCUAUUGGGUUGGGAUUUUUAUGAAUCAGCACUGAACAGGCAGAUAGGGGUGGUUGUUGGUUAGUCCAAUCCAAAAGUUGGAGGCUGCUCAACAACACGACAUAAUAGACGACAUAAUAGACAAGUAUACAUGCGGGGGUUGUUAGUUGUCCUAAUAAGAGUAGACAAAUGCUAUUGGAAUUCUCUUCAAAGUGGAAUUUUUUAUCGACUCUCUAACAUUUUACAGUUUAACAUCAAUUGUUAUGCGAACGUUAUAAAAUAUUGUGUAAAAAACAUGAAGUAUAGAGAGCCCAUUGAAAGUCUUAUUCUUGAGAGAGUCCCUUUAUCAUUUCUAUAAAAUUUUGGUUACAACCAUACCAUUAGAGCAUCUAAAAAAAAAGAUAAUGUAUCAUAUCUAUAAUGUAGCAUCUCUGAGAGAGCUCAGGGCUGGCCUGAGGGUAGCCCAAGUAGGCGCCCGCCUAGGGCCCCCACUUCGGAAGGGCCUCCAAAAAAAAUUUAUAUCCUGUAAUUAACAUAUAAAUAUAAAAAAAAGUAAGAAAUAUAAUAAUUCAUUUGUUAGUGCAGUGUAAAUAUUGGCUUCAUUUUUCUUUGGGAUGUUGAGUUCGAAACACGAAGCUGCCUUUCAGUUACUAGAAUUUUCUUAAUUUUUCUUGUUUUUCAAAUUUACUGCCAAUCUACCUGUCCAACUCUCAAUCCAUCUAUCCAAAUGCAUAUAAAAUUAUAAAACUCAAGGUCUCUUUGCAAUCUUUUUUCUUUCAACUUCUCAUUCUCUCUAUUUCUAUCGAAUGUUUAAACUAACUUCUCAUUCUCUCCAUUUCUAUUGAGUGUUUAAACUAACUAUCAUAUGGUCUUAAAGAUUGUACUUUAAGGUAAUCAAAACUUUGAAUUUUAUAUUUUUCUUUUCAAUAACUUUUUAUUCAAUGGAUUAUUUUAAUAUUCAAUUCGUUAGUGUGAUGUUGAUUUUAGAAGAAAAAAAAAAUACAAGAGAAACAAUUGGCGUUAAAUUUAUUAUACUCGUCAAUCAAGUUUUAUUGUUAUUUACUCUCUUGAUCAACAAGUUUUAUUGUUCUUCACUCUCAAUCUUAAACUCUUGACUGCAAACAUUUAGUACAUUUGUGUAUAAAAACUUGAAUAGUGUAAUGUUUAAAUAAUGUUUGUAUAUUUAUCUUCUUUUGUUAUUAAUUUUUAAUGAUAUUUGAUGUGAAAAUAGAACUUUUUAUGUAUUUAGUGAAUUCUUUUUUAUACAAAUCAAUAUACAAAAAACUGGAAAUCAGAGAAUUUUAGGGCCCCACUUCGAAAGCUCGCUUAGGACUAGGCCUGGCAAUUCCUGACACGACCCAAUAACCUGACACGACACGACACGAAAUUAACAGGUGUUCGGGUCAACACGAUAACGAAACUGGUCGUUAUCGGGUAACCUGAUAAGCACCUGUUAAGAUAACGGGUUGGUUCGGGUAUAUACGUGGGUAACACGAUACACGAUAAGCAGAAUAUUAAUUUAAUAAUUUUAUAACCCUAAAAAAAUACUAUAAUAAUUAUAUAUAUUAAUUUAACAAUUUUAUACCCCUAAAAACUAUAAUAAUUAUAUAUAUAUAUAUAUAUUAAAUUAACUAUAAUAAUUCUAAUAAUUAUAUAUACUAUAAUAAUUAUACCCCCAAAAUAUUAACUAUAAUAAUUAUAUUUAUAUAUAUAUAUAUAUAUUAAAUUUUAAAUUAAAGUUUAUACCCCUAAAAACUAUAAUAAUUAUACAUACAAAAUAAAAAGAUUUAAAUCUACUUCAUAAAUAAAUAAAUAUAUAUGCACACACACAUACACCAUUGAACUUCAUGGGAUACAAAUUAUACGAAACUAAUUUCAACGAUUCAACCACCAAACUUGUUUGUAUAUGCUUCGAGAUCGCAUCAGCAAAAAAUUACAAAAAAUAAACAUUUACAGAUCAAGUAACGGGACAAAACUUUUCGACGGUUAUAAACGAAAAAUCACGAUUUAACGGUUAUUUUAACUCCGAUUUUGAUGACUUUUUACAGCUACACUCCUUAACCCUAUAUGAAUACAAUGAAUGAAUUUGAUCUUCAAUUUAAAAUAUUUACACUAGUGGAUACCACAAAAUCUUAUGUUAUACUUGAUGAAAGUAUGAAUAAACUCUUAAAUGUUAGUGAAUCUAUUGUUUUGAUGGGAUACACAUUCUACGAAACUAGUUUCAACGAUCCAACCGUCAAACAUGCUUGUAUAUACUUCGAGAUCGCAUACGCCAAAAUUUGCAAAAAACAAACAUUCAGAGAUCAAGUAACGAGAUAAAACUUUUCGACGGUUAUAAACGAAAAAUCACGAUAUAACGGUUAUUUUAACUCUGAUUUUGAUAUUUUUUUUAUAGCUACACUCCUUGACCCUAUAUGAAUACAAUGAAUGAAUUCGAUCUUCAAUUUAAAAUAUUUACUCUAGUGGAUACCACAAAAUCUUAUGUUAUACUUAAUGAAAAUAUGAAUAAAUUCUUAAGUGUUAGUGAAUCUAUUGUUUUGAUGGGAUACGCAUUCUACGAAACUAGUUUAAACGAUCUAACCGUCAAACUUGCUUGUAUAUGCUUCGAGAUCGCAUACUCCAAAAAUUGCAAAAAAUAAACAUUUAAAGAUUAAGUAACGAGACAAAACUUUUCGACGGUUAUAAACGAAAAAUCACGAUUUAACGGUUAUUUUAACUCUGAUUUUGAUACUUUUUUAUAGCUACACUCCUUGACCCUAUAUGAAUACAAUGAAUGAAUUCGAUAUUCAAUUUAAAAUAUUUACAUUAGUGGAUACCACAAAAUCUUAUGUUAUACUUAAUGAAAAUAUGAAUAAACUCUUAAGUGUUAGUGAAUCUAUUGUUUUGAUGAGAUACGCAUUCUACAAAACUAGUUUCAAUGAUCCAACCGUCAAACUUGUUUGUAUAUGCUUCAAGAUCGCAUACGUCAAAAAUUGCAAAAAAUAAACAUUCAGAGAUCAAAUAACGGGACAAAACUUUUCGACGGUUAUAAACAAAAAAUCACGAUUUAACAGUUAUUUUAACUCCGAUUUUGAUGAUUUUUUACAGCUACACUCCUUGACCCUAUAUGAAUACAAUGAAUAAAUUCGAUCUUCAAUUUAAAAUAUUUACACUAGUGGAUACCACAAAAUCUUAUGUUAUACUUGAUGAAAAUAUGGAUAAACUCUUAAGUGCUAGUGAAUCUAUUGUUUUGAUGGGAUACGCAUUCUACGAAACUAGUUUCAACGAUCCAACCGUCAAACAUGUUUGUAUAUACUUUGAGAUCGCGUACGCCAAAAAUUACAAAAAACAAACAUUCAACAAUCAAGUAACGAGACAAAACUUCUCGACGGUUAUAAACGAAAAAUCACAAUUUAACAGUUAUUUUAACUUUGAUUUUGAUGAUUUUUUACAGCUACACUCUUUGACCCUAUAUGAAUAUAAUGAAUGAAUUCGAUCUUCAAUUUAAAAUAUUUACACUAGUGGAUACCACAAAAUCUUAUGUAAUACUUAAUGAACAUAUGAAUAAACUCUUAAGUGUUAGUGAAUCUAUUGUUUUGAUGAGAUACGCAUUUUGCGAAACUAGUUUCAAUGAUCUAACCGUCAAACUUGUUUGUAUAUGCUUCGAGAUCGCAGACACCAAAAAUUGCAAAAAACAAACAUUCAAAGAUCAAGUAACGUGACAAAACUUUUCGACGGUUAUAAACGAAAAAUCACGAUUUAACGGUUAUUUUAACUCCGAUUUUGAUGAUUUUUUACAGCUACACUCCUUGACCCUAUAUGCAUACAAUGAAUGAAUUGAAUCUUCAAUUUAAAAUAUUUACACUAAUCUUAUGUUAUACUUGAUGAAAGUAUGAAUAAACUCUUAAGUGUUACUGAAUCUAUUGUUUUGAUGGGAUACACAUUCUACGAAACUAGUUUCAACGAUCCAACCGUCAAACUUGUUUGUAUGUGCUUCGAGAUCGCAUACUCCAAAAAUUACAAAAAACAAACAUUUAAAGAUUAAGUAAUAGGACAAAACUUUUCGACAGUGAUAAACAAAAAAUCACGAUAUAACGGUUAUUUUAACUCUGAUUUUGAUACUUUUUUAUAGCUACACUCCUUGACCCUAUAUGAAUACAAUGAAUGAAUUCGAUCUUCAAUUUAAAAUAUUUACACUAGUGGAUACCACAAAAUCUUAUGUUAUACUUGAUGAAAGUAUGAAUAAACUCUUAUGUGUUAGUGAAUCUAUUGUUUUGAUGGGAUACGCAUUCUACAAAACUAGUUUCAACGAUGCAACCAUCAAACAUGUUUAUAUAUACUUCAAGAUCGCAUACACCAAAAAUUGCAAAAAACAAACAUUUAGAGAUCAAGUAACAAGACAAAACUUUUCGAUGGUUAUAAACGAAAAAUCACGAUUUAACGGUUAUUUUAACUCCGAUUUUGAUGAUUUUUUACAACUAUACUUCUUGACCCUAUAUGAAUACAAUGAAUGAAUUCGAUCUUCAAUUUAAAAUAUUUACAUUAGUGGAGACCACAAAAUCUUAUGUUAUACUGAAGGUUCUAAAAGUCGCUAGGUGCUAGUCAGGCGGCGGGCUGGGGCUUAGGGCCUAGGCGGGCGCCUAGGCGGACUAGGCGGAUUUAAGUAAAUCUAUCAUAUUUCAGGCAAAUAAGUGUCUGCUUCUACUUGAAAUAUAUAUAAUUUCAUCAUAAACUACAAAAUAGAAUGUAUAUAUAACAUGAAGUAUUGGAACAUAAUGAAAACAUGUGAAAUAAAGAUAUAAUGUUUGUUCUUUCAAGUAUGCAACAAGUCUCUUACAAUUUAUUGGAAAAAAACAAAAUGCAAAAUGAAAGUUAUGUAUUUUCUGUCUAAGUGAGUUGCAACCUAGGCGGGUCUAGGCAGAUGCCUAGGUAGGCUAGGCAGGUGCCUAGGCGGGCUAGGCGGGUGCCUAGGUGGUCUAGGCUAGGGCCUAGCGCCUAGGCGGGGAUUUUUAGAACAGUGGUUAUACUUGAUGAAAGUAUGAAUAAACUCAUAAAUGUUAGUGAAUCUAUUGUUUUGAUGAGAUACGCAUUCUACGAAACUAGUUUCAACGAUCCAACCGUCAAACAUGUUUGUAUAUACUUCGAGAUCGCAUACGCCAAAAUUUGCAAAAAACAAACAUUCAGAGAUCAAGUAAAGAGACAAAACUUUUCGACGGUUAUAAACGAAAAAUCACGAUUUAACGGUUAUUUUAACUCCGAUUUUGAUGAUUUUUUACAGCUACACUCCUUGACCCUAUAUGAAUACAAUGAAUAAAUUCGAUCUUUAAUUUAAAAUAUUUACACUAGUGGAUUCCACAAAAUCUUAUGUUAUACUUAAUGAACAUAUGAACAAACUCUUAAGUGUUAGUGAAUCUAUUGUUUUGAUGAGAUACGCAUUUUGCGAAACUAGUUUCAACGAUCUAACCGUCAAACUUAUUUGUAUAUGCUUCGAGAUCACAGACACCAAAAAUUGCAAAAAACAAACAUUCAAAGAUCAAGUAACGGGACAAAACUUUUCGACGGUUAUAAACGAAAAAUCAUGAUUUAACGGUUAUUUUAACUCCGAUUUUGAUGAUUUUUUACAGCUACACUCCUUGACCCUAUAUGCAUACAAUAAAUGAAUUCGAUCUUCAAUUUAAAAUAUUUACACUAGUGGAUACCACAUAAUCUUAUGUUAUACUUGAUGAAAAUACGAAGAAACUCUUAAGUGUUAGUGAAUCUAUUGUUUUGAUGGGAUACGCAUUCUACGAAACUAGUUUCAACGAUCCAACCGUCAAACAUGUUUGUAUAUACUUUGAGAUCGCGUACGCCAAAAAUUGCAAAAAACAAACAUUCAGAGAUCAAGUAACGAGACAAAACUUCUCGACGGUUAUAAACGAAAAAUCACGAUUUAACGGUUAUUUUAACUCUGAUUUUGAUGAUUUUUUACAGCUACACUCCUUGACCCUAUAUGAAUACAAUGAAUGAAUUCGAUCUUCAAUUUAAAAUAUUUACACUAGUGGAUACCACAAAAUCUUAUAUUAUACUUGAUGAAAGUAUGAAUAAACUCUUAAGUGUUAGUGAAUCUAUUGUUUUGAUGGGAUACGCAUUCUACGAAACUAGUUUCAACGAUCCAACCAUCAAACAUAUUUAUAUAUACUUCAAGAUCGCAUACACCAAAAAUUGCAAAAAACAAACAUUUAGAGAUCAAGUAAUGAGACAAAACUUUUCGACGGUUAUAAACGAAAAAUCAUGAUUUAACGGUUAUUUUAAUUCCGAUUUUGAUGAUUUUUUAUAGCUACACUCCUUGACCCUAUAUGAAUACAAUGAAUGAAUUCGAUCUUCAAUUUAAAAUAUUUACAUUAGUGGAGACCACAAAAUCUGAUGUUAUACUUGAUGAAAGUACGAAUAAACUGUUAAAUGUUAGUGAAUCUAUUGUUUUGAUGAGAUACGCAUUCUACGAAACUAGUUUCAACGAUCCAACUGUCAAACAUGUUUGUAUAUACUUCGUGAUCGCAUACGCAAAAAAUUGCAAAAAACAAACAUUCAGAGAUCAAGUAACGAGACAAAACUUUUCGACGGUUAUAAACGAAAAAUCACGAUUUAACGGUUAAUUUUAACUCCAAUUUUGAUGAUUUGUUACAGCUACACUCGUUGACCCUAUAUGAAUACAAUGAAUGAAUUUGAUCUUCAAUUUAAAAUAUUUACACUAGUGGAUACCACAAAAUCUUAUGUUAUACUUAAUGAAAGUAAGAAUAAACUCUUAAGUGUUAGUGAAUCUAUUGUUUUGAUGGGAUACGCAUUCUACGAAACUAGUUUCAACGAUCUAACCGUCAAACUUUUUUUUAUAUGCUUCGAGAUUGAAUACUCCAAAAAUUGCAAAAAACAAACAUUUAAAGAUUAAGUAACAGGACAAAACUUUUCGACGGUUAUAAACUGAAAAUCACAAUUUAACGGUUUUUUUAACUCCGAUUUUGAUGAUUUUUUACAACUAAACUCCUUGACCCUAUAUGAAUACAAUGAAUGAAUUCGAUCUUCAAUUUAAAAUAUUUACACUAGUAGAUACCACAAAAUCUUAUGUUAUACUUAAUGAAAGUACGAAUAAACACACUAGUGGAUCACUUUCAUUAAGCUUUGAGUUCCAUUGACAAGGUUUAAACUUUUGAGAAAGGCUUCACAACCUUGAAAACAAAAACGCUUUCAUUUUUAAUAUCCUUGCACAUUGAAUAUUUGUAAUAGAUUAGUAGUGUAUGGAUGUAUUUUUUAUGAGGCUCUUAUUUUCGAGUGUAGAUGUAGUACUUAAACGACAAAUGUGUUUUAAUGUUUUGAAGUAAUAUUUAUGUGACAAUGUGUGGUAUGUGCAAAUUUAAGAAAUUUUUUUUUUCUUAAGGGAUCCUAACGGGUUAUAACGGGUCGGGUCACUUUACCCGUUGGGUAAAGUGACCCAACCUGUUAAGGACUCAUUAAGAUAACAGGUGUGACACGACACGACCCGUUAAGAUAACAGAUGUUACACGAAAACGACACGAACACGACUGACACGACCCGUUUGCCAGGCUAGGAUCCCCAAAUUCUCAGGGCUGGCCCCGAGAGAGCUGCCCUGUAUCAACGAUGUCAAUGGUCUACUCUUUAAUUAGAAGUGCCUUUAUGAUGACUUCACUCAUUCCAUCUGCAGCUGGCAACAAAUGUCCACCACCUGGUAACUCAUGGUAGUGAAUCUAUGGAAGCGUUUCGGCAAUAUAGCGUUGCAGCUCAACUUGGACAAGCUUAUCUUCAUCACCCUGCCACAGAUGGACUGAGCCUUGGUUGCUGGCAAAAGGGUUCUGCAGAUCCAUAGGAUCAAAUUCCCAGCUCCCAAAUCCAACUACCAUGUCGCGUAAGAUGGACUCAGCUUCUCCUUGCUGCGUGACAUAUGCCUGCCCAAACAAAUAACAAAACAAAACAAAACAAAACAAAAAUCAUCAACGCUGCCGAGUUUCUUUAAAAUCCUAAACAAUUAGCGAUCGAAUAAGGAAAGUACCUUGUGCUUUUCUCUUCCAGAAACCUUUGCAUUCCUAAUGAUUCCCAAUCUUGGCGGGAAAACACAUUCUCUGGUUUACCGGAUACAACGCUGGAUGAAGGAAAGAAUUUCUGAGUGUUCCACCAGUAGGUUAACCAAGGUAUAUAGUGAGCAACUCGAACCGCCCAUUGAUCUUGUGGAAGUUGCUUCUUAUAGGCAUAGGAUGACAAGUUUGCAGGAAGUCCUGGCCACUAGUAAUUGAUCACGGGAGCGAUUAGCGCUGCUCCUGCUAGCCUGUUGUAAUAAGCAUCCCAUGAUAAACCAAGUCCGAAUUCAAAGGUUCCCGCCACAACACUUACUGAAGAUCGUAAUCCGAUUAGUCAAAAGGAAGGCUGAGAUAAGCCUUAUCUGUUGAAAGUAUUUUGAAUUUAAAUAGGUUAUUUAUCAUUUGUAUUAUCUAUAAAUUUGGUUUGAAGAGUUUGUUCUUCAUCCAAAUACUUCUCCUUGGUUUGAAAAGUUUGUUCUUCAUCCAAAUACUUCUUGUAAUCACUAUAAAACAACAUCAAAUGGAAUACGCUCAGAUCAACGAGCACAAUUCUUUUAUGGUAUCAUCCCUUUCCAAGUUUUACGACAUAUUCCCUUCCCAAUACAAUGUCUUCUUCCGCUGCCCUCACCAAUGUUUCUGCUUUUCUUCCUCUAAAACUUGAUCGCCAUAACUAUCCCUUGUGGCAUGCCCAGUUUGUUCCACUUAUUCGGAGUCGCAGUUUGAUGCCUUAUAUUGAUGGCACUUCUCAGUGCCCUCCGCUUUUCUCCUGGAUGAUGACGGUCAACAUACUGACACCAUCAAUCCUCUCUUUGAACCUUGGAUCCAGACUGACCAGAUGGUUCUCUCGUGGCUCACUAGUUCCCUCUCUCAUCUUGUUAUGCAUGUUGUCGUCAAAUGCAUUAGUGCUGCCGAGGCCUGGAAGGCGUUACAGGACCGAUAUGCACAUUCCUCACACAAUCGUGUUAUUCAACUUCGCGGGGAACUUCUCAAUCUCCGCCGUGGUGAUCUCAGUAUUGCAGAUUAUUUGGAUAAACUCAACACCUUGGCUGAUCAGUUGGCCUUAUCUGGUUCUCCCAUUGCUGACGCGGACUUAAUUACCACGAUCAUGAAUAAUGUCGGCCCGCUGUAUGAGAACACAGUUGCCUCAAUCCAAGCCCGAGAAAUUCCUAUCUCGUAUGUUGCUUUGGAAGCACUGCUUCUCAGUGCUGAAACUCGUCAUCUUACCUUCAAUUUGUCUUGCGACACUUCUGCUCCUGCUUUGACUGCUAUGGCUGCUACUUGUGGCCGUCGGAACCCUGCUCCUGCAGGUUUUGCGCGUGGCGGAGGCCGUGGCGCUGUCCCUCCUCGUGGUGGAAAUCAGACUCGGCCAAAUGCUGUUGCUGCUCCUAAUCCAGGACGUCCCCAUGACGGUAUUCUUGGUGCGGGACCCUCACCGUCUGAUCGCCCACCCCUUCGCUACCAGAUUUGUCGUCGUAAUGGUCACUCUGCCAUUGACUGUUACAACCGUAUGAAUACGUCUUAUGAAGGUCGUGUUCCAAGUGCUCGUCUCACAGCCCUUGCUGCACAGUCUACCCGUGUACCCCAGUCUGUCUCUACUGCUCCCACAACGUGGCUUCUGGACUCUAGAGCCAACACCCAUAUCACCAAUGAUCCUAGUCAACUUACAAAUGCAUAGAAGUACACAGGCACAGAUCAAGUCGGUGGUGUUCAUGGUGGUCAAGGUUUGCACAUUUCCCAAAUAGGCACAUCUUUUAUUCACUCUCCCACUAGCUCCUAUCCUCUUUCUAAUACUUUAUAUUGUCCUGAUGCCUCUCAAAUAUAUUAUCUAUCAAUCAAUUCUUCUGACACUGGCUGUUUCUUUGUCCUUCAUCCUAAUUUCUUCCGUGUUCAGGAUAUCCGCUCGGGGAAGAUCCUUUUAUCAGGCCGGAGUAACACUGGUGUUUAUCCAUAUGCCAGUUUUAAUUUCAAUAAAAGACAUGGACUAUUUUUGUGCAUGGGAGUCAAGGUUGAUGAUCGUAUUUGGCACUCCAGACUCGGUCAUCCAUCGUCAUUUAUUUUAAAACAUUUAGUUUCUACUAGCAAAGUGCCUCUUACUAGGCACCAUUUUAAUUCUGUCUGUCAUUCAUGCCCUUUGGGCAAAAGCAAGAAAUUGCCAUUUUUACCAUCAAAUUCUAUUUCCCAUUUUCCUUUACAACUUAUUCAUUCUGAUGUGUGGACGUCCCCUACUUUGUCAAUUUCUGGUUUUCGAUAUUAUGUGAUUUUCAUUGAUGAUUUUUCGCAAUAUACAUGGCUAUAUCCUUUAAAACUAAAAUCUGAUGUGUUCUCCACAUUCAUUAAAUUUCAAACUGAAAUGGAGAAUAAAUUUCAACGAAAAGUCCAAACUUUUCAAACGGAUGGUGGAGGAGAAUAUAUUAACAACAAUUUUAAAUCUUAUUUAGAAAAACAUGGCAUUCAUCAUCAAUAUACAUGCCCUCACCAUCCUGAACAAAACGGUAUGGCAAAACGUAAACAUCGUCAUUUGGUUGAAACUGGUCUCACUCUUCUUGCUCAUGCGUCCAUGCCACAAACCUAUUGGGCUGAAGCUCUACAUACUGCUAAUUUUUUAAUAAAUCGCCUGCCAACUAAAGUUUUGAAUUUAACUUCUCCAUACACAAAAUUAUUUCACCGAGAACCAUCCUAUGAUUUUUUUAAGGUUUUUGGGUGUGCUUGUUUUCCAUACCUACGUCCAUACAUGUCAACAAAAUUGCAUUUUCGUUCUAAAAAAUGUGUUUUCUUAGGUUAUUCUCAAAAUCAAUUAGGGUAUAGGUGCCUUGACCCAUGCACAGGUCGUGUCUUCAUGUCUAAACAUGUUCUUUUUGAUGAAAAUUGUUUUCCAUUUCAUGCAAAUCUCAGUGUUACUCCCGUACCAUCCUCUCUGCAUGAUAACGUCCCAUUACUCUUGGGACCCCUGAACUCACCUUUCCAUCCCCCCCAAAUUCGCCACCUAAUCCUACUUUAUCCCUUACUUCCAUUACCCAUUCCAACACUCUUUCAGAAACUCACCUUCCCUCACCCGUCUCUAUCACACACCCUUUGACUCCUAUUUCCUCUCCCAUCCACUCACCUUUACCCUCUUCCCACCCUACCCUACUAUCCCCCCCCCCAUUUCCACACCUCCAGUAAACAAUCAAUUACCUUUAACGUCACUUUCGACAACCCCAUCAGCUCUAGCACCCCCCACUAUCCAUCCUAUAGUUACACGUGCAAAAGAUGGCAUUUCUAAACCUAACCCUAAGUAUGCCCAUACUUCCACCAUCACUGCUAUGUCAGAACCUACAUGCUACAGUCAAACUAAUAAAUUUCAGGAAUGGAGGAUAGCUAUGGCUGAUGAAUUCAAUGCCCUACAACGUGCGGGCACAUGGUCUUUGGUACCUUAUACUCCUACCAUGAAUGUACUACCCAAUAAAUGGAUCUUUCGUAUUAAACGCAAGUCUGAUGGGUCUAUUGACAGGUUUAAGGCUCGCCUUGUGGCCAAUGGUUUUCAUCAACAACCAGGUCUUGAUUAUGGUGAAACUUUUAGUCCAGUGGUGACCCACUCAACCAUUCGUCUUAUUAUUGCUAUGGCUGUUCAUUUUUCAUGGCCUAUCCGCCAACUGGAUGUUCAGAAUGCGUUUUUACAUGGUUCCAUAUCUGAUGAAGUUUACAUGAAACAACCCACGGGUUUUGUUGAUCCUCAAUAUCCCACACAUGUCUGUAAAUUGCGCAGAUCGUUGUAUGGACUUAAACAGGCCCCUAGGGCAUGGUUCCAAUGUUUUUCUAAUCAUCUGGAACACCUUGGUUUUGUGGCCUCCCAAGCAGACUCAUCUCUUUUUGUGUAUUGUCAUGGUUUAAUUCGUAUUUACUUAUUAAUCUAUGUCGAUGACAUACUUAUCACAUGCAACAACAUUCAGUGUAUCAACUCUUUGAUCAAGGACAUGGGCUCGGUUUUUUCAAUGAAAGAUCUUGGUCCUCUCACUUAUUUUUUGGGUAUGGAGAUUCAUCGCUCCAGUCAUGGCCUUCAUCUCUCACAGUCUAAAUAUAUUUCUGAUUUGCUUCAACGUACAAACAUGGUGGGCUGUAAACCGGUCUCCACUCCUGCAGUCAGUGGCAAACGCCUUAGCUUAUAUGAUGGCGAACCCUUACAAGACAUCACCGAGUUCAGGAGUGUGGUAGGUGCGCUCCAAUAUCUUACUUUCACCUGCCCUGAUAUUGCCUUCUCUGUCAACUAGGUUUUCCAGUUCAUGCAUCAACCAACCACCACACACUGGAUUGCUGUUAAACGCAUCCUUCGCUAUUUGAAGUCCACUCCCGAUCAUGGACUUGUGUACAAACCUGGACCUCUCACCCUCACUGCCUUUGCCGACUCUGAUUAUGCAGGAGACCCCGAUGAUCGCAAAUCCACUGGCGGGUCUUGUAUAUUUCUUGGUCCAAACCUUGUGUCCUGGAGUUCUAAGAAACAAAAAGGAGUGUCUUGCUCUAGCACAGAAUCAGAAUACAGACAACUUGCCAUAACUGCAACUACUAUUUCAUGGUUUCGUCAACUCUUUAAAGACCUGCAUCUUCAUUUGUCUCCUCCAAAGGUGUGGUGUGAUAAUCAUUCUGCAAUCUCCCUUGCCUCUAACCUUGUUUUUCAUGCACGGACCCGUCAUGUGGAAGUUGACUAUCAUUAUAUUCGUGAGAAGGUUACUCGUGGUGAACUUCAGGUGGGCUAUGUCGCUACUCAAGAUCAGGUUGCUGAUUUUUUGACUAAAGGCCUGUCUACUUAUCGUUUCAACUAUCUUUUAUCCAAGCUUCACGUUCGCCGGCGACCACUCAGCUUGCGGGGGUGUGAUAAACCAAGUCCGAAUUCAAAGGUUCCCGCCACAACACUUAUUGAAGAUCGUAAUCCGAUUAGUCAAAAGGAAGGCUGAGAUAAGCCUUAUCUGUUGAAAGUAUUUUGAAUUUAAAUAGGUUAUUUAUCAUUUGUAUUAUCUGUAAAUUUGGUUUGAAGAGUUUGUUCUUCUUCCAAAUACUUCUCCUUGGUUUGAAGAGUUUGUUCUUCAUCCAAAUACUUCUUGUAAUCACUAUAAAACAACAUCAAAUGGAAUACGCUCAGAUCAACGAGCACAAUUCUUUUAUCCCAAACAUAUCAAACUUUAGGGAAAAAUUUCAGUACCGAACGAUGCAUCAUCUGGUACCGAAGGAGGCUUGUUGUGAAGUCUUACCUAUGAGGGAUGUACUGGAGACACUUCCAAAUGGCCUGUCCUCCCAUUGAGUAUCCAAUUACAUAAAAUUUGGAUCCGAGUUCCAGCUGAUCACCAAGCUCCUCUAUAUCUAACGCCAAUCUCUUCGCUGUUCGCUUAGGAUCUGGAUCACUUUCACCGUACCCUGGUCUGUCGAAAGACACAAUGUACACACCUAAAUCUUCAAUAACUUCCUGAGAAAACAAACAAAAAACAUCCGCCACGAAAUCAACCAAUAUAGAGUUGAACUGAAGAAUGACAGAGAACCAAUCAAGGUAGUACCGGAGAGACAGAUGUUGCAAUGACUGGACCAUGUCGGGAACUACCGAAGGGAUGAACAAAGAUAAUGUUAUACUUGGCCACUUGUUUUGGAACACCAUGUUCCUUGUAGGCCAAAAAUCUUCCAUCCCUUAGCCUUAUUCUAGGCGAUGUGACGGGUGGACUGCCAGGCGAACCACAGAUGUUCGGAGGGGGUGUUCGGGCGGCUGAUACGCCCACACCAGCAAUCCAACCAACAAGAUGAAUGUGAUCCUCUUAAACAUCUUUGAGAAUGAAGAAUGAAACUUUGCUCAACUGCAGUAAAGAAGCAAAUACAAAAAUAACAUCACACUUGUGGACAUUAUAUAAUAAGUUUUAAUUUUGGUAUAUUUCCCUCAAUUAAAUUGGAUCACUCAAUUUUUUAUGAGCUCCAAUAUAAACAGGACAUCUAAAUCAAACAAACACCAAGAAAAAAGGUAUAAACUAUAAACAAUACAAAUACAAACACACUUUACAUUUAUCGAAAACGAUACUCUAAUUCAAGAGACGGAUUCUAAUAUUUAAGAGAACGCGGUGUUCUAACCAACAUGGUUAUACUAGUUGUUUCUAUAGCGAAUACAAUCCAUAAAUAAGUUGGAAAUAAAAAGAUGCACUCCUUUGUUUAACCGAAACCACAAGAAAAGAGAUCAUAUGCACAUAAAAAAUCGUACUUCCUAAUGUGCUUUUUUGGUAAAAACUUACCACCAACGCUCCUCCCUCUGUGAUAAUUAUAUGUUUAUGCAGAAGAAAAUGGCAGAAACGGGCUGAGUGAGCAGCUGCUUUUAGCUUUUGUGUGGUGCUGAAGCUGCCGGUGUCGGUGGGCUGCUUGUUUUCGUAUUGACAAACGAAGAAGAUAGAGAAGUAACGAAGAAAAUUCAUCCAUCACAAUGAUGAGAAGUCAGAAGGGAUAUAAAUUUGUUAGACGUUUUUAAUUCGUUGUGGUGUUUGGUAUCGCGUUCCACCUAACACAACCAGCCACAUAGAAAAAUCCAUCCACUGAGUCAUCAGUCAUCAGACCCAUCACAAAUGUCGUAUGCAAUGCCAUUACAGCAUCUCUAAACAUGUUGUAAAAACAACUAAAAUUUUAUUUUAAUGAGUCAAAUUUAAAAAUAAUAUUGUUGUAGCAAAAAGCUGUCUUCAGUCUUAACGAAUUUGAUCAAGGUCAAAGCCACACACGCGCCCACGAGGUGGAGGUUUAGCCAAUAUAUCUCUGAAGCCUAAUAUGGAAAUAGUGAGUUUUUAGAGCUUAAGUGCGUAGCAAAAGCUUACCAGAAAAUGGUGUUGAUGCAGUAUUUAUAGGAAGGUGGGCAGUCAUAACGUUAGGAUUUUUCCUUGCUCAUGACGGUUUCCCAUUGGUCAAGGUGUGAUAUCCAUAGGAUGGAUAACGAAAUAAUUAUCCCGAAGAUAUUAACUAUGAGAUAAUACCUUGGGAUUAUCAAGUAUCUUUGAUUGAUUGUGAUGAGAAUUCCUUACUUAUUUGAGUUGAUUUUCAAUCAGGAAUGUAUUAAUGAUAGAAUUUGGUGACUAAUCCUAUUAUUAAUGUAUUUAACUUUUCCAUGUUACGAUAGGAAACUUGGUGAUGUUGUAUUCCGCAGCUCAAGCCUAUAGGGAUAUUGAAUUGCGCGUGUGAAGAUUUGUGGGCCCUACCCAUUUAAUGUGGGCUUUCUUGGUUUUUUAGAAAAAAACAAAUCACAUGUCUUUUUCGGGAUUUGUAGAAUUACUUUUUGCUCCACACAUAUCUCUAACAGACUAUAUAAAAAAAUCUCUAUUAUAACAUAAGGAAUAGUCACUUUUCAAAUUUAUAGAGUAACUGUCCAUCAGCUAAAUAUUAAAAAAAAAAAAUUAAAAGUUGACCCUUGAGCAACGCAAAAAGAAAGAAAUAUAAGAUUGUUGUAGAAAUGGUUUUUUUACACAAGUACCAUUUGAACUUGUAAGCAUGUGCGAUAAUAAUACCUAAACUUUCAAUUUUUAUUUGUUACCACCUGGACCCUCUUAAGUAUUGGAAUGUACCACCUACGUUACUUUUCAUCCAUUAUGCUGUUAAAACAUGUCACCUGAAGAGAUUUUUUCAUCAAUUAACUUCAUGGGGCUAUUUAGAAUCAAUAUGCUCCAAAAUAAUAGUGUCUGAGUUAAUAUUGUGCUAAAAUUGGGGGUUUGGACAACUCCAGUUUGGAAAUUCCCUUUAUAAAAGUUAGAAAAAUUCACAUUUGUAUAAAUUAAUAAAUCACACACCUACUUGCUGAUCUAAAAAAAAAAAAAAUAGUGAAAAUACAUUGUAAAUGAAAGACUAGAUUUUGUACAAUUUUACUUCAAUUCUUCAACAGUUCUUGCAAAAUCAAAUCAGAAAUCAACUUCUUCCUUUCUCUUCAUGACCUAACUCCAAGUCAGCUAAAAAUUUGCCUUUUGCCUUUGUAUAAAUUGACAUCAGUGAGCCCGAAAAAGUGAAUUGACAAAAAUAUCCCUCCAUGUGAAGAGUGAUUGACAUAUUUUAAUGGAAAAAUAGAUGAAAAGUAAUGUAGGUGGUAGAUUCUAAAGAUUAAGAGUGUCUAGGUGGUAAAAAAUAAAAAUGAAAGUUCAUGUGGUAUUCGCGCACAUGCUUGCAAGUUCAGGUGGUACUUGUACAAGAACGUCGUCCUUGGCCGGAAUUGGUUACAUAAGAUAAAGGUAGUUCUGUCCAUUUACCACUAGUUACUCUGUUACCCGGCUCCCGGCAGAGUAAAAGUAAUAAAAUGAGAUCAAUCAGCAUAGCAAUCAUAGUUAAGAGAAUGAAGCUUCAACACCUGCAUGUACGAAUUAGCAUAACAAUCAUAGUUAGGGGUCAACAUACGAGUUUAAAAGAAAUCAACCUAGAUCUUGACCCCCAAGAUGACAGUACACUGGAGUAAAAAACUAAAGAAUGCGCUGUGUACAUCAGCCUCGAUCCCAAUAGACCGAAACAGAAAGCUACGAUUGACUCGAAGCUAACCGAUCGAGAGAAAGAACUGUUGACCAACUUCAUGUGAGCUAACAAAGACGUAUUCGCAUGGCCAGUAGAUGACAUGCCAAGAAUUGAUCCCUUUGUGAUUUGCCACCGUUUGGACCCAACUGCUAGACCAGUUAUCUAGUGUAAACGGAACCAUGGAAUAAAGUGAAUUAAGAUCAUAGAGACGGAGAUCGGUAAACUUAAAGACACCCAGUUCAUCCUUGAAGUCCACCACCAAGACUAGCUAGCAAAUGUAGUGCUCGUGCAAAAGAUGAAUGGAAAGUGGAGAACAUGUGUGGAUUUCACGAACUUGAAUAAAGCCUGCCCAAAUGAUCCUUAUCCAUUUACAUAGAUCGACCUCUUAGUAGAUUUAACCGUAGGACAUGAGCUCCUAAGCUUCAUGAACGCUUACUCCGGGUACAACUAGAUAAAGAUAUAUGAACCGGACAUUGAAGCAACAUCCUUUGUCACUGACCGAGGUACGUACUACUAUAAAUUUUUGACCUUCAGACUUAAGAACGCAGGGGCAACGUACCAACGACUCGUUAACCGGAUCUUUAAGGAAAAGAUCGAAAACACAAUGGAAGUCUAUGUAGAGACAUGGUUGUCAAAAGCAAAGAGAAGAAUGACCACAUGACACACCUCCAUGAGUCGUUUGACCUGCUUUAAAAGUACAACAUGAAGCUGAAUCUAGAAAAAUGUACCUACGGAGUAGCAUCAUGCAAAUUCUUGGGUUACAUGGUUACUAAGCAUGCAAUUGAGGCUAACCCAGACCAAAUCAAGGCUAUCAUAGAGAUGAAAUCGCCCAUAACCAUGAAGGAAAUACAAAGCCUAAAGCGAGUGGCAAACCUCAACAAAUUAUUUUCACGAAGUGCAAAUGGUUCUUUACGGCAAUAAAGAAAAGCAAGGGUUUAUCUAGACAGAUGAAUGUGAAGAAGCCUUCACGAAGCUUAAAUAGUACAUCUCCAAACCCCCGCUGCUAUCCAAACUAGUCGAUGGAGAAGACUUGUACUUGUACUUGAUUGUGCAAUAAGCGUAUCUCUAAUCCGAGAAGACUCAGGGGAGCAGAAACCGGUAUACUACAUAUCAAAAGCUUUUCUCGAACCAAAGAUAAGAUAUCAAAAAAUGGAAAAGCUUAUCUUGGCACUAGUAAUGGUAACCAGAAAACUCCAGCCAUAUUUCCAGUCGUUUAGAGUGGUCUACAUGAUGGAGUAUCUGCUGAGAUACAUCUUGCACAACCCUGAUGCCUCGUCUAUAGUCACUAACUAGGCUAUCGAACUAGGGCAACACAAAAUAAUCUACCUGCCCAAGACAUCAUUAGGCUCAAGCACUAGCAGACUAUGUAGCUGAAUUCACUCCAGCAACUCAAAAUACUGCGGACACAGCAAGUCCCCAAAGCCUUCUAGAAAAUCCCUGCAUUUGGAAACUUUACGUAGAUGGAUUAUCCAACAUACAUGGGGUUGGCGCAUGAAUGGUAUUGCAAACACCAAACGAAUCUAUACUCAAACAGGCUUUGAAACUUGGGUCAAGGCAAGCAACAAUGAAACAGAGUACAAGCCCUCUUGAUAGGGAUCAGAGUCGCAGAAGAACUCCAGAUAAAGAAACUGCUAAUUCAUUGUGACUCGAUGCUCAUAGUUAAUCAUAUCAUAGAAGACUACACCACCCAUCAUCUUACCAUGAAACUCUGCCUAAAUAGGGUCAAAACACUAUUCAAGAAAUUUGAAAGGUAUGAAAUUACAAAAAUCCCUAAAACAGAGAACAACCACGCCGACACACUUACUGGGAUAGCCUCGAAUGUAGAUUACUUCCUUUGGUGGACGAUCCGCUUUGAAUAUCUAGAAGUCCCUAAAUCCAUGAAAUGAAACCUCAGGUGGUCAUUGUUAUUAAUGCUCAAGAAAAUUGGAUGGAUGAAACCAUUGACUACAUAUGGGAGGGAAAACUACUGGAGGACCAUAACAUGGCCGGAAAGUUAAUCUAGAAGAGGCCAAGAUAUAUGGUCAUUCACAGAAAGCUCUACCGAUGCUCCUAUUCCGGAUGUCAUACCUUGUGCGCCACACCAUAAGUUGGCCUACAAAUUCUAUAUGAUAUCUACUGCAGAGUCUGCGGCAAUCAUGCCAGAGGAAGGUCGUUGGCCCAGAAAGUGAUAACAGCAGGCUACUAUUAGCCCACCAUACGGGAAUACGCAAUCAACUAUGCCCAGAGUUGUUACAAAUGUCAAAGGUAUGCUCUUAUGAACCAUCAACAUGCAAAAGAACUCGAUACUCUAAUAGAUUCAUGGCCUUUCAUCCAAUGGGGCAUCGAUUUAGUAGGGCCCCUUAAGAAAGUCUCAAGGAACAAGAAGUACCUAAUUGUGGUGACAUAUUACUUCUCGAAAUGGAUAGAAGUGGAACCUUUAACAAGAAUCACUGCCUCGGUUGUCAAGUCCUUCGUUUGGAAAAAUGUCAUCAAAUUUGUAAUUCCCCACAUAAUAUUGAUAAACAAUGGGCUACAGCUCACCAGCUCUAAAGUCACAAACUGGUGCAAAGAGCUUGAGAUCCAUCACCUUACUUCUACUCUAAGAUACGCACUAGGUAAUGAACAGGCAAAAGCCUCGAACAAAACCAUUUUGCAAUGUUUGAAAACAAAAGACUAUAAGAAAAGUAAAGCAAGUGGCCAGAAUAAUUAGUCGAGUCGUAUGGACGUAUCGCACGACAAUCCGAAAAGCCAUCGAGAAAUGCCAUUCUCCAUGUCCUGUGGAACGGAGGCCGUCAUUCCAGUUCAAGUCACAACUAUGCCGAAUUUGCAUAUUGAAGAACGGACCACCCUAGAAAAGGAAGGGAUCUUGAAGACUGAUCUCGACUCUGCGGAGGAGCGUCGAGAAUGCGCUCAAGUUUGACUAGCAUCCUAUCAGUAGUAGAUCCAAUCAUAUUACAACAAAGGUGUCAAGCCUAGAAGUCUGCAAGCUGAGGACUUGGUCUUGAGAGAAGUUUUUUAGAAUACCAAAAUCCGAGGAGAGGGCAAACUCAGGGAAAACUAGGAAUGAUGGUACAAGAUCGCUAAAGUAAGAGGUAACAUAACCUAUCACUUAGAGUACAUGGAACAUAGAUUACCAAGAAAUAGAACAAUGCCAAGCUCCGAAAAUAUUAUCCAUGAACGGGCUAUCUGAACUACACAUAGUUUGAUUCCCUCCCCAAGAUAUGUAGGCAGUCCGCUCUGGACCUGAUUGCAACACCACCGUCUGUGCGAAGAUAAAUCCAUGGAGAACUUAUCUCCUUACACCCCGUCGUAGGCUUAUCGUCAAAAGUGAUCCCUGAUGUAAUUCUUACAUCAUAUCAUCUUUUUCUUCGAAUUACACCAAUGAUUUGAUUCUCCAUCCUAGAGAUAUAUAGGCAAUCAUUUCCAGAUUCAAUGAUACCCCAUUUUCAAUCAUCCUAUUUUGAUUUUGAAUGAAGAAGUCUUCUUUAAACAUUCAUCGCUUUUUUUCUUUUCUCUUUUAUGAUGCAGGGAACAUCUCAUAAGCUUUGAAAACUUCGCACUAAUGCAAGUCUAAAAAGUUCAAAGUAACAUUGUCAGAGGAGUCUCCCUUAGCCCAGUCCAUCUUGAAUGGUUAACAGCUUGAGAGACUCGAACCGUAAUAAGCAUGGUAACAGUUGGUUGGCUAUAGGCACGGGCACAUGGCGUCCUGACCUGGAAGUGCAAUGCACCAUCCGGUCUCCAGAAAGUUUAUACAAACUGAAAUUGGUACCAGGCAAAAUAUCCGGUAUAUAAAAAUUAUAAUCUGUUGGACUGACUAGUCAAGCCCGCUAGCAAACUAAGAUAGAUUUGUUAGUUAAUAAAUUGAAGAUUCAAUUACCAAUUUCAAUUACCAAAAAUUAUCAUAGUCAGCAAGGCAGCAGUUCAUUGCAAGUUAUAAAUGUCAAGAUGGCAAGAUUAUGAACACAUACCAUUUAAAUGUUCAACUAAUAUAUGUCUCAUGUAUGUGUAUGUGAAAUAUGUGACACAAUAAAAAUAACUUGAACACAAUAUAUUUUUGGCUGGAAAAACCCACCUCUGGGUUAAAAAACUGGGGACUCUUCACUGAGUCCAAUCCACUAGUGUAAACAAAGGUUCAUUCAAAGACCACACAAGCUCAAUUCUUAGACGAGAUAGAUUCCUUUGGUCUCCACUGAGCAACUAUACCUUUAUGCAACGCUUUACACGAGACUGAUUCCUUUGGUCUUCACGAAGUGGCAGCUCCUCCUGAGCUCAUCACCUUGUGGCACCGAGAUCAACACGAUCAAUGAUAUGAUAUGAUUUUAUAAUAUGCAUAUGAAAUCUGGAUUCAAAUGACAAUUCAGAUUCUCUAGUCAAACAGUUGAAGGAAUAAUCUAACUUGAAUCCAAAAGCUUGGUCUAAAAAUGAAUUUAAAGCUUAAAACUAUACCCAGACAUAAAUGCAAAACCUUAAAACAAUGCAACCCUAAUAUACAAUGAUUGGGUGUUUAAUGCAUGAGGAAGGUUUAGCAGUUAGGGUUUCAUAAAUGGAGAAGAUGCAAGCUUAAAGCCUUUAAGGCAACUAUCUUUCUUUAAAAACUAAGUUCUAAAACCCUCAAGAACAAUCUAAAACCUUAGAACUAAAUAUACCCAAGGAAAUCAAAUUUUCCAUCAGCCAACUUAUCCCAAGGACAUUUAUCAACUGCAAAAGAGAUCUAGGCAAAUCAAUAGCCAAAAAAUUGACUACCAUAAAAAAAGUGUUAGUCAGCCCAUGUGGGCUGUCUUAAUCUGUGUGCCUAGACAAUUGGAUGUCAGCGUGCAAAGCUGCCUAGACAAUCAAACUAGACAGAAUGCAACACAAAAAGAGAUAUGAAAUGCACAUGCAUGAACAAACCUUUUGAUGUGAAAUGAGCCAUUUCAUGAACAUUUCCUCCAACAACAACAACCCAUAGUUGGAGUAUAUUCUAAAGCUAGAUUGAGUAUGUGGUACACAAAUACAAUAUUUGACAAGGAAAGCCAAACACUUAAAACUAGACUUUACAAUCUCCCCAUUUGGCUUUCCUGACAAAUACCCCAAGCCUAGAACUAAUUUCACUCCCCCACACUCAAGAGAAGAGCCAAGGUAUGAAUCCUGCAUAUGAACAAUUCUUGACAAGAACAAGUGAAAUUUAUCAUGGGUAAGAAAAGGCUUGCAAGGUAUAAAACACAACAAAAAUUUUCUCCACCAUUUUGUCAUGGUAAGAUAAAGACAAGGUGGAAAAACGGAUAGAAUAGUCAAAUUUGCUGCAAAAAUACAGAACACGAACAACAAGAGCACAUCAGAUAAAGAAUUGGCAAUAGAUCAUAUGGAUAAGCCCAAGCAAGGUGUAGCAACAAUGAGACUAGAAAUGAGUAAGCACAAAAAAAUGCAUGCGUAGUGGUUUAACUCCCCUUUAAUGGAAAUUCCCCCAUAAAUGAUGCUCUUCAUGAAAACACACUCCCCCAUAAUUCUAAAUUUUAACUUCAAUUAUUCGAUGAGGGACAGUGACUCAACAAUCGAAGGCAGUGACUCAACAAAAAGAAGAGAUGACCAUUAAAACAUAAAGUUGAGCGUAGACAUAAACAAAUGAACCCAAACAAUCGAAGGUGACUCAUUAAGAUGAUAGAGAUCAAGAUAACAUUUAAAUCUUUGCACCAAUAAACUACAGCUGAAGCACAACCUAUGAGUGGGAUAAAAUAGUUUGAGUAUCGAUGCUUCCAAGAGAUAUUGAUAAGACAAGUGUUUGGCAAAAUAAUAUGCAAUGCAAUUCUCAAGAGACAACUCUUCAAGGGCAUACAAAGACAGUAAUACAGAGAUAUACACUUGCUCAUGAUGCAAUUGUGAUGUGUCAAGGUAAGGGAUAUGUUUGGUGAUAGCUAUCUUGAAAUCAUAGAACCAAGCACAUAAUCUCAAAAGCAUUUCCAAAGUUAACCAAGCUUUUAAUAAUCCAUUGACUUUUAGAAACAACACUUCCUACAUAAUAUAGACAAUGGACAAGACUUGCAAAAAGCAAGGCAUAAGCCUUGGAGGAAAAACUAACUUUGGUAAAGAACUUUGAGUGAGGCACCAAUUUGAGGAAUGCCAAGGUCAUUUGAAUGAAGGUGAAAUUUUGAUGAAUCACCAUUGAUAUUUCAGAGAAUUUGAUACAUGACCUAUGGAGGGGGAUCUUGAAGCACUACACAUAACAUUCCAUGGAAUGCCAAAAGGAAGGGAUUUUUCCCAUUUGAUAGUAUAUACUUUCUUUUGAAGACACCAUUUUUAUAAAACACUCUCCCAUUAGAAUUUUUUUUUUGAUUUGGGGAGAGGACAAAAAGAAGAGAAUUGACACAUGGUCUAGAUUAUAGAGUAAGUAAGGUCUCUACCACUCAAUUAGGACCAAAGCAACAUUAAAUACAAAAACACCACUUGAUUUGGAUGAUUGGAAAAAUGAUCUUUCAGAGGCCAUCUAAGCGAAUUGGAAGAACCUUUUACAUCACAAUGAAAAAAUUAUCCAAGGCUAAUCCACAUAUUACUAUCAAAGUAUGACAAAUAAGAGGUGCAUACAGAUAGCAAAAUGAGAUUAUCUGAAUUAUUUAAAACAAAGUUUGGAAAAUGUUGAUUUUAGAAUUUAAUAUAAUAAAACGAAUUUUAAAAUAAAACAAUUAAAAAAAUUAAACAAUUUAAAGAAAAUCAAUUUGUAAAAGCCUAGGGUUCCGCCGUCCCCUUAACAAUCCUAUGCAAUUUUACCAACUACUUAUGAAUUUCUACAUACAUGGUUUGAAGGUUAGGUUUUCCAUUUUACUUGUGAUGUUCAAGCGAAAACGUAUAUCUAACAUGCAAGCCGUAUGUGAUGUUCAGAUCAAAUAUAAACAUGCAAGGCUCAUUAAGCUUGCAACCCUUAAGAGCGUGAUGUUCGCCUUAAGUGAACUUACAAUUACUAAUCACAAGAAGCUCUCCUCAAUUUCAGGGUGAUGUUCCAACAAAAAUUGCAUCAAAUUGCUUGUCUAGAAACCCUAAUGGUCAAGAAUCACUAAGACAAUUAGAUAGUUUAAUCGCAGUGAUUAAUAAUUCAAAGCAAGCAUGCAUCCAUUCAUAAACAUAUUAAUAAAAUUACAUAUUCAUGCUAAGGUUCAUGGCUUUGCCCUAGCAAAUGGAAAUUAGUUAUGAACAACUAUAAAACAAAAAUUAUUGAGAAUAAGGCUAGAAAACACUUAGAAAAUAAACUUGAAAAACUCUCUAAAGUGUGCGUGCAUUCUCCUGCUCUCCUUCCUUCCUCAAAACCCUAAUUGUGGAGCCAAAAAUAAUCACAAGGCGACACGUAGAUUUUUGACAAAAAAGACAAAACUACCCUUGAGGUAUACCGGGAUUCCUACGUGUAAUCAGCAGACAAUUAUCCUUCAACCAAGUCAAAAGUGCCCAAAAUAGGUAUCAACUUAAAACCUAAUUUAUUCAUAUAUUUCCCAUUUCAUUAUUUAGCUAAUCAAUUAGCUAAAUAAUAUACUUAUUCCUUUUAUAUUUCCUAAAAUUGACUAAUUAAGGGAUUAAUUACCUAAUCAAUCCCUUAAUUAUCAACUAAACCUCCAAAUUAUAACCAAAAACCCACUAGGGCCGGCCAUGCCCUUUAUUUUCUGUUUGUUGCUGCCAUUUUCUCCCCCUUUUAUGACAUUCAAAUAGCUAGUUAAUUAGGUUAUUACUAUUUGCUAAUUAACUAGCCAAUUAUUUCCAUAACUCCCAAAAUAACUAGCCCAUUAUCUCCAUAACCCCCCAAAAUAAAUCACCAUUUCCUCUCCUAUAAAUUAGGUCCCAUUUUCACAAAACACUAGUUCCAAUUCUCUUACAAAAAAUCCCAAAUAUUCUAAACACUAUUUCUCUCUAAAAUUCUAACUUUGGCAUCAGAGGUUCUUCGGCCAAAGCCCCCCCAUUCAUCGUGGGUGCGUGAGGCUCUUGGCCUUAACCUAAGGUGCUAGUUGUUUUGUAGGUGCAAAAUCGUCCAAGAUCGAAGAGGAGAAAAUUUGCAUCCACAAAUUGGUGCUUUCAUUGAGAGUUGAAAUCCAUACUCGUAGAAGACUCUCUCACAAAAAGGUUUUUUCUUUAUUUUCUAGUCCAUUUGAAUAUUUUUCAUACGUUCUUAUUAUUAGAAUUUUUUACUUGCAAAGGUUCUUUGAUAAAACAUAUAAGCAAAAUAUAAUGGCUAGAAAUUUAGAAAAUUCCAUAAGUGAAAAUUCUAAUAUACAAGAAAUGGGAUUGCGGAGAUCCGUGAGGCAAAAUGCGACAAUAAAGGGAGCGGCAUCACCACCACGAGUUUCCACCAUGGGAACCACUGCGGUGGCUACCUCGGUAGCCACCCACGACGAGGUCCAUGGUGCCUUCACCACGGCCACCAUGGGAACCACCGCGGUGGCUACUUCGGUAGCCAUUCGUGGCGAGGUCCAUGGAGCUUUCACCACGGCCCGAGCCGUGCCAUCCAAGGCUCACGGGACCAAGACCACGACCCAAGCCAUGCCAUCCAAGUUUACGUGGACCCAAGCCCAAGCCUCGCAUUUACAUGCACCGUGCAUUGAGCAGCCUGCUCUCGUGACCCAGCCUGCUCCCGACGAGCAGCCCACUCCAGUGGUCCAGCCUGCUCUCGACAAGCAGCCCACUCCCGUGGUCCAGCCUGCUUCCGUCAAGCAGCCCACUCCCAUGGCCCAGCCUGCUCCUGCCAAGCAACUUGCUCUCGUGGCCCAGCCUGCUCAUGCUAAGCAGCUUGCUCUCGUGACCCAGCAUGCUCCCGACGAGCAGCCCACUCCCGUGGUCCAGCCUGCUUCCGUCGAGCAGCCCACUCUCACGGCCCAACCUGCUCCUGCCAAGCAGCUUGCUCUCGUGGUCCAGCCUGCUUCCGUCGAGCAGUCCACUUUCACGGCCCAACCUGCUCCUGCCAAGCAGCCUGCUCUCAUGACCCAGCCUGCUUCCAUCGAGCAGCCCACUCCCGUGGUCCAGCUUGCUUCCGUCGAGCAGCCCACUCCCGUGGCCCAGCCUGCUCCCGACGAACAACCCACUCCCGUGGUCCAGCCUGCUUCUGUCGAGCAGCCCACUCUCACGGCCCAACAUGCUCCUGCCAAGCAGUCUGCUCUCGUGACCCAGCCUGCUCCCGACGAGCAGCCUACUCUCAAGGCCCAGACUACUCCCGUGGCUUUCCAAGCAGCCCAAGUCGGCCUAAGACUAUCUCAACCAUCCGGACCUACCAUCGAACCGGGGGCAUUCUCACCAUAUUUUUUCGCGGGUUUGACAUUUCCCAACUCAAAUCUCGCGCCUGAAGUUUACCACCCUUUCACUGCCCAAGGAGGCGCAUUCCUUCCAAGCUCUUCCAAUCCAAAUGGCGAACAACACUUGUCUCGACAAGUCAUAGAGUUGACGAGCGCCCUUGCACAACAGACAACCUUGGUGAAUCAACUUUUGCAACGCAUCGGGAUCCAACGUGCCUCGGAUGAGGUAUCCCGAAGUAGAACAAGGGUAGAUAGACCUUUUCAGCAGCGUCCCGGUAAGCAGCCACUCGACCAGUCACGAGCCGAACGUUUAGGCAGUGUAUAUUCCCGUCUUAGCGCGCGGAGGAGCAUGCACUCUCGACUAGGCCUACAGAUGAGCAUACAUUCACGGUUGGGGUCAUACUCCGAUAGUCAACAUGAGCAACCUUCCGGGCAAAGUCCAUUCGCGGCUAAGCCCACAUGGAGCAUCCUCCACCUCACAUCAGAGUAGGCAGCACGACGGACGGAGAGAAGCAGUCACUCAAUCCAGCUCAAGUUCAACCAGCAGCCUGCGAAGAACUCGUUCGCCUGCUAGGAACGCACCACAUGCACUGCAUCCGCGACAUAGACGAGCCAAACUCAUGGAAGAGCAGCCUAGACCAGCAAGUCAUGGCUAGGGGCAACCGAGAGAUCCGCUACCCCAACAAAGGCAAAUUCAGGAAGAAGUAGAAAGACUCUUGACCAAGCGAUUGCAUGAUUUCCAACGCAACGAGGUCACCGACAAGGCACUACGGAACAUGACUAACAUAAGCAGGUCACCCUUCACGGACAAGAUCGAGCAGGCAGAGCCUCCACGCGAGUUCAGCAUGCCACAUUUCACAUUUUUCAAAGGGGAUGAAGACCCGGAGAGACACUUAAAGCGCUACCGAAGCACAAUGAUCCUUUAUCGAAAUAAUGAUGAUCUCAUGUGCAAGAUAUUCGCCACUACUCUACAAGGCGAGGUGCAAGAUUGGUUCUACACUCUGCCGCCACAAUCCAUCCGGAAUUUCUACGAACUUUCUUUGGUUUUCACCAAAGAAUAUUCAUCCUAUCGCUCGAUCAAAAAGAAGUCUGACCAUUUGUUCGACGUCAAGAAGAACCCAAAAGAGUCGCUUCGCGACUAUGUGAGGAGGUUCAAAGUAGAGAAGGCAAAAAUAGUCAGAUGCAACGACUCGAUAGCUAGAGCAGCCUUCCAAAAAGGACUUCCGGCAGACCACCCGCUAUUCAGAAAAUUGAUUAUGAAAGAAGAUCUAACUCUGGCAGACUCUUUUGCUUUGGCAGAGAAGCAUGCACUGCGGGAUGAGGCUCGCCAAUGCAUAUUCAAGGACUUGAAGAAGUACCCGACAUCACCUCCCUAGAAGCAGCGGAUGACUUAUUCGCAUGUUUGACGGUAUCUAAAGUAGCAAUAAGCUCUACCAUUAUGCGAGAAGAGCUGGGGGCCCGACUACUUGUAUUCUACAGUUACCUGCAGUCAUCAUCAUGACACACUAUUCUGCCGAAUCUAAACCGGCGGCGAUAAAGGCGUAGACCCUGGCAGAUGCAAAGUUUUCUGACGAACGUAACAACUCGGCCCAAUGAUGCCCCGAAGGCAGUCGAUCACACUUUAGCCGCACAUAUUCCCUCAAUGGAGAUUUCUGGCAUUCGCAUGUCAACGGCGCAUCCAACUACAAAGGCUCGCGAGCAGCCGUGGUUCGUGGCAACCGACUACUUCACCAAAUAAGUGGAAGCAGAGCCCAUGACGACCACAAUUCAGACGGACAUAGAGCGCUUCAUAUGGAGGAACAUCAUUUACUGAUUUGGCAUUCCUUAAUCCAUCGUCACCAACAACGGCCUGCAAUUCGUGGGCAAAGAUUUGGCGAAGUUUUUCCAAAAAUAUGGCAUCAAGCAGCAUAUGUCCAUGCCGAGAUAUCCUCAAGGCAAUAGGCAGGCCGAAACAUCCAAAAAGAUGGAUCUCAUCUGGGAAGGUCUGUAUAAGCUCAGCAGAAUAGGCGGCAAGAGUAAUUAUACCCCUGCUACCAUGAAACGAUAAAAAGAUCGAAAAGUAGUGGAGCGCCUACAAUCUGAAGAAGUACCAUGUGUGACCUCCCACUACAUCAAGCCCGAAGACUCAAGAAGCUUGACGGGCACCACCUCACAAGUCGAGGACUAUCCAGUUGUUAUGCAGUUCCUACCUUAUAGCUAAGUUCUCGUUUGUUUCACUCGUUUUUCAAUGAGGAAUUCAGAAGUAAUCACAACUGAUCACUCCGGCACUUCAAAAGAAGACUGCGCCCUUCUUAGGGACCCAUCGCAGGAAUUGCGCCCCCCGAUGGACCAACCAUGCUCUCCAGUACGAGAGGGUAAACUAAUUGCUCUCCAGUGCGAGAGGGUAAACCAAUUCCCCGACACCCAUAUGGGUCAGCUCUCCAAGACGGGAGGAUAAACUUUACACUCCGAAUAUCUAGACGUGGAUGAGCCUGGCUGCCCUAGUAUAACUAGAUGCACGAUGGCUUGCGCCGGGAUUCCUAGAAGUAGCCGCAAUGGUCUUUUUCAAGGCUUAGCUAACUGAAGAAUUUUGGGUCUCUUGGCCUAAUCCGUGGGGAACCGGGCCCUAGAGACGGAGAGGGCACAUUACGCAGUACAUUCGAUGGACGGCUGCCCUGGAAUCCUAAAGCUGCUACCGAGUGCACUAAGGUAGCCUACGGAUUCCGGAAGACUGCCUACGGCUUGCCCUUCGAGCAGUAAAACCGCGCUAGACUUAGGCAACUGCACAUUCUUGUGAAAGGUUAAACAAGCUAGCGCGCAUAUACGAAGUUUUAUCCACUGCCGACAUGCUAUGUAGUCGAUAAGCUUCACCUCUGCCAAGCGCGGAACAACCUACACCAAGUCCUAAAGUGUUAUGAUACUUGCUACGCAACCUACGGAAUUGAAGAAAGUCAAGGUUAACAACCUAGUGGUUACGCGGACUUGUCUGCUUCUGUAAGUAAGGCAUCCGGCUGCCAACCCUAUGGCUAACAACUUUGCAAAGUUCUACACCAACACCUACGGCUGCAUAGGCUACGCGAGCUUGUCUACUUAUAAAAAAGUAGCAUGCCUGCCACUGGUCUAUCAAGUCUAAAGGUUAGAGCAUGAACAAAAGAAGUGAAGAUAAAGAAAAACGAAGGAAAACAUGUUUAUAAACAACUAGCAAAGGCCGAAUGAGUUCAAGCAAAACAAGAGCUACAAGGAAAAACAAAGAAAAUCCUAAAGGCUACCUAAAAUACUACACUACAUCAGCUUGGACAUCCCAUGACUACUCAGUCGCCACACCUUCAUCCGGCGCUUCACCCCCGGCUGCCCCAGUCUGGGCACUAACUUCUCCAACUACUUCACCAAUGGAAGCCUUAAAAAUAAAAGCAAGCAAGUCUUCUGGAGAAAUAGAGAAGCUCAUCCACUCCCUUCUUAGCAUAAGCAGCAAAACGAAGCUCAGAAAUUGCAAGCUUACGAUAUUGAAUCUGAGGCGAAUCAAUCUCAACAGCAAAGGGAGCAGGCUUUGACGCCACUUUAGCAGCAGAGUCCACCUUACCACUCUUCAUAAUAGCAAGUCUCUACAAAGGUGAACCAGACUUGGCUCCCAAAGAACGUCCUGGUACAGACUUCGGCACUGGGGGCAUGAUAAAACCUUUACACUGAGCAAUCUUAUCCACAAUUGUACUAGCCUUUCUCAACAUGGAAGACGCCACAUGCUCAGAUCUAGCAGCCUUAUUUUUCUUCCCAUUGGAAGAAGUCAUGUCAAUCAUAUAACUUUCGGUAGCAAGCGGACCCUCAUGAGCAGCAGAAGAAGUCUUUAGUUUUUUCUUAACUGGCAUCUCAUGAGCAGGCGGGGAAGAUCUCUUCUUUCCAUUUUCAUUCAUAGUAAGCUCCACGACAGCGAUUAGACGAGCCAAUGCAUCCACCUUGAUCCUCUUUACCUCCUCUUUCUGGAGCAACCCACAUUUCUUUCAGCAAAGAGGACUAAGCAACCAACGACAUUCAUGGUACUCAGCAGGGGAGCUCAACCCAGCAUUCCAGCAGGCAGGAGGCCUGCAUGCCCAACAUUCCAACAGCCCAUGAGACCCGCAAUCUCCUUAUUUCUCUCAAUCGCCAGCUUGGCCCGAUCAGGUCCAAGAGCCCAAAGGACAUGAGCCAUGCGGCUCUCCUAGCACUGCGCCCCAGCGCCACAAUCCUCGACCCCAGCUGCACAAGCUGCCUUUGGCUCAAGCCAAGCCAAUCUACCCAAGCAGUGGUCCCUGCCACGACAUCUCCUCAACCCAUGCCAAGCCAACUUCUGGCCCCUGCCUGCCGACGUGCCGCACCACCCCGACGGCUGCCCUGCAAUAGCACUAUCCAAGAAGAAGGCAAGAAAAAUUAAUUUUUUCUUACAUCGGUGAGGCACGGAGAAGACGAAGAAAUCAACGAAAGACGGUCCUUUGCACGGGUAAGAUGUAGAAGAUUGCUAGAGGAGGGGGAACAAAUAUCCUCUAACUUUCUCUCUCUUGUUGGGUAGAAUAAAUCGCUCUCCAAAGUUGAUUUAAUAACCCACUUAAGGUGGAAUUAAAUAGGCUUUGAGAGAAAUUUAUUUCCCUUUCCUAGAAGGAUAUAAUUUCCAUUUAAAGAGAGAAUCAACAUCAAAAUAGGAAACAGUCUUAAAUUUCCUAAAGUAAGAAAAUCUCUACACCUGUUGUCCUUUCCUACAAGCAGCCCAACAGGUGUGGGGGCAUUUGUGGAGCCAAAAAUAAUCACAAGGCGACACGUAGAUUUUUGACAAAAAAAGACAAAACUACCCUUGAGGUAUACCGGGAUUCCUACGUGCAAUCAGCAGACAAUUAUCCUUCAACCAAGUCAAAAGUGCCCAAAAUAGGUAUCAACUUAAAACCUAAUUUAUUCAUAUAUUUCCCAUUUCAUUAUUUAGCUAAUCAAUUAGCUAAAUAAUAUACUUAUUCCUUUCAUAUUUCCUAAAAUUGACUAAUUAAGGGAUUAAUUACCUAAUCAAUCCCUUAAUUAUCAUCUAAACCUCCAAAUUAUAACCAAAAACCCACUAGGGCCGGCCAUGCCGUUUAUUUUCUGUUUGUUGCUGCCAUUUUCUCCCCCUUUUUAUGACAUUCAAAUAGCUAGUUAAUUAGGUUAUUACUAUUUGCUAAUUAACUAGCCAAUUAUUUCCAUAACUCCCCAAAAUAACUAGACCAUUAUCUCCAUAACCCCCCAAAAUAAAUCACCAUUUCCUCUCCUAUAAAUUAGGUCCCAUUUUCACAAAACACUAGUUCCAAUUCUCUUACAAAAAAUCCCAAAUAUUCUAAACACUAUUUCUCUCUAAAAUUCUAACUUUGGCAUCGGAGGUUCUUUGGCCAAAGCCCCUCCAUUCAUCGUGGGCGCAUGAGGCUCUUGGUCUUAACCUAAGGUGCUAGUUGUUUUGUAGGUGCAAAAUCGUCCAAGAUCGAAGAGGAGAAAAUUUGCAUCCACACUAAUGGCUAAAUAUCUUUAUUUAUACUACUACAAAAUAAAAUCCUAAAAGGUCUUAGAAUAAAACUAGGAAACAUAAUAAAAUAAUAAAACAGAAAAUAAAAGGUUUCCUAUUUAAACUAAAAUUCGGAUUUCUUAGAAAAUCAGACUUUUGACCAACCAAAUCAACUCUGAUAUGGUCCCAAAAGGUCUCUUUUGAAAGCUGAAGACGUUCCCUACAAAUCCUCAGAAGAAAUCUUAUUCAAAAUAUACUAUUUUGACCUCCAAAAUACCCAAAACGUCCAAAAAUGUCAAUCUGGAAAAGAUGUGCGCUAGGCUUUUAUUUCAUCACCACGGUCAAACGGCUUGGUAGAAAAAUCCGAAACUUUGAUACAAUCAUCUUGAAAGGGUCACGAACAUUCUCCAAUUAGAAUCACUCUAAAAUUCAUCUGUUUGAUCACUUUUUUUCUCUAGAGGAAGUCGAAUGUCCUACAUUGAAAAUCUAUAACAAAGUAUCAGUAUUCUACCAAAAUAACCAAUAAACUAUAACUAAGAAUAGGGUAAAAUAUAUGAUAUAAUAUUGACUCAUCACCGAGGAGGUCCUGAAUGAGAUCAGGAGAGUCCUCUAACUCUACAAUUUCAUUGCCAAUAGAAAGAGAAAACUUAGCUAAUUUAUGGGCAACCCCAUUACAUGAUCUUGGCACAUGCACAAACUAGAUAGAGGAAAGGAAAGCCGCCACUUGCCUAGCAUCCUCCGCUAGCAAACCAAACUCGGACAAAUCUUGAGAAUGGUUAUUCAUAGUAGCAAUAACGAGAGAGGAAUCACUCUCUACAAUAACCUGCCCAACAUGUAACCUUCUCACCAACUGGAGGCCCUCCAAUACUGCCUCAAACUCCGCGUGGAGAGUAAACCCAAUUCCCACCUUCCUCCAUACUCCCACCGCUAAGAACUUCCCUAUCCAAUCCCUUAACAUAACUUCUAUACCCCCUACAAACUGCUCUAGUCAUGUGGUCCCAUCAACUUUGACUUUGACCCACCCAUCAGAGGGGGUCAUUCAUUUGAGUUGAGGCAUCGGCUUUGGCACACUCGGCAAGGCAUGUGCUGUAAGAGUAUAAGUAAGGACAACAACAAGUAUCAAGAGCAGAAUUCAAGUGAAAGCAAUUCAAGGGUCUAGAUGAGGACAAGUGUCACAAGAUCAAAAGGAAGUUACAAGGCUGUUAGGAUAUGGUGCUAAGGUUGUUACGUUUGUUAAAACUGAUAUACUUCAUAUCUUAGCUUACAGAGCAAGGUAUGUAAGGAUAUAAAUACUGAUAUCCAAAGGUGUAAAGAUAUGAUGAAAAAUACACAAGUAAUACAAAGAAAUCUUCUCUGAAAUCUCUCUGUCUCUAUCUCUCUAAAUCUCAGUUUCUUCGACUACCUUCAUUGAAGCUACUGCUUCAAUCUUCACAUGGUAUCAGAGCCUUUACUCUCCAUUUAUCAACUCUGUAAGGAUAAUAGAUGCCGAUUCAUAUGUGAUGAUGUUUCUUUUUGGGUUCAGCACAAAUUCACAGGGAAAAUCCUUCUCAAGGGGCUGUGUAAGGCUGGUUAUUAUCCUAUACCUUUUCACAUUUCUCCGAAGCUGCCAUCUGCAUCAUCUUCGUUUCACAAAUGCUUUCUUGCACAACCUGUUAGUUCAAGUCUAUGGCAUCGACGGCUAGGACACCCCUCUAAUGCAAUCACUUCUGCCAUACUACAUCAGCAUCAACUUUCUGCAUCUUUAGACUCUUGUAAAACAGUUUGUACACCAUGUCUAGAAGGGAAAUUUACCAAGUUACCUUUUUCUUUUCCCACAAAUAAAUCUGUACAUCCCCUAGAAAUCAUUCAUAGUGAUGUAUGGGGCCCUGCUCCUAUCUUGUCAUAUGAAGGGUUUAGAUACUAUGUAACCUUCAUAGACGAAUGUACACGAUUUACAUGGAUUUUUCCUUUGAAAUAUAAAUCAGAAGUGUUUGCUACAUUUGUCAAGUUUCAUGCAUUUGUGUGUACUCAAUUUUCUGCCAAAGUUAAAAUUUUACAAAAUGAUGGUGGAUGAGAGUAUAUUAGCUCUCCGUUUCAACAUUUUCUCACCACCAAUGGUAUCCUUCAUCACAAAUCAUGCCCACACACUCCUGAACAGAAUGGAUUAGCUGAACGAAAACAUAGACACAUUGUAGAAACUGCCCUUACUCUCCUUCAAACUGCUAAGUUACCUAAUCUCUUCUGGUUUCAUGCUUGUGCCACUGCAGUCUAUCUAAUCAAUCGCUUGCCCUGUGUCAUUCUUCACAUGAAAUCUCCUUAUCAACUGUUAUAUGGUCAUCUUCCACACAUUGGUCAUUUCAAAAUUUUUGGAUGUGCAUGUUUUCCUCUAUUGAAACCAUAUAACACUUCCAAAUUACAACCCAAAACAGCUACCUGUGUGUUUUUGGGCUAUGCAGGAGAUUAUAAAGGUUUCCUAUGUUUAAAUCUUAUUCAAAACAAAAUGUACAUAUCUAGACAUGUCCUUUUUGAUGAAUCCACAUUUCCAUAUGAAAAGUUUUCUGUUUCUGUCAAACCCUCACCUUUGGUAGUAUCAUCUCCAUCAUUGCAUCCUUCUCCAUCAUUACCAUGCAUUACCUUGACUAAUCAAGUCACACCAUCACUUCAUACUCAUGCAUCCUCAUCUCAUACUACAGCUUCAGUGCAUUCAGCAUAUAGUGCCUCAGAUUCCUUGGCUGCAUCUAGUGCCUCAGAUUCAUUGGAAACACUUACAUCUGUCCCACAUUUGAAUUCUUCUUUUCCUCCAAGUGUUGACAUACCAGGUACCAUGCCUACACAGUCUCCUAUCCCUGUGGAUCCUGAUUUCCAACCCGAUCAUCUUAAUGUUGUUUUCUCAUUACCACUGAAUGUGCAUCCUAUGGUCACACAUUCCAAGAAUGGUAUUGUCAAACCAAAGGCUUUCUCUGCUAGCAUUGGCUCUCAGUCCCCUGUCUCCGAGCCAAAGACAUUCAAGGCUGCUUCUCAAGUUCUCGAAUGGCAAACUGCAAUGCAGGAAGAGAUCGAUGCCCUUCAUUCUCAACAAACAUGGUCCCUAGUUCCUCUUCCAUGUGACAAGAACUUGGUUGGAUGUAAAUGGGUAUAUAGAAUUAAGAAGAAUGCCAAUGGCACUGUGGCAAGAUAUUAAGCCCGGCUUGUCGCCAAAGGGUACAACCAAGAGAAGGGUGUCGACUACGGUGAAACAUUCAGUCCGGUGGUUAAACCUACAACCAUUCGUCUUAUUCUUGCCUUGGCAUCACAGUUCCACUGGCAACUCCGGCAACUUGAUGUCAAAAAUGCCUUCUUACAUGGCGUUUUACAGGAGGAUGUGUACAUGGCACAACCUCCAGGAUUUCUCAGCAACCAGUAUCCAUCUAAUUAUGUCUGUAAGCUUCACAAGUCACUCUACGGGUUAAAACAGGCUCUAAGAGCGUGGAAUGAUAGAUUUACAAGUUUUCUCCCUGCCUUGGGAUUUCAGUCUUCACAUGCCGAUAUAUUGUUAUUUGUGCAAUCCUCUCCACAAGGCAUUGUUGUCUUACUGCUUUAUGUGGAUGAUGUUAUUUUAACUGGCAGUUCUUCUCAGUUAAUAGCUCAGGUCAUCAAAGCUCUUACUGCUGAAUUUGAAAUGAAGGAUUUAGGUGAUCUCCAUUAUUUCUUGGGGCUGCAAAUUAGUCACACUGCAGAGGGUUUAUUUGUUUCUCAAUCCAAAUACAUCAGUGAGUUAGUUGCCAAGGUGGAUUUAUAGGCAUGUAAACCUUGUGCUACUCCUUGUUUACCAUAUCAUCGACUCUUAAAGGAUGAUGGCAAGCCAUAUCACAGUCCUGAUCAAUAUAGAAGUAUAGUGGGAGCUCUUCAAUAUCUCACAUUUACAAGGCCUGACAUAGCCUUCUCCGUGAAUCAAGCCUGCUAGUUCAUGCAUAAUCCUAUGGAGUCCCAUGUCAUUGCAGUCAAAUGGAUCAUCCGCUAUCUCAAGGGUACACCGGAUUAUAGGAUACAUUUUAAACCUGGUCCCCUCUCUCUUCUAUCCUAUAGUGAUGCCGACUGGGCUUGGGAUCCAAAUGACCGACGUUCCACCUCUGGCUUUAUUGUUUUUCUUGGAUCCAAUCCUAUUUCCUGGUCCUCAAAGAAUCAGCAUACGAUCUCUCGAUCAUCCACAGAGGCUGAGUAUAGGGCGCUUGCUAUCACAGCUGCUGAACUCUCUUGGAUUCGACAGUUGCUUUGUGAUUUACAUAUUCCUCUCUCUCACGCCCCGUUGAUUCACUGUGAUAACCUUUCCGCCAUUGCUUUUUCCACCAAUCCUGUCUUUCAUGCGAAGUCUAAACACAUUGAGAUUGAUUAUCAUUUGUUCGUGAAAAGGUGACAAGAGGAGAUCUUCACGUUCACCAUGUUUCUUCUGCUGAUCAGUUUGCUGAUAUUUUCACAAAGGGUUUAUCUGCACCCUUGUUUCAACAUCACUGUGGAAAUCUCAUGCUCAGUUCCCUCAAGCAUGAGAUUGAGGGGGGAUGUAAGAGUAUAAGUAAGGACAACAACAAGUAUCAAGAGCAGAAUUCAAGUGAAAGCAAUUCAAGGGUCUAGAUGAGGACAAGUGUCACAAGAUCAAAAGGAAGUUACAAGGCUGUUAGGAUAUGGUGCUAAGGUUGUUAAGUUUGUUAAAACUGAUAUACUUCAUAUCUUAGCUUACAGAGCAAGGUAUGUAAGGAUAUAAAUACAGAUAUCCAAAGGUGUAAAGAUAUGAUGAAAAAUACACAAGUAAUACAAAGAAAUCUUCUCUGAAAUCUCUCUAUCUCUAUCUCUCUAAAUCUCAGUUUCUUCGACUACCUUCAUUGAAGCUACUGCUUCAAUCUUCACAUGUGCAGCCCUAAACGCCUGGUACUAAUAGACGACCUUCUGCCCUACCUCCAUAGGUAGCCUUGGAUGCCCUUCCCACACCAGAGAGUUACUCGUCUGCCACACACCCCAAAGAAUCAUGCAAACAAGUUCAAAAUUAGAUCUUUGGGUCUCAACCACUGAAGGUAGCCAUUCGCGCAUUAUCACUCCAGUAUAGACAUGAAACUAGACUCUACCAGAGACCCCAACCACACAUCCUUUGCAAACCUACACUCGCGGAACACAUGCCCCUCCGUUUUGAGAUCCCCCAUACACACCACACACUUUAUAUCGAGUUGCACCCCUUUCCUUGCUAGAUUACAUUUAGUCGAAAGAAUGUUCUGACUAACUUUCCACUUAAAAGUUUUCACCUUAGGGGGAAUCUUAGCACUCCAUAUUGACUUCCAGAUAGACGGAAAAGAGUUACUCCCUGCCGACGUAGACGUACCGGACGAGUUAGAUUGCACCAACUCCCUAGCCACCAAAUAGCCACUAUUAAGAGUAUACUCACCCCGAUUAUUAUAGUGCCAAAGUAAGAGGUCCGACUGUGAGCGAAAACUAAUCGGCAUAGUACUAAUCAAACCCACCUCCUCCUCUAAAAACAGUGUGUUAGAAGGACUUUGUAUCAAUCAACUUCUGCACUUGAAUAUCUUUCUAGUAACAACAAAGUGAGGUCUUGGUAACAAUCUACCCUUCCACUCCUUAAUAGCCGCACUAUUCCCAACAACCCAUAUAGAACCUCAGAUCAUCACCCCACGUGCCUUUAAAAUGCUAUUCCAGCAAUAUCCUCCUAGUAACAACAACGUUGGGAAAAUAGCGAGCCUUGAAUAGUUGGGCCACCAAAGACUCAAGUUGCUGGAAAAUACGCCACCCUUGCUUUGCCAAAACAACCAAAUUAAAAGCAAAUAAAUCCCAAAAUCCCAUACCAUCCCCCUCCUCCUUCGGUUUGGGCAAUUUCUCCCAAGACCACCAAUGUAUUUUCCUCACAUUUAGAUCACUUCCCCACCAAAACUGAGCCAUUAAUUGGUGAAGAUAAUCACAUAACAUCCUAAGAAGCAAGAAACAAUUCAUAGCGUAAGCCGGAAGGGCUUGAGCAACCACUAUAAUAAGAAGCUCUCGCCCCACACUACUCAAACAUUUUCCUUUCCACCCGUUUAGCCAUUUCAGAACUCGUUCCUUGAUAAAUGAAAACGUUUGUGUCUUAUUUUUCACCACAAAGGUAGGGAGACCCAAGUAUUAUUCAUGCUGCUUAACCACUUGGACCCCCCAAAAGCUGGCAAUAGAAAUUUGCUCCCUUGAGCCAACAUUUGCACUAAAAGCAACACUACUCUUAAAAAAUUAACCACUUGGCCCGACUCUUAAGAGUGGACAUCAAAUAUAUGUUGAAUCGCCACACUCAUCUAUACUAGCUUUCUCGAAGAGAAAACUAUCAUCAACAAAGAGUAAGUGGUGAAUAUUCAAAGCACCCUCACAAAUUUGAAUACCACUAAGAGCCCUACACUGCUUCUUUUUGGCAAUAAGCGCCGAAAGAUCUUCCACACAAAGAAGGAAAAUAUAGGCGAGAUUAUAUCCCUUUUUUGGAGUCCACGAGAUGGCAAAACAUAUCCCUUAGUCUCCCCAUUGAUUAGGAAAUAAUAGGAUAUCGAGGACACAGAAGCCAUAAUCACUUUGAUCUAUUCCCUAGUAAACCCUAAGUUAACCAUCAUAGCUUAUAGGAAUGUCAUUCGACACGGUCAUAUGCUUUACUGAGGUCCAUCUUUAAAGCCAAAUACCCCUCCCAACCGCGCGUCAUUUGUUAUGUAGGAAAUGCCCAAUCUCCGCUGCCAUCAACGAGUUAUCGGAGAUCAAUCUUCCAGGAACAAACUGUUUGGGUUAAAACUUAAAUCUUGGGCUUAGAAGGGAGUUGGCCCAGCGAAGAGGAGAAAAGCCUGAAGUCCAGCCCAAAUCCAGAAGGCAGAAAAGGGCUUUCCCGACUAGGUGCAUGUCAUUUGCACCACUUGCUCACCUACCCAAGGGCCAAGUAGUAUAGACCUGCCAGCUGAUCAGCCCAAAAGUACUUUACAGUGGUAGUACAAGUAAAUAGCUGAUGAGUCACUACCCUUCAAGCUGCAUUCGGGUAAGGUUGCUGCUACAGGAAGACAAGCCAAGUUGUCUAUAAAAGAAGAAAGAGAAAUUAGGAAUAAAGACACUCAAUCAAACAAACAAAUACAAGCACAAACUCUGCUCAAACCAGAUUUGCCUUCAAAACGAAGCUGUAGUCAGCCCAAGCCUUCAUCAUUCUCGGGAUAAACCUUUGUAAUAGCUUUGCUACCUGGUCAAGAACCUACUGUAGUAUCGAUUUCUUUCUGCAAACCCAUCUCCCUACCCCUUUUCUGAAAGUUCUCAACCCCCUUGACAAACCACAAAGAUAGGAAGUUACAAGACGAUCAGCCUUGCCCGACCUUCUUUGUUUUUGUCUUUUCAUUCAUUAGCCUAACAAUAUGUUGUAUACUACAAGUUGUAUUCAAGUUAUCUCUAGUAAUAUGGCUAUUAAAAGACUUUCUCAGCGCUUAAAUCCGAGUUGAAUAUGUCUUCAUAGUUCAAACUGGAUCUAAGUUCUAAACCCUCGGGCAUGUAAGAUUUGAUCAUCCAAAAGUCCUUGGCCUCAAGGCAUAAAAAAGAACCUUAUAUGGACUUAACCCAUCCAUGACAAGCUUUGAUAAACAAGAAGUCCGAAGUUACUUGGGGUGCAAGUAAUCGAUUUAUCACCUAGUUUUAUUUCUAUUAUAUUAUGAUUACAAUAGAACGUUGAGUAUAGAAUGAAUUCUGAUGGGAAGCCUCAAGGCCUACACGUAAGGCCCUACAAAGGCACCUAUUUGGAUUCAUUAUGUCCUUCGGGCUAGAACGAUGAGUAUAGAAUGAAUUCUGAUGGGAAGCCUCAAGGCCUACACCUAAGGCCCUACAAAGGCACCUAUUUGGAUUCAUUCUGUCCUUCGGGUUUAGAUAAUCAGAAGUAUAAUGGUUAUAAGAUUUAUAUAACCAAGGAAACGAACCAUAUGUAUAUAUUCAAAUACUAAGUUAAUUAUUAACGGGAAGCCUCAAGGCCUACACCUAAGGCCCCACAAAGGCACCUGUCAUAACUAAAAUAGUCUCUUGGGUAUGUAUACAAUUAAAAUUCAACAAUUGUUCUACAUCUGCCAUGCUGAAGAUAGCAGUGGCACGCCUGAGCACUUAAAAGUUAAUUUUAAUUGUGAGCCUCAAGGCCUACACCUAAGGCCCCAUAAAGACACCUUUCAAAGUUAACUCAGUCCUUCUCUUUCAGCCUUGCCCGACAAGCCUUGCCCGACUAGGCUUUGCCCGACAAGCCCGCCAGUAAAGCAGAAACCCGACAUGAAGCAUCAACCGGCGCCGACCUCUCGGGGAGCUGUGUGCUCGUCGGCCAGGGAACAUCCCCGAUGGAAAUUCCUGCCACGAACAUAGUUUGGCACGCCCGGUGGGAUUCCAUUUGUGUUGAUCGUGCAUGUCCAAAAAGAAAAGCCAUAAACUUAGCAGAAAGAAUUCGAAGGACGGUUCUACUCAACUUUUGCUACAAAUGGCAGAUCAAUCAGGGAACCCUCCUUCCCCAUCAGGACAGGUGGUCCUAGAAAGCCCAUCUUCAUCCGGAAAAUCAGAAGGAAGAGGAACUAAUGAGGAAUUACAGGCUACUAUGAUACAAGUGUUAAGGAGUAUGGAAAAAAUCUCUUUGGAAACCAAGGGGGAAGUCAGUAGACUGUGUACCUUAACAGGGAAUUUACAGAGAAGGCUAGAUCUGGAGUUUUCCACUCCAAAAGGUGCUCAAAAGAGUGGGAUGAGCCAGGUUACCAUUAGAAGUGAGCCAGUCAUUCCCCUAUUUCCACUAUUAGAAGAAGAAAAGGAUAGGGGAAAGAAGAAAGCAGUUCCUGAAGGAAGUCAACCCGUGAUAGAGCCAGUUCUAGAGAAGGAAUUUCCUACCUUCCCAUUAUUGUCAUUUAAUAAUAGGAAGCAAAGCGAGCAAGAGAGGAUGAGAUAUGGGAUGCCCAUAACAACAUGAGAAUUUAGCCAAAAAGAAAGUUCUGCAGCUUCGAAUAAACCUCUUCCUUACAGGCCACCCCCAUUGGCUCAUAAGGGAGGAGGAGCCAACUGGAGGAAGCCUGAAUCAAAGAAAGAAGCGUUCACGGCUAAUGAUCGAAGCCCGAGGAACGAGUCCGCCCUUCUCUUCAAUAAUAAUAAUAUAGCUACUCAACAACUAAGGGAUGAGUUGGCUGAAUUGAGAAGGGCAGUGGUUCAAAAUGCUCAACCACGAGCUCGCCCAGUGUUCAGAGUUACUUAUCAAAAGCCUUAUCCUGAACACAUUGACGAACAAAAUCCAUUUCCCCUCAACUUCAAGAUGCCCGUGUUCCCAACGUUCACGAGUGAAGAUAGCAGUGUAUCCUCCAAAGACCACAUUUUCAAAUUCUCUAAUCACUGUGUGGCAUAUGAAGACAACCCAAACUACAAGUUAAGGUUGUUUGGAAAUUCAUUGGCGGGGCUAGCAUCUCAGUGGUAUUCUUUAUUACCCCCUAAUUCUAUUGCCAACUGGGGGCAAAUGGAGAUGGCUUUCCAUGAACAAUUUUAUAGAAUAGAACCAGAAAUGACUAUUAAUGAUCUGGUUGAAGUAAAACAAUACGAGCAUGAGUCCACAGAAGACUUCAUGAUAAGGUUCAAGAAGACAAGGAUGAGGUGCCAAUUCCCGGUUAACCAAGCUCAGCUCAUAUCAAUUGCUCAAAGGGUUCUGAGAUUACCUUUGCGGAAAAGAUUUUAUGAUACACAGUUUAAUGAGCUACAUGAAUUGGUCAUUGCUGCCAUAAAAUAUGAAAGACUAUUGCUAGAAGAACAGCAAGUGAAGCAUACUUCCAAAGCUACUCCCUUCUACAAAAACAAAGCUGCAAUUCAUCGAGUGGAGGUAGGAGAAAUCAGGCUAGAGCAGGAAGAUAGCCAUGACAGAGAGGAAGUUGAGGUAUGUGCCGCUGAGAUGACUACGCCUUUCAAACCAUUAACGGUGAAAGGAUUAGUUCAACCCAUCAAAGAUCAGAAGAUUGUGAUGAACGAUGGAGGCUUUGAUCCGAUGAAACCUCCCAAGUACCAGAGCUAUUCGUUCGAUUUAGCCAAAGCACCUGAGAUUUAUGAAGAGCUGGUGCGGGCAAGGGUAAUUGUGUCCGACAGUGCGAAAAAAAUGCCCAAACUAGAAGAGCUAAGGGGAAAGAAGUAUUGUAAGUUACACUAUACCUUCAACCAUUCUAUAACUAAUUGUGUCCAGUUCAGAGACUGGAUACAAGACCUUAUAGUGAAGGGAAAGUUGUUACUUGACAAGCCACAAGCUAGUAUAAUGGUUGAUACUAAUCCGUUCCCAGAAGCUCCUAUCAACACAAUCCAUCUAGUUUAGAUGGAGAAGCCAGUAUCAUCAGUUGUUAAGGUAGAGAUAGAAGAUGAAUCUCAGGGGUCCCACAACACCCUUGCUCGAAUAAAGUGCCAGGAGAGGGACCAAGAGGUCAUGAUCCUAUUCCAAAAGCAGUGCUGGUAAAUGAAGCAGAAGAAAGGAAAUAAUAAGCAAGGGGCAAAGAGUUGCCCGAAAGAAGUUCAAACAAGGACCAGAAGCAAAGCAAAAGGCAAACAUGUUCAUUCCACUAAAAAAGGGAUUACAAGUAACCCUAAUCUAAUAAAUUUACAUCUCCACUCAGGGUGAUUAUUCGAGAAUGAUAUGUCUGCAUGAUUGCAAAAAUCCUACUAGGUUCGGCCAACACAGUGCGACUAUUUACGAGUUGAGACUCGGUAUGCUCUAGCUCCGAGUUUGAUUUCUUCACUUCUUCAAUUUGAUUUUCGAGGGUGUCAAGAAAAGUUGCUUGCUCAGCCUUGAGAACAACCAGUUGUUCUUCUAGCUUCUAGAUUUCAGAAGUCACUACUUCGAUCCUUGCUUUUGUCAGAGAGCCGUCAUUCAUCAAUUUUUUUACCUGAGCAGAAGUGUUUGAUUUUUUUCUCCUGGAAACAUUUUACGCGAUUAGCUUGUCGUUCAGCUCUCAUAUGUUGAUCCCGGAGAGCCCUCAAGUUCUCAAAGGAAGAAAGAAAUGAGUCAUGCUGAGUUUUUUACAGUUGACCAGCUUUGAAAAGAUCAUUCGUAACCUUUUCCAGGUCACAGAGAGCUUUAAGGCUGAAUGAUGCUGAGAAGUCUUUCCUUGCCCAUUCUUGGAAAAUUCGUUGCUGCUCAGGAAAGUCGGAAGGUGAAGGAUGCUGUGAAGAUUUUAGUCUUGUUUCAAGUUGCCCGAAUUCUUUAAAAAGCUUGGGCAACUUAGCAGCUUUUGAAAAAGGAGAAGCAGGAGGGGGAUUUUGUUCUCCAGUUUCCUCUAAUGAAGUAAUGGUUAUUGGUGGGGCAGUUUUCAGCUCCCCGACCUUCUCAAUUCCAGGAUGGGCAAUCCCGGCACUCCCAAUAGUCAAAUGUGGCUGCGAAGGCUUUGACUUACGAACUAAGCGAGGAGGAGAAGCUUCUUCCACAAUUUGCUGCAAAGGCCAAAGAAGGCCAAAUUAAGACAGAAAAACAGUUUGAAGCAAAGGGAGGUGUCGGGAAGAAGAAAUAUACCUGACUAAGCCUUGGAGCUUCACAAGGAAGGGUGUUAAUUCCUGUUGAGAAGAAGGUUCUCUACCAAUGAUAGGGGAAGAAAAAGCUGCACCUGAGCCUUCACCAAUACUCUAGAAGUAUCCAGAAAUCACGGCAAUUAUUAGUAAGCAGAUGGUAAGAGAAUGACCGGAGGAAGAUAUCUCCUUACCUGAGUUCGACCCGGAGAAGAUGAAGGAGGUUCAUCAAGAGUAACUGUCGGGCAAGCAAAAACCUACAGAGUAGUUGCAUCUGAAGUCACAGGAAUCUUAGGAGCUACAGGUUCGUCACAUGUUGCUACUGACGGGUGUUGAGUGUUAUGUGGUGAAGAAGGCUGAAAAAAGAGGUAAACAGAAGUUAAUAUUGAAACAAUGUAUGGGAAAUCAAUGCAAGGAUGGUUACUCACUAAAUUACUGUCUUCAUCCACGAAGUGCAACAUUACUCCAGUAGAUGGAUCAAAUUGAGAAGAAGGAGUUGCUUUUAGGACAUAAGGAGAAAUCAAAGGAGAACCUUGACUAUGCAAGGGGGUAGAUACCCCAACCUGGAUGAAGUUGAAAGAAGAACGAAGAUCAGGCAUUAGUUCCAUAAAUUAUAAGAGUUACCUAAAGAAGGAAGGGAAUGUACCUCCGAAGGAUUAACCCAGGGGGGAGAAAGGCUGGUUUCUAGGCUAAGUGGUAAAGAGACCUCGGGCGGAUGAAGUUUUUCCUUUCUAGCAGCCUGACUCAAGAAAACAUGCACAGAGUUGUAAAGACAGGAGAGACUAUGCAGACAUAAAAAGUAAACUAUACCUCAAGUUCUUUGAGGGUGAUGUUUCGCAGGUCUUCAGGUUUUUUGUGCAUUUCGGCUCCUAAUGGUUCAUCCUUAGAGGCGAUGGUUGGUUUCUUUGAUGCUUAAGGUCCUAUGUUCAAGAAGAAACAUGAGUAACUAAGUAGAAAAGAAAGGUGGCAAUCUGAUAGAAAAGAAGACAACUUACUUGAAGACUUUUAUUUCUUUCUACCCGCUUCAGGAACCGGAGCAGGUGGGUCUGAAGACUUGAGAGUCUGGACGAUUCUGGUUCUCUUACUCUUUCUGGUGGGAGUAGGAAUUCAUCGUUUAGACUUGGGAGGAGAUGCAUGAUCAGAAUCAGAGGUCUCAAUCACAACUGUUUUCCUUCGCUUAGAUACUUGGAAGGUGGCUUCAGGCGCUUCUCUUUUAGCUCUUAAAUCUUCAGAAACAUCCCCACCUUCCCCAGCUUCUCAUCUUUUAGCCUCCGCCGCAACUCCAUGAAGAACUGCUGCAUCAGCCGAGUCAUCCUCGGACUCCGAAGGUACUGAUUCAACAUCUACUUGGGCUGCAAGGAUGAGCAAGGAAAAAGUUAAAAGGACUUCAGGGAAAAGGAUAGAGAAUCAAGAUAAGAAGAAGAAAUACUUAUCAGAAGAAUCCGAUUCUUCUCCUGGAUCAUCUCAUUCCAAUUCUCAAGUUCGCCCGAACUGGGGUAUGAUUUUAGAGAAAGUUGACUGAAGAGGCGAUUAUGAGCCUCUUUCAAAUCUCCUCCAUAUUUCCUUGCCCAUUUGUCUUCCCACCAAGAAGAGAAGAGUGAGGUGCAUUCAAAAUUAAGGAUCAUGGACUUUCGGGCAGCUUGAUUCAUAACUUCAAGAUUACGUCGGGCAGCUCGAAAGACCACCUCGGAGGGAGAUGAUAAACGAAAGGAAGUGCCAUAAUGAACGGAGUCAAAGAAAGGGAUGGGAAUGGCUUGCCUAAAGCCUAAUUGCCUGCUACAAAAGUUAGGGUGAUACACCUCUAACCCUCGAUCAUAUCGAUUGCCCCGAACUCCCCAGGCCAUGUCUCUCGACUGAAUGCAACUAAUGAAUUUUUCCCUGCAAAAGGGAGUGACAUCCUCCCCAGGAGCAUCUUGAAAAGCCUGAUCAGAGAACCAAAGAUAUCUCCUCAAGACUGAUGCACCCCAUUCUAGGUCUGAUCGAGUCCUACAAACCUAGAAAAAAUAGAAACAGGCAAAGAUGGAGUGAUCAGUAGGAGCAGCUUCAACUAAGAUUCGGGCAGGAGCCACACCUUCUGGGAGUUCUAAAUUAGUAGCCCGAAACUCUGGAAAGUACCAUUGGAGCCAGGUUUGUAUCAUUUAUAUGGGUCCAUUCAGGUUAGUUUCAAAUGGUUCGCCUUAGGUCAUUUCGAAGAGAAGAUGGUAAAGAUGGGAAAGAAGAAAUUGACCUAUUGCUACAUUAUCAAAGUUAUGAAGAGCUUCCACCAGGGGGAUCCAUUCAACCUUCACUCCUUUAGAUUUAUUGGGGAAAACAUGUUUGUUGAGCCAGUAUAGGAGGAAAUACAUGUGCUCUUGAUCCCUAUCAGCAUGAGGAGAACCUGCUCCAAAAUUUUCUUUUACAAAAGGGAUGAAUCCCUUGAACGAGGUCCCGUAACUCUUGAAGGUUGCAAAGUUAUAUUCCAGGGAGAGGAAGGAAGCGGAUGAACCUGAGCUUUCAGCAACUGAUGGGAGAGCCCAGUCUUGAGUAACAUCUACUAUCUUGCCCGAUGGCCUUAACCUGAAGACCUGGGCCAUAUCAAGAAUAGUUGGAAACAUGGGACCCAUGUGGAAAUCAAAAGUGUUUGUGCUCGAAUUCCAGAAAAGAAGAUAAGAGGCCAACAGUUCGGGUUUAGGAAUAAUGGUGGUUUUCGAGAGCAUUAUCAACUCGUAAAUACCAUUAUUCAUCCAUUUCUUCUUAAAAAUUGGCUCUAGUUCGUCAAUCCAUUGAGUCCACGCUGGAUCAUUCAUUAAUGGAAAGCCUCGAUGAUAUGAUGACCACUUGGAUGAAGAAAUGCCCGACUUAGCUGAAAAGGGGUUUGGGGAAAACCAGUUAUCCUUAGGCAUAUUGUCCUCUAUCACUGUGGGGACCUGAGAGAUCCAUGCGGGACCCAACGAUUGUACCCCAUGUACUUCAAAGAAAAGUUCAGAAUACAAACCUGCCCGAGGGCGAUGCAAGUCGUUGAGUAAACGACGCAAAGUGGCGAUACCUUCACCAGACUCAUAGGAUGGUUGGAUUAAACUGGACCCUGAAGCCACUUGAUGAAAUAUGGAAAAGGGACGGCAACAAAGGCGAUGAAGGUAGAAGAUGUCGAGCAAGGGUCAGCGGAGAAAUUGAAAGAUUUAGAAAAGAAAAACGUCUCAGAGUUAGGAAAUUUUCGAUUGUAGAAGAAGAAUGUAAGGGAUUCGUGAGUGGCUAGAAUAACUGUGGGAAGGCGGUGAUUGCUGUUGAAAAGCAUGUAAAUCCCUAGAGAGAAGACGUAGAUAUUAAUAGAGAGUUAUUCAAUCAAUAUUGGCGCCUGGAAUUCCAGUCUGAAUAUUGAUUGAAAGGGGCACUGUUUGGGUUAAAACUUAAAUCUUGGGCUUAGAAGGGAGUUGGCCCAACGAAGAGGAGAAAAGCCCGAAGUCCAGCCCAAAUCCAGAAGGCAGAAAAGGGCUUUCCCGACUAGGUGCAUGUCAUUUGCACCACUUGCUCACCUAACCAAGGGCCAAGUGGUAUAGACCUGCCAGAUGAUCAGCCCAAAAGUACUUUACAGUGGCAGUACAAGUAAAUAGCUGAUGAGUCACUACCCUUCAAGCUGUAUUCAGGCAAGGUUGCUGCUACAGGAAGACAAGCCGAGUUGUCUAUAAAAGAAGAAAGAGAAAUCAGGAAUAAAGACACUCAAUCAAACAAACAAAUACAAGCACAAACUCUGCUCAAACCAGAUUUGCCUUCAAAACGAAGCUGUAGUCAGCCCAAGCCUUCAUCCUUCUCGGGAUAAACCUUUGUAAUAGCUUUGCUACCUGGUCAAGAACCUACUGUAGUAUCGAUUUCUUUCUACAAACCCAUCUCCCUACCCUUUUUUUGAAAGUUCUCAACCUCCUUGACAAACCACAAAGAUAGGAAGUUACAAGACGAUCAGCCUUGGCCGACAAGGUUAAACCUCCCGACCUUCUUUGUUUUUGUCUUUUCAUUCAUUAGCCUAACAAUAUGUUGUAUACUACAAGUUGUAUUCAAGUUAUCUCUAGUAAUAUGGCUAUUAAAAGACUCUCUCAGCGCUUAAAUUCGAGUUGAAUAUGUCUUUAUAGUUCAAACCGGAUCUAAGUUCUAAGCCCUCGGGCAUGUAAGAUUUGAUCAUCCAAAAGUCCUUGGCCUCAAGGCAUAAAAAAGAACCUUAUGUGGACUUAACCCAUCCAUGACAAGCUUUGAUAAACAAGAAGUCCGAAGUUACUUGGGGCGCAAGUAAUCGAUCUAUCACCUAGUUUUAUUUCUAUUAUAUUAUGAUUACUAUAGAACGUUGAGUAUAGAAUGAAUUCUGAUGGGAAGCCUCAAGGCCUACACCUAAGGCCCUACAAAGGCACCUAUUUGGAUUCAUUCUGUCCUUCGGGCUAGAACGAUGAGUAUAGAAUGAAUUCUGAUGGGAAGCUUCAAGGCCUACACCUAAGGCCCUACAAAGGCACCUAUUUGGAUUCAUUCUGUCCUUCGGGUUCAGAUAAUCAGAAGUAUAAUGGUUAUAAGAUUUAUAUAACCAAGGAAACGAACCAUAUGUAUAUAUUCAAAUACUAAGUUAGUUAUUAACGGGAAGCAUCAAGGCCUACACCUAAGGCCCCACAAAUGCACCUGUCAUAACUAAAGUAGUCUCUUGGGUAUGUAUACAAUUAAAAUUCAACAAUCGUUCUACAUCUGCCAUGCUGAAGAUGGUAGUGGCACGCCUGAGCACUUAAAAGUUAAUCUUGAUUGUGAGCCUCAAGGCCUACACCUAAGGCCCCACAAAGGCACCUUUCAAAGUUAACUAUGUCCUUCUCUUUCAGCCUUGCCCGACUAGGCUUUGAUCGACAAGCCCGCCAGUAAAGCAGAAGCCCGACAUGAAGCAUCAACCGGCACCGACCUCUCGGGGAGCUGUGUGCUCGUCGGCCAGGGAACAUCCCCGACGGAAAUUCCUGCCACGAACACAAACGCACUCUGGUGUGGCGAGAUAAUAGUAGAGAACAUCCCUUUGAGGCACUUAGCUAACACUUUAGCCGCUAUCUUAUACAUUACACUGCAUAAGCUAAUUGGCUUUAAUUGGGUCAUAUCUUGAGGUUCGUUCACUUUUAGUACAAGCAUAACAUGCGUAAAGCAAGCUUCACGUAAUAAAUGACCUGAACUCAGGAAAGAUUGAACUGCCUCUACCACAUCUGUCCCCACAAUAUGCCAAAAUUUAUGAUAGAAGAGUGGAGACUUCCCGUCGGGUCCCGGAGACUUGGAAUGAUGCAUUUGAAGCAAAGCCGACCUAAUCCCCUCUUCCGUAUAUGUCAAACUUAAACUAUUAUUUUCAGAGUUGUAAUAAGUAUUUUUAGAAAUAAUAAUAAUAAUAAUAAUAAUUGUUUGGACCAGAAAUUACAUCUUCGGCCUGUACAAUCAAGGCCGUUGAAUGGGCGUAGCUCAUAACCGUUGGAUGAAAAGAAGUGAAGAUAAUUUUGUAAUUAUUGAAGGAUAAUAUUGUGAUUUUUAUCAUAAUUAUCUUUUAAUAGUGAUUUAUCUUGUCUUUUUCUUAUGAAAGAUGGAAAAUAUAUCUCAGGCUGGAAACAAGCGGCACGAUUCGAAUUGGUUUGAAUGUGUGGUUUGGAUCAAUUUUGGUUGACGGAUCUGCAUGCAUACGAUGAGGUUGAGGGAAAAAAUGGUGAUAUGCUUGGGAAAUAAUUCUACACGUGGUGGCGAUAAGAUGGCAAAACAAUUGUUGGGACACAUGGUCUUCAUGCAUGCAUGGGAAACUUGCGGAUUGGGUGAAUUCCAAUAGGUAAUUGGAUAGACAUCUGCAACGUGUAGGGCAAAUAAGCAUUUGAGAAAAGCAAGGUGAUUGUUUUGAGAAUUGAAUUGCCGUGUGUGGCUUUCCAACUAAUGUAGUGAUGGGAUAAAAGAUAAAGUCAAAGGUUGGAAUAAACUAGAUUAGCAUACAGAAGUCCCAUUUGCCGUCCAGAUCCGUAUGGUGUCGUCAUUUCGUGUCUCAGAAUAUUCCAUUACUAGGUCUCCAGAUGCAAUUGAAACGUUCUGCUUAUCAUCCAGGCCACGGUAAAUACGUACAUCAGUCCUAUAAAUACAGAGGAAGUGCAACAUUCAAAAGGACCCCCAAUUUAACACACAACUGCCCUAUGCAAACUCUCUCAACAACUUGAGAUUUUUUAUUUUCCAUUUUCGCUGACACAUCUUCCGUUGGCAUCAACAGCACUGUGAAAGCAACCGGUGAUAUCUUAAGUCGGCAUAGAUAGCUCUAUCACCGUAGAAUUAGCCGAUCUCGCAGUAUCUUCCGUUGGCAUCAACAACACUACGACGAGGACGGUUGGUUACCUAUCCAAGUCUCGGUCGAGAAGGAUUUCCGAAUCCUUAUUGGUCGAGGUCAUCUCAUUAGCCUUCUCGGCGAAGUGAGGUGUUACAAGUUAUUACAUUCGGCACAUUGAAAGCCGAAUUUGAUAUUGAACUUUGUAAGAAUAGUAGCCUUGUCUUCAGGUUCGAGAACCCAAGAGGCCGAGACGUGUUCCUUCCUCGGCCGCAAUCGCAAGACGCAGAAGUCAGCCGCGCACCCAACGCAACAUCAACAAAUUUACUCCUCGGCCGAGCUCGGCCAACGAGUUGGCACGCCCCGCACACAACCGAAGGACGUAGUUAGCUCAUAGAUUACUUGGCCUGCGCUCCAUGUAGGCUUGGUAGUUUUUAGGAUCAACAAUAAUAAUAAUAAUGAUGAUGAUGAUGAUGAUAAAAAUGUUUAGGAAUGUGAUCAUGUAAAUCCUAUCAUAUCUAAGAUAUCCUUAUGGGAUUCUACCAUAUCUCUUAUACUAGAUAUUAUCCUAUUAGAGUUGUCAUCCUAUUAGGGUAAGGAAUUUACCUUCCCUACUACUAUAAAUAAAGGCACAAUAGGGUGAGAUAACAUACAUCUCACAAUUACACAUCUCUCUUCUCUCUCUGUUACUGCCACGCCCCAUUUCUCUGUCCUUUAUAAUGAUUCAGUAAAUUAGGCCUACAACACAUUAUCAGCACGCUCUUGACAUUGCGCUAAAAAGAGUUUAUUCUUCAGUCAUGAGAGUAUUACGUUUUAAUCAUCCUUUUUAUGAUUAAUUUAUUAUUUUAUUGAAUUCAUCGACAUGCUAUUCAUUAAAUUUAAUUUUUCUUUGUUGAACGUGAUGCAAUGCAUUGGAGAUGCAAUUCCGGCUUUUAGAGAAGGAUCUUCUACAAAUUCAAAGGCCCUAUUGUUUUCUGCCAAUCAGGUUCUUUUAAAAUAAAUUAAGAUAAUUGAAAUGUCCAUGAAGCAUGAAAAUAUUCCUCCUAAAGCAUGAAUCCCCUACAUUUAUAUUUUCCUUUUGAUAUAUAUAUAUAUAUAUAUAUAUAUAUAUAUAUAUAUAUAUUGUAUAUGUUCAUAUAUUUUUCAAUAUGUAUACGUUUAUGCAUUACGCAAUUAUAAAUCGGUAUGUGGAAUUUGUGAGCCAAAGAAUCGAAAGAAAAUAGAAGUAAUUUUGGGUUUUUCCAAACCCUAGAAUUCGAAAAAGAAAAUAGAAAAAAAAAUCUGGGAAUUGUGUCGAAGCCUUGGUUGGCUUGCAGCCAAGCCGCGUUGAGCCACACCUAGAACGACAUUGUUUCAAUGUUUAGUGAAAACAGCAGCCCUCUUGGCAAACCAGGCCGAACGCCUGGGUUCUUCACGAUUGGGCCUGCAGUCUCAAUCUAUGCCCUCCUCAUCAGAAGCCAACCUUGCUAGUCUUCUGCCUCCAGCCAACACUCAAGCCUCCAGCAGCUGACUGGGCUUGUUCCCCUAAUUUUUCCCUCGACCUGUGUUACAGCAGCAUGCCUACUGCUACAGAUUUAUUUUUUUCCCGGCCCCGCUCUCUUUUAUCUCUAUAGCCUGCAGUUGCAUCACUGGACCUUUGUGACUUGGCCCAAUCGCUGCUUUCUCACUGCAACAGCUGUUGUUGGGCUUACAGAUCCAGCAGCCCGCACCAGUCUGACUUACAGCAAGCAACCUGAUGUUGUUGGGUUGUUCUUGUUCUCAGCCUAAAGCCAUUUUUGGCUUUUUUUUUCAACCCGCACCCAUUUAUUUUUUUGGUGCCUAAUUUCAUGGCUUUAACCUAUUUUAAAGUCUUUGCUUUUGCAUGUCAUGCAACCAUCUAGCCCAAUAUAUGGCCUAAAACUUUGCAUUAUUUUGCUUUUACAAUCGACCCCGAAUGGUCUCGAUUUAUUGAAUUAAUUAUUAGUGACCAGCAGUCCAUUAAUUUGACAAGAUAUACAAAAUUAUUUGCCUGAAGCCCACUUUUGGACAUUAACAUUUCAAUAUUUUAUUUCUUUUCUUUGAAUUGAUGACUCCCUUUCAUAGUCCCAAAACACUCACAAUUGAGUUCCUAAAGCAAUUUUGUAUAUUAUAUUCUAUUUUCUUACAGGUACCUCCGUUUAUGAACUGGAAGUUCAUAACUAAAUUUGAACCUAUAGUUUCGACUUUAGUGCCUAUAAAACCCGAAAUUUUCAUAAAACAAUACAACAAUGAAAACCCGACGUUUUUCAUGUACACCAUGUCUUAGAACUUGAAAUGUUCGAACUUUGAUGCUUAUGGAUAUCAUAUUUCAAUAGCACUAAUCAUAAUCUUGUUCUUUCCAUUCAAUGGAUUGUCAAACCGUCACAAGUUCGAUUUCCUUGAUUUGGACGUUUCUAACAGAAACCACUUUAUGUGGGUACAAGACUUGAAUCUUCACUUGACUAUCAAGAAGUUGAGAAACCAUUGAAGCCAACAAUGCCAUGGAACAGCCGAAUAAGCCUUUGCCAUAAUCUUCACUUGAAGAUUUAUGCCUGAAGCAUUACAAACGGAAAUACCUUCCAAACGAGGAUUCCAUGCUUUUUGGCUCGCUCUUAUGGACCGUUUAAUCAUGAUAAAUUUUUCCUGAAGCACACCAUGAUUACGUCGAUGAAUGAGUACGAUUAUGAAGUUUAUAAAUCUGAUCAAAUUUUGACUGGAGAACACUUAUCAUCCUUCCAUGUUUCUAACUCGUUCCUGAAGUAAUAGUGUAGAAAGCAGAAGUUUACCAAAUUCUCGGAUCUUAUUACUACCAUAAAUGUGAGAGACCAGUAUAGACUCAACUUCGGCUGUAGUCUACCGAAUGGUGAUACCCAGUUUCGGUUGGGGCCCACUGAAAUGUAUGCUCUGCUUCGGCAAAAGCUUACCAAACAAACCUCUCCAGCUUCAGUUGGAACCUUUCAAACCCAAGUUUGGGCUUGUCUAUCUCAUAAUCCAAUUUCAAGUUUUUUUUAGUUAUGGAUGAUCUUAUCGAUAUUGUCUUCGAAUAUGAGUUAAUUGACCGAAUUCAAUUAAACACGUGGGAGAGUUGUCUGGAUGAAUGCAAUACUAUGCACACUAACUUUAUACCUAAAUCACAUCUCUAGCAACGACUUCAGAUCUAUCCAACAUGAUUAAGAGCAUUGGCACACUCCUUGUUGUAUGAAUGGUACUAAAUUACCAUUUAAGAGACAUUAUAUUCUCCCUGUUCCGAAAGAACAUCGUUAAGUCUUUACGGAUAUUCGAGAGAACAAUGAUCAACAAUGAAACCACUGAAGAAAAUAGAGUGGAAUAUCUUUGCGCCACCUCAAAAAUACAAAGCCUGAAUCUAUAUUUUGGGGCCAAGGGGUUGCCUCCUAGCUGGGAUGCGCCACAUGUGGCCGGCCUAGAGCCGGGUGAUUGAGCACUUUGCUUUCUUUGGCACGACCAUUUAGGACACUUAGGUCAAACAAUGAUGCUGUGACGCAUGUUCUUACCCGAAGUAAGGAUAUUAUGCUUACAAGCACACUUUGCCAAGCUCACUUGUUUAGGAAAUUUGAUCUUUUAUAUCAUCCCUCAUAAAGAUACGAAAUCACCUUCUUUUCACAGUGGAUUCAAGGAAAUAUAUAUAGACCAAUCCAACCAAAAUGCGGACCAUAUAAAUACUUAUGGUUUUGGUUGAUGUAUUGACAAAAUGGUCACAUGUUUGUCCACACACAUUGUUGCUUAACCUCUUGGCUAAUUCUAAGGGUUCACCACCCUAAUUAUCCCAUAAAGUCUAAAAGACUGGAUAAUGCCAGAGAGUUCAUAUCAAAGAUGCUUAGAUAAGUACUGCAUUUCUUUUGGGUUUAUAAUUGGACAUUGAAUUCCCAUGUUCACCCUAAAAUAGCCUCGCAGAGCAAUUAUAGAAGCGCAAUUUAAAUGAUCAGCUGAACCUUGGUGAACACACCAAUCUUUCUACUUUUGCCUAGGGCUAUGCAACCUUUACGCAGCUAUAAUGGUCCGCUUUAAGGCCCAUUAACACCCAACCAUUUCUAGUGUUACAGUUAGUUACUGGGUACAAACCUAACGUUUCAUACUUACGCAUUUAGGUGUGCAUUCCAUGUGCCAAGUUGUUCUGCCGCAACAUACCAAUAUGGGUCCUCAAAGAAAGAUAUGAAUACUUGCCGAUCAUGAUUCUCAUUCGCACUAGCUCUUUAGAGCCCUUGCAAGCGAUCAUUUUACUGUUCAUCUUGUGGAUUGUUACUUCAAUAAGACAGUCUUCCCACUAUUAAGGGAGAUAAAAGCAUCAAUGUUCUUGUACAAAGGCGUGAAUUUGCAUGGAUGUUGUCCACAAUGUCUCAUCUCGAUCACCAUGCCCAUAAGUGUGAUAUAGGCAAGUUCGAUGUAAUCUAGCUUUCAGAAUGUUGCUCCAGACGUAUUCCUCUAAUCUCACUAAAGUGAUGAGACCAUAUACAUGCUGCAAAUAGACCUGCAAGGAUAGAUGUACUUAACGAAUGUCGAGUCAACAUCCUUGAAAGAUGUGCUGCCCCUGAAGGAUGUGCCACCCCUAACCCCUAAAGGACGGUUUGGCUGCACCUGUUGGACGGUCUAGUACAUUAGCAGAUAGCCAAAUAAUCUGUCUUGACCUGAAGCAUGCCAGAUCACUCGGUUCAUAGGAUUCACUUACCUAGAAGAGUAAGGUCAUGUCACGAAAUGAAUCCAUGCUCGAUCGCUCUCUCAAUCAUUUUCACCUUAUGAGAUUAAUCCGGAUUACUCCUGAGACUUGAAAUUCUUGGUCCAGUAUACUAGUUUGGAUAAGAUAAUGGAAUUGGAAUGAUCUAUUAGUAAAGAUACAUCACCGCCCCUACACGCGACCGCUGAAGGUACUACGGAUUUACGCUAAUCCUAAUACAUCCCGAGCGGAUUCGACCCCCUGGUCUUUGGAAUGAUGUUUACCUUGUUUGUUAUGUUGUCACUGAUUACGUAUCAAACCCGCAUAAGUCACAUCCCUACACGAUUAUGUUUUUACUGUUAGGGAUAUCAUAAUAUCUUGGAGGUUCACGAUAUGACCUUAGUUGCAAAAUCUUUGAAUCAUUCCAAGACUCACCUAACUUCACUAUGCCACACGUGAGACAUGGUUGAGAGCUCUUAUUGAGCAUAUUCAAAGUACAUGCUGUUUUCAUUCAUCGUUGAUUCCUGAUGACGAUCCAUGAAGACUAUGCCACAUGUAUCCACCUGACCAAGACAAGAUACAUCAACAAAGUCAACUCCAAGACAUAUUGCGCCUACAUCAUAUCAGUAAAGCAUUAGGAGAUUGAAGUCAUGCAAGCUGAUCCUAGACAACCUUGCCAACCUCUACACGACGUCACUACCGAAGUCAACCUUCCAGAACCUUGUCCGAGGAAUUGGUGUGCCUAAUUAUUCAUACACAAUGUUUGUAGUUCUCAUUUCACAGUUUUGUCAUACUCAGGGGGAGUAUCCAUAAGUAUACUCACUUGAUCUUAAUGUACUCUUUUUCCUUACAAUUAGGAGCAAUUUUCCCACUGGGUUUUUUUACCUAACUAGGUUUUGAGGAGGCACCCAUCCUGAAGCUGGUCAUACCCUUGUGAGCUAUUCUACUUGAUCUAGAAGAUGUUUAGUUUUGACUUAAUGCAACUUCUCACUUUUCUCCUUACUCUAUAGGUUUUUCUCCCACAUUGGGUUUUACCAUAGCGAGGUUUUGUAAGCUUUCCUUUUUAUGCAUUCUUUCGUUGAUUUGAGACUCUCAUUCAUUCAUUGUGCCGACGACUUCAUCAGCUGUUUUUACUUUAUUGCUGAAGACCUGAUGCACCAUUUACUUGAGUAUUUACAUGCUCAAGGGGAAGUGUUGUAGUCCUAUUAGAUUAGGAAUGUUAUCGUGUAAAUCCUAUCAUAUCUAGGAUAUCCUUAUGGGAUUCUACCAUAUCUCUAAGACUAGAUAUUAUCCUAUUAGAGUUAUAAUCCUUUGGGGUAUAUUGGGGUAAGGAAUUCACCUUCCCUACUACUAUAAAUAAAGGCACAAUGGGGUGAAAUAACACACACCUCACAAUUACACAUCUCUCUCCUCUCUCUGUUGCCGCUGCACACUCUCUCUUUGUCCUUUAUAAUGAUUUAUAAAUGAAGCACCACGAGAAAAUGGAAGACAUCGCCAACCACCAUUGGUUAACACCACCUCAUCUAAAUGGGAAUGAACAAAGCUUCCCAUUUGGGGUUUAAGAUCACUUGUCCAUCUAUAUGGCACUGAACCCCACAGGUAAAGACAAGUAGGAUGGUGAAACGAUGCAUUAUGUGGGUAAAUCCCAUAUGGAUCAGGAUUGCUUUCAGCAUAAUGUCUAGAAAAGUAUGGAAGCAGGUUGCUGCCUUGGGAAAGGAAUGAGGAGCUCCACUGUGCAUGUGGGAUCCAAAAGGAUCGCCAUAUCUAGGAUAGUUCUUUGAAUUAUGCCCGGAAGAGUGUGGAGUGUAUGUAUAAAAUGUGGAGUUUAUGUUGAGAGCGUAGGGUGUGAGGAUAUUAUGGGAAAGUAUGCGGGUUAUAUUCAACAAUAUGUGGUGUAUAUGAAGAUAAAUUUUAAUUAAAAAAGAAAGUGUGUGGUGUAUUAAGUAUGUGAGGUGUAUUCAACAAUAUGUGGAAUGUCAAUAGAACAACCCUUUAUUAAUCAAUAAAAAUAGAUUUAGUGUUGCUGUCUAAUUAGGUACCAAUCACAUUUACUGUUAAUCUACAUCAAGCCACAUAAGAAUUGACAUUUCUGUUGGAAAAUAAUAAUGUUGUUUUUUUCUUUACUGUUAUUGGUGAUGUGACAUUUUUUACUACAUCAUUUCUUUUGUUUACUACCAAUAUCUAGCAAUGGCACACUCGCUCACAUGAUUGCUUUCAAGUCUUGUAUUGGCACCGAAGGUAAAAAAACACUCAGGACAAACAAUUUAUUGAAGUGACCUAGACCAACCAGACAGUAAGAAUAUUCUGACGAUGUAGGUCAUAGUUAAUUAUGAAGGGCAUUUAUAAUUCCUCCUAUUAGUUCCAUCUAAUAAUUACUUUAGUCUAAAGAAAGGUUGGAAAUGGCACCGUUGAAAUGAACAGUGUUUCAUUCUGAUAUUUCUGUUGGUUUUGGGUCUGCAGCCUGGCCCUUAGCCAGGCUUAAAUGCGUUGGUUUUGGCUGGGAAGCUCGGCCCUCAGUAAGGCCCAGAUUAUUUAAUUACAUUUUUCCCAUCUAAGAUUACAAUCCUAAGGUGGGGAUGGUCUAUUACGAAGGGCAAUUGUGUCCUCUCCAUUUUGGGUGAGAUGAGGGUCACCGGGUAUGUAUCAUUUGUUGUAGUUCAAUUAGGGUUUUGAGAAGGGUCUGCGAGAAAGAGAGAUAGAGAGAAGGAGAGAGACACAGAGACAAAGACAGAGAUAGAGAUGGCGAUGGAAGGAGAGCAAGGGGAGGGGUAGGGGUAUCGACACUGUUUCUUAGUAUGUUAGGUCCAGUUUUGGGGGAUUUGUGAUUUUAUAAAGAGAGAUGGAUAGGGAGAUUGAAAUUGACAGAGGGAGGAGAAAGGUUGAUGCGUAGGGUCAGUGAGGUGAGUGACAGAGGAAAUUUGAUCUUCUAUAUCAUCCAUCACAAAGAUACGAAAUCAACUUCUUUUCACAGUGGAUUCAAGGAAAUAUUUAUGGACUAAUCCAACCAAAAUGUGGACCAUAUAAAUAAUUAUGGUUUUGGUUGAUGUAUUGACAAAAUGGUCACAUGUUUGUCCACACACAUUGCUGCUUAACCUCUUGGCUAAUUUUAAGGGUUGACCACCCUAAUUAUCUCAUAAGGUCUAAAAGACUGGAUAUUGCUGGAGAGUUCAUAUCAAAGAUGCUUAGAUAAGUACUACAUUUCUUUUGGGUUUAUAAUUGGACAUCGAAUUCCCAUGUUAACCCUAAAACAGCCUCGUAGAGCAAUCAUAGAAGUGCAAUUUAAAUGAUCAGCUGAACCUUGGUGAACACACCAAUCUGUCGAAUUUUGCCUAGGCUAUGCAACCUUUACGCAUCUAUAAUGGUCCGCCUUAAGGCUCAUUGACACCCAACCAUUUCUAGUGUUACAGUUAGUUACUGGGUACAAACCUAACGUUUCAUACUUACGCAUUUAGGUGUGCAUUCCAUGUGCCAAGUUGUUUUGCCGCAACAUACCAAUAUGGGUCCUCAAAGAAAGAUAUGAAUAUUUGUCAAUCAUGAUUCUCAUUCGCACUAGCUUUUUAGAGCCCUUGCAAGCGGUCUCUUUACUGCUCAUCUUAUGGAUUAUCAUUUCAAUAAGAUAGUCUUCCCGCCAUUAGGGGAGAUAAGAGCAUCAUUGUUCUUGUAGAAUGAUGUGAAUUCGCAUGGAUGUUGUCCACUAUGUCUCAUCUCAAUCGCCAUACCCAUAGGUGUGAUAUAGGCAAGUGUGAUGUAUUCUAGCUUUCAAAAUGUUGCUCUAGACGUAUUCCUCUAAUCUCACUAAAGUGACGAGACCAUAUACAUGUUGCAAAUAGACCUGCAAGGACAAACGUACUUAACAGACAUCGAGUCAACAUCCCUGAAAGAUGUGCUGCCCCUGAAGGAUGUGUCACCCCUAAAGGACGGUUUGGCUGCACAUGUUGGAUGGUCUAGUACAUUAGCUGAUAGCCAAUUAAUCUGUCUUGACCUGAAGCAUGACAGAUCACUCGGUUCAUAGGAUUCACUUACCUAGAAGAGUAGGGUGAUGUCACGAAAUGAAUCCAUGCUCGAUCGCUGUCUCAAUCAUUUUCACUUUAUGAGAUUAAUCCGGAUUACUCCCGAGACUUAAAGUUCUUGGUCCAGUAUACUAGUUUGGAUGAGAUAAUGGAAUUGGAAUGAGAUUAUCAUCAAUGAUGUUUUCACUUAUAUGGUAGCUACCUACGUAAAUGAAAAGCGACGAUAUUGAAACGUAUUUUGUUGAUUAAUGACAAUGCAGAACUGAUUGGAUAUCCAAAAUUAGAAUCCAGAUUAAAUUCCUUACCAAAGUGUUCUUGGACUUAUCAUUCCUACAUUGCCCAAGGUAACCCUGUUGUGUUACAAGUGGGAAAUGAAGCGAAUGAGAUGAAUGAAAUAAUGUGAUAUGAUGCACGCAUCACGGCAAAGUUUCUCUCAAACGCCCUAGGAUUGAUAACAGUAUUAUUGAAUGUGGUUAAUGUUUCUCCAUACGGAUAUUGAUACGGAGAUUGACAUGUAAGUUCACGAAGAAUUGCAUGGACUAGUUCAAAUAGUUCCAAACCACGGAACACCCUCUUAACUCUUUUGAGGCGUUCACUUACAGAUUGAAGCAAUUUGACGGAUGUCGUAUACCUGUCAAAGUGAUUAUUUGAUUAGGUAGGGAUAUGAAUUAUGCCUUUGCGUGUUAAACUAUGAAGUCAUAUUAAGAAUGCUAGAGUUACAGUUUAUAUUGUAGACUUGAAUCUCAUUAAGUAUCCGGAAGAGCUUGAGAAAACUGCCUCACACCUAAAGACAGAAUUUGAGAUGAAGGAUCUUGGGAAAACUCGUUUAUACCUUGACCUGAAGCUUAAGUGUUGUUAUGACGGUACUUUGGUAUACCAGUCGAAUUACAUCCCAAAUGUGUUUCCUUUUAGUAUACCUAUGAUCUUCCAUACGCUAUAUGCAAAUGAGACCCUUGAAGAGGUUAUGGAAUCUAAAGUUCCAUAUCUGAGUUCAACUUUGCGCUUUGUUAUACUUAGCUCAUUGCGUUAGCCAAGACAUAUCCUUUGCUGUUGAUUUAUUAGUAAAGAUGCAUCACCGUGCCUACAUGCGACCGCUGAAGGUACUACGGAUUUGGGCUAAUCCCAAUACAUCUCGAGCGGAUCCGACCCCUUGGUCCUUGGAAUGAUGUUUGCCUUGUUUGUUAUGUUGUAGCUGAUUACGUAUCAAACUAAUACAAAUCACAUCCCCAAAUGGUUAUGUUUUUACUGUUAGGGAUAUCAUAAUAUCUUGGAGGUUCACGAUAUGACCUUAGUUGCAAAAUCUUUGAAUCAUCCCAAAACUCACCUGACUUCAAUAUGCCACACGUGAGACAUUGUUGAAAGCUCUUGUUGAGCAUAUUCGAAGUACCUAUUGUUUUCAUCCAUCGUUGAGUCCCGAUGACGAUCCAUGAAGACUAUGCCACAUACAUCCACCCGACCAAGACAUUAUACAUCAAGAAAGUCAACUCCAAGACAUAUUGCGCCUACAUCACAUCAUCAAAGCAUUAGAAGAUUGAAGUCAUGCAAGCUGAUCCUAAACAACCUUGCCAACCUCUACAAGACGUCACUACCGAAGUCAACCUUCCAGAACCUUGUCCGAGGAAUUGGUGUGUCUAAAUUCAUACGCAAUGCUUGUAGUUCUCAUUUCAAAGUUUUGUCCAACUCAGGGGAAGUAUCCAUAAGUAUACUCACUUGAUCUUAAUGUACUUUUUUUCCUUACAAUUAAGAGCAAUUUUCCCGUUGGGUUUUUCUACCUAACUAGGUUUUGAGGAGGCACCCAUCCUGGAGCUGGUCAUACCCUUGUGAGCUCUUCUACUUGCAUCAAGAAGAUGUUAAGUUUUGACUUAAUGCAACUUCUCACUUUUCUCCUUACUCUAUAGGUUUUUCUCCCACCUUGGGUUUUACCAUAACGAGGUUUUGUAGGCUUUCCUUUUUAUGCAUUCUUCCGUUGAUUUGAGACUCUCAUUCACUCAUUGUGCCGACGACUUCAUCAGCUGUUUUUACUUUAUUGUUGAAGACCUGAUGCGCCAUUUACUUGAGUAUUUACAUGCUCAAGAAGGAGUGUUGUAGUUCUAUUAGAUUGGAAAUGUUAUCGUGUAAAUCCUAUCAUAUAUGGGAUAUCCUUAUGGGAUUCUACCAUAUCUCUAAGACUAGAUAUUAUCAUAUUAGAGUUAUAAUUCUUUGGGGUAUGUUGGGGUAAGGAAUUCACCUUCCCUACUACUAUAAAUAAAGACACAAUGGGGUGAGAUAACAUACACCUCACAAUUACACAUCUCUCAUUUCUCUCUGUUGCCGUUGCACACUCUCUCUUUGUCCUUUAUAAUGAUUUAUAAAUGAAGCACCACGAGAAAAUGGAAGACAUCGCCAACCACCACUGGUUAACACCACCUCAUCUAGAUGGGAAUGAACAAAGCUUCCCAUUUGGGGUUUAAGGUCACUUGUCCAUCUGUAUGGCACUGAACCCCGCAAGUAAAGACAAGUAGGAUGGUGAAACGAUGCAUUAUGUGGGUAAAUCCCAUAUGGAUCAGGAUUUCUUUCAGCAUAAUGUCUAGAAAAGUAUGGAAGCAGGUUGCUGCCUUGGGAAAUGAAUGAGGAGCUCCACUGUGCAAGUGGGAUCCAAAAGGAUCGCCAUAUCUAGGAUAAUUCCUUGAAUUAUGCAAGGAAGAGUGUGGAGUGUCUGUAUAAAAUGUGGAGUUUAUGUUGAGAGCGUAGGGUGUAAGGAUAUUAUGGGAAAGUAUGCAGGUUAUAUUCAAUAAUAUGUGGUGUAUAUGAAUAUAAAUUUUAAUUGGAAAAGAAAAUGUGUGGUGUAUUAAGUAUGUGAGGUGUAUUCAACAAUAUGUAGAAUGUCAAUAGAACAACCCUUUAUUAAUCAAUAAAAAUAGAUUUAGAGUUGUUGUCAAAUUAGGUACCAAUCACCUUUGCUGUCAAUCUACAUUAGGCCACAUAAGAAUUGACAUUUCUGUUGGAAAAUAAUAAUGUUGUCUUUUUUUUACUGUGAUUACUGAUGUGAAAUUUUUGACUCCUUUGAAAAUGAUCAUUUCUUCUGUCUACUACCAACAUCCAGCAAUGGCACACUCGCUCACAUGAUUGCUCUCAAAGCCUUGUAGUGGCACCGAGGGUAAAAAAACACUCAGGACAAACAGUUUAUUGAAGUGACCUAGACCAACCAAACAGUAAGAAUAUUCUGACAAAGUAGGUCGUAGUUAAUUAUGAAGGGCAUUUAUAAUUCCGCCUAUUAGUUCCAUCUAACAAUUACUUUAGUAUAAAGAAAGGUUGGAAAUGGUACUGUAGAAAUGAAUAGUGUUUCAAUCUGAUCUUUCUGUUGGUUUUGGGUUAGCAGCCCGGCCCUAAUUGUGUCCUCUCCAUUUUGGGCGAGAUGGGGGUCACCAGGUAGGUAUCAUUUGAUGUAGUUUGAUUAGGGUUUCGAGGAGGGUAAGGGUAUCGGCACUGUUUCUUAGCAUGUUAGGUUCGGUUUUGGGGGAUUUAUGAUUUUAUAGAGCGAGAUGGAUAAGGAGAUUGAGAUUGACAGAGGGAGGAGAAAGGUUGGUGCGCAGGGUCAGUGAGGUGAGUGACAGAGGGGUGUAUGGCAGAGAGAAUAUGAGGGAUGGAAGAGUCGUGGGUGAGAGAAGAGGAGAUAGGGAAGAGUCGUGCGUUGCAAACGGGAUGAGAGGAAAGACGGGAUGAGAGAGGGAGGGGUGGGAUGAGCGAAUCAAGGGUAGGGGUUCUAGCUGGAAGCCAUUUCCACGACAAUUAAUGGGGAAGGCAUGGUUGUGUGCAGUUGGUGGGAUUGGUCGGUCAGGAAGGGGUUAUUGAGGGAGGUAUGGGAGAGUUUGAUUUCACUGUUCCCACCCUUACUUGAACAGGUAAUACACUGUUUCCUCCCUUGAUUUCUCUGUUUCGUGAUGAGAUAAAGAUAGAUAGGGAGAGAUGGAUAUGGAGAUAGAGAUAGAUAGAGAGAGGAGAAAGCAUGGCUGUGUGCAUUUGUUGGGAUUAAUUAAUGGGUUAGUGUGUAGGGUCAGUGAGGAGAGAGUCAGAGAGGGGUGUAUGGUAGGGUAUGGCUUUUCGUUUUUUCCCUUUGAUUUAAUAGGUUAUGCACUGUUUGACAAUAAUUGUUUGUUGUUUUGUUUUGCUUUUGCUUUGUUAGAACCAUCAUUCGAUUUUUGGGUUUCACUGUCCUCAUUUUUGUGCUUCUUCAAAAUUUUCUUAGUUCCUUAUGUAUUCGUUGGUUCUGUCUAAUUUUUGGUUGUGGGAUGAUGCUUGCAGGUGAACUAGGUGCACGGUAUUUUGGGACAAGUUAGGAAGAUCCACAUGAAAACAACAUGGAAGAUAGAGAACUGGUAUGCUGCUUUGUCUUUCUGUUGGAUUUUUAUGUUUAUGUUCUACUGCUAAGAGGAUUUUAAAAUGUUCUAAAUCUGUUUUGUAAAUGUGCUUAAAGAUUGCACAUGUUCUUGAAUAUCAACCAUGUUGUUUGGAUUGAAUAUGUGAUUGAAUAUUGGAGAAGAUACCAUCUUGCUUGAUUUCAAUUAAAGACUACUAAUUUGAUCGGCUUAUAUAAAGUUUGUUUAUGUUUGAGAUGUAUUUUGUUCGAAUCUCUAAACUGAACAGUGCAUUCAUAACCUCUAGGUCCGUAUCAUGCAUGGUGAGUUAUCUGUGAACAUCACCCUAAGUACCUUCUUGAAAUGCUCGAUUUCAGGAAUGAGAGUUGAGAUGGCUUCCAUGAAGAGGGAUGCAGAGCAUUACUCGCGCUAGGUGAUAUCUGCUUUUUCUCUUUUCGUAUAUCUUCAUAUGAAGAGUUUUACUAAGUUAUAUUGAGCACUAUGUUAUUUAUAGGUUAUAUUUUCCACUUUGCAGGAACACAUGGAGCUAGGGAAGUGCUAUCGUGAACUCACUGAUCUACUGGUAAUGUCACUCAAGACACUUAUUUACAUGGUCAAAGAUCGCAUUUUUAUGACACUUCUUAUUCCAUCUGUUUUCAUGUUUCCGUUUCUUUUUUCUGGUUAUCAUACUUAAACUGCUUUAUUUGUGCAAGCUGCUACUACGCGCUUGAAUGCAUUUAUUACUGGCAGGAUGCGAAGAAAGCUAGAUAUAUGUGCGGGAUCGCUUGUUUAGUGUUAGGGUUUUAACAACUAAUUGUUAGCAGCUAGAAGCUUUGGUUAGAUGAAUGCUAAUCUGAUUUUCCUUACAAUACUUGAGUGCCAGUUUCAUAGUGUUUGUUCCCGGCUGGAUACCUGCUAUAUAGUUUCAUUUCUGUUUCUUCAUAACUUUAAAUGCAUAUUGAGUACAAUGAAUGUCCAUUGUUAUCUAACUGUUGGGCUUUACUAUCUUUGUAGCAGCCUGCCUAACAUUUUUUAGGCACUACACUCCAAUUUAAUGAAAAAUUCAAAGAUUGGACGGUAUUGAUUGAAGAAAUGAAAAAAAUACUAUGAUAAUAGAAAUGUGAAUGUCGUUGUGUUAGAAGAAGCGUCUAGCAUGAUGGGUAAUAUUUUAAGUUUGUAUUUCUAAAAUUUUUUCGUUCUAGAGUAUGAUUUACCUCAAUUGUUUUGUACUUUAAUCUUUACUAAUUUUAAUUGUGGAGUAUGAUUUACCUCAACUAACAACUUUUCAUUGUUUAACUUUUUCCUCCCUUAGAUAGUUGAAUAUGUUUGAUUUGUUAAUAUGCUUCUUACACAUGUUGUUGCCUUGGGUUGCCGGAUGCAUGUGCAGAUUACUCGAAUAGACGAAGCUAAGGAUGACUUAGUAUUGAGUGAGAAAGAAGGUUGGGUCAGUUGGAUUUUUCUACAUUUGAUUUAUUCAUGUUUUUUGUUGCUUGCAAUGUUCUCUCAUUGUUUGUUGUGAGAUUCUAUGAUCUUAUUUUUAAUAAGAACUAACAUUGGUUUGCCAUAUAAUGUUUCAGGAACUUAUACAACAACUAAACACCUUGCUUAGCUCUCACGAGACAUACUUAACAGGUUAACAAACACUAACCUAUAAACUGAUUUGCUGAGCUGGACCAUUAACCUCUGUUUAUAUCCCUGCCACUCAUCUUUUGGCAAUUAUCAAUAGCAAAAUCUAGAGUUGCAAAAACCCCAAUUUUAAUGAAUGUUAUUUUUAGUUGAUAAUUAAAAUUAAUUGAUGAUUAAUCUAUUCCAUUGUGCAUUAUUUUAUCGCCAAAUACUUUGAAUAUUCAUUAGCAAAAGAUAUAGGGUUCACCAUUUAAUGAAUAGAAUUUUGAUGGUGGAUUGCAUUUCCUGAGUUAUAAAUGUGGUGAAUCCAUUAUUCACUAGUUGAAUAAUCAUAAUGUUUUGGCCACUUAUCUUGAAUUUUGUUCAAAUUGAAGAAGUCACAUGUUUCUUUCUGUUGUUAAGGUAAUCUCUGUUGAAAGCUUCUAUUUCUUUUUUCUUUUUCUUUUUUUUUUUUCAUUUGGGUAGAUUUUUUUUUUUUAUGGAUUUAUGUAUUUUUUUCAGAGAAUUCGAAAUGAAAUAGGAAUAGCGGAGUGAGCAUAAACAAAUUGAUGAAAUUUUUAUUUGAGUUUUUGUGUUGGUCCUUUUUUGAUUUGUUGAGGUUUGGAAUUAUUUGAGUUUUUUUGCUGUUACUACUGUGACGGAUGCUAGGCAAUCACGAAAUGGGGGGCUACCUUUUUGGAAAGAGAAGUCUUGUUGUCCAACCUCUCAUGAAUUACAAACAAGGUGCUUUUUUGCUGGAAAAACCACCGAACCAGUAAAACUUUCCUCGGUUCUUCAAUUCGAUUCGAAUAAUUUUUUUACCCAGAAAAGCCAGCGUUUCUUGGUGAUUUUUACAGCUUUCUCAAUGUUUUUGUGAUUUUGGAUUUGCAAAUUUGUUUUCUGUUCAAAUUUCUUUUUGUGAUUUUAGGGGUUUUGUUUAUCGAUUCUCUCACUCAUCUCUCAGCUCUCUCUCUCACUUUUGAGGUACAUACCGUUGGAUUCUAUUUGCUGUUGCUGAUCUGCAGGUAAAGCUUCAAUUACCAUAUAAAGUUUACAUUUUUCAUUAUUUCUUGAGUUUUGAGUUUUAAUGAUAAAGACAAAAUAAAUGGUAAAGUGAAUAGUACCAAGUUUGACUUUUUAAUGUAAAAAUAUGGUUUUUCGUUAAAGUGAACAGUACUGUGGGCUUUUCGUUAGAACUCCCAAACAAAGGAAAUAUUGCUUUUCCUCCCAAACAAUGGAAAUAUUGCUAGAUUCUUAUCAUUAUGUGCAAAUUACUGGCGAUUUGGAUCGGUGCCUGAGAUUUAGAGAAUGAUUUAGAGAAUGGCUCGCAUUUUAAAUUUCUUUUCCUUCAUUAUUACUAUUUUCAAAAUUUUUAUUGUUGGGUAUUGAUAAUUUGUAGUCUGUGAGGGCUUCAAUCUGUUGGAAUUUUGAAUGGUUAUUGCUUCAUCAGAAUUUGGGUGGUCCAAAUUUUGAAUUAGAAGAAACCUAUUUGAUUAAUAUUUUUGGUGGAUUGGUUCUCUGUGUUUUCUUUGUUAUUUCUCCCCCAGUUGGAAAGUGGAAGCCCCAACUUUGAGCUCAGAGCUUGAAUUUCUCAAUCGUUCGUUUCUCUGCACUCUCAUCAGUCACUCUUGAUCCUCUCUCUGAAGAACUGGGUAAUUUUCCAGCUCUAUCAAGUAAUACUCCAUUUUAUUGCUUAAUUGAGGUUUUUUGUUUCUCUUUUUCACUCUUUCAUUAGUUCAUUGGCUUUGAUGUUGGGCUUAAGUAAUGGGAAAUCAUUAAUUGGCAUUGUUCAAGAUAUAAUUAUGUGUUUUUGGAUUUGUGAAACGAUUUGGCUAAUGAAGAUAGUGGUUAAGAUAUAUUUUUCGUUAUGAAAGAGAACAUUGUUCUUCGUUUGCCUACGGUUUUUACUACAAAGUUAAACUACUAUGAUUUUGUUCAAUUGACUGCAACUCAUGCCGCAGUUUGCUUCACAAACCUCUACUGUUAGCUUCCAUGUAGUAUGUUGCAAGUUUGAGGAUAUCUCUACAUCUUAAUUUCUACUCUCUUUGGUUGCUUUCAAGUUCGUAAUUUUACUUGCUACACUGCCACUUGAUUUGAUUAUAAAAAUGUAAAACAAAAUAUGUCCAUGAUUUACAAAUUUGUAUUCGAUUUUUGAUGUUUUUCCAGUGCAAGGCAUAUGUUGCACAAGUGAGGUAUGUAGGCUGCAGGGCAUAUAUUUUGUUGUCUUAACUGCAGGGGCAAAAUAUGUGUAAAAUGCAGCUUGCUUCUGUUUCUUCAGUUUCGUAUGGAAACAAACCUUAUGCUUAUGUUUGCCUUUGAACAGUUGUGAUUACAAAAUUAGCUACUUGAACAAGUCCUCAACACUUUAUAUUUUUAAUUACCUAUUCAAAUGGCUACCUACACUGCAGGACACAUAUUAUAUGUGUGAACUAAAUGUUUCUUCUGUUUCUUAAGGAAACAUAAUUUUUCGGAAACCAUCUCUUUCUAAUCAAAGACUUUCAGUUUCUUCCCACUCAUUGUACAAUGUGUUUAUAUGCCAACUCACUUGAAUGUAUAUAAAAGCAAAACUGCUUAUCUUAUCGAUCUCAUUCACUCAAGUAUCCAUUUGUUUGUUCAUAAUUAUGUUGAAUUUAUUCAACUUAAAUGUGUUUUAUUCAUCCGAUUACGCUUGAAAUAGCUGGUUCCCGCGGCAACAUGCAGGGCUAAUUUCUAGUUUUUAAUCUAUUUCUUAAUAACUUGACCUCAAUUCCUCGGGACUUAGAUAUCCCUCUUACCCAAACGUUUCAAUUUCUCAAUUGCUCAAGGGCAACCUUUGCAUAUACCAGAUGGAAGUUCUCAACGACUCAUUUUGUCGCAUUUUCAUAUUCCGACGAAGAAGUGUAUUGAUUAUGGCUGCUUCUCGGUUUAGGAUCCUUCAGUAAUAUAGUAAUUAGAAAUAAACUCAUGAUAUUGGUGGACCCGGAGGAAGGAUAAACUUGACGUUAUACUAUAAAUUUGAUACAAAAAUCCAAAUUUAAGGAUUAAAAUAUCUGGAGCGCCGAGUACUCCGGAGCACCCAUUGGCAUUCCAUGUGUAAGAGUUGACCUUGAUUUGCUUAAUCAAAGACAAGAGGGCUAAAAAAUAUUCUACCAUCAAAAGAAGACAAACAACUAACUAAGAAUGAAGAUCAAAAGUUGAAUAAGUUAACAGAAGUUGGAAGGACAGAAUGACUUUAAAAAGAAAGGCCAUGUUACAUAGAAAUCAGAAAGCAAAUCUGAAAGCUCAUCACCCAUGGCAGAAGCGGCAAAGAGGUAAGUACCUACUACUUCCCUCAUGUUUUUGAAGCUUCACACAUCAGACCAUUUGGCCACACCAACAGUAAUGAAAUUUCUUGUACAUAAGUGUUGUAUACAACCCUCUCACGUUUGUGAAAUGUGAUCGGAUCAUAUUAUAUAUAUUUUUACUUCGAAUUCACUCGUCUUUUCUUAGUUUGUUCCUUAUAUUUUUGAGCUAUUUACGUAUUUUUGUGUUUAUAGGAUUUGUUAUGCAAAGAAAAUAAAAAUAGAACAAGUGAAAUUUUUUGUAAUAAAUUCGUCAAAACUGUCUGUGUAAAUCAGCUUUUAAAUAAAAUUAAAAAAAAGAAAAAUAAUCAUGAUUUAUGUUUUGUUAAAAGAAUGAGGGAGAGUCGGUCAAAGAGGAAGUGGAGUGCACACUGAUAAAGGGAAGAAUAAUAAAGGAAAGUAGAAGGAGUGCGGGACUGAGUGGAAAUAAUAAAAGAGGCAGUGCGCAGGGGACAGAGAGGAGUGGGGAGGACUCGGAUUGGCAGAAACAAAAAAAAACAAACAGAAAAUAAUAGAAAAGAAGGCAAGAAGUCAGAGGGAGAAGCAGGAAUAAAAGAAGCAAACUGACAGAAGAGCAGGAGGAGGAGAUAGACACGGGGGGAGGCACGAGACAGGAUAGAAGCUGCAUUUGGCAGCUUGAGAGACAGGUGGCGGGAGAGAGAAGCAGAAGGCUGCACAGAAAAACAGGAGAGAAGCAGAGACGGGAGCAACACGAGAAGCAGGAAACGUGAGGUCAGAGAGUCCAAAAAGCUGCCCUUGGAGCGUGAGAAAAGAAGAAGCAGGAAACGUGGGAAAGGAGGACUGCAAGAGGAAAGAAGGCGAGAGGAGAGAGGCAGCCAGCCAGAGGUCAGAGAGGGCAGAGACCAGCAGAAACGGGAGCAACACAGAGCAAAGUUUCACUCCAUUUUUUCUUGGUUUUAUCUUCUCAAACCCAUGUUUUACUUUUGGUUUAAUUUGAUAAUAAUGUGUAACUAAAUUUAUUUUGGCUAGAGGUUAAUUCAAAGCCAUGAAUAUAUUUGUAAUAUGAAUUGAUUACCUUCAGUUGUGAUUUCUGAGUUGUGAUUUAAUUUACUUAACUGCUUGAUUGAUAACUUAUUUUUGUAUGUCGAUUAAGAAUGCAUACUUAAUUUACAUGCAUGAAUUUGAUGCUAGAAUAUAAGUGAAUUUCACCUAAUCGUUAUGAACUUAUAUUCACAAGUAGUGAAGGUUGUUAUCCACAAUCGUGUUAAGUGAGUUCUAGGCUGGAUUAACAUGCGUAUUCCAUAGUUAUGAAUGCCUAGUCAAUGUUUAUGAUUUCCGUUGAACUUAAUGAUCUUUGUUGAAUGUCUCUAUCAUGCGUAUUCCAUAGUUAGGGACUUUGAUGAGGAAUAAUUUGGUUGUAAUGCGUAUUCCAUUCAAUCCAAUGAAUCUAGGGAAAUCUAAAGAGUUAAUUUAAGCGGACCUAAUUAACUUGGAACAUUGUCAUUCACAAUUUAUUGAAAGAACAACUGAAAAUCAAUUUAGGUUGCAUAUGUGUCAUGUGUGGAGAAGAACCCUCUAGCUAGUCCGUCACCUAUCCUUUCACCUUAAUUCAUGCUUUUGUCAAUUCUAUAAUUUAUUUAAGUUUAAUUUACUUCUCGUCAAAACCAAACCCCCCAUUAUUAAAUUAUAUUAUUUAGUUAGUUUUCAUUGUUGUUAGUCUUUUAAUUCAAUUUCCGUCCAUUUCAGUUCCUAGUGUCUAAUUUGAUUGUUUUCAUUAUUUUGAGUCAUUCUAAGUGUGUUUCGAGUUAUUAGAGUUUUUAGCCUAGUUUUGUGUCCUUGAGUCUUAUUUAAUAUUUUUUAGAUUAGCAAUCCCUCCUAAUCCCCGGUCUAGAACGAUACCCUACUUACAUACUUUACUACAAUUGUCAAAAAGAGGGUUUAAUUUGUGUGUCAAGUAAUUUUCACAUCAAAAUGUUGGAUACAACGGUUUAUUUAUGAGAAUUUCUCCAGGGUGUUAAAGUUUAAGCAUGAGAGUGUAUGACUCGAAGGAAGAAAGAAAUAUCGCAGAAAUGGAGAUAGUGAUGGAUGCUUCUCUCUCUCUCUCUGCAAAAUCACAGAGGAAUGUUUUCUCUUAUUCUCACACUAGCACACAAUCGUGCACUGCAUAACGGUUAGUUAUGCUAAUGGAAUCUCACCAUUACAUCAAAAGAUCUUAGCUGCACAUCUAGCUGGAUUCAAGGUGAUUAAUCCACAUGUCACUUAGACAAAAUUACAAUAUGAGCCCUACACUUGGUAAUUUUAACCAGAGUGAAUACACAACUAAAUACAAGGCUUAUUUCUACUAACUUAAAAUCAGCUCAUGGCUUAUACACUAACACUCCCCUUUAAGCUUUGAGCUGAUAUGACUCCAAGCUUAUCUAUGAGAUAGUUGAACCUCUCCUUUGGUAGAGCUUUAGUAAAAGUGUCUACCACUUGUUCUUUGGUAGGUCAGUAGACCAAAUCAACAAUUCCUUGCUGCAAAGCAUCCUUGAUGAAGUGAUACCUUCUAUCAAUAUGCUUUGUCUUUUGAUGAAAUACUGGAUUCUUGGUUAUAGAGAUUGCAACUGUAUUGUCACACUGAAAAGGAGUUGCUUUAGUUUGCAACUCUCCAAAAUCCUCCAGAACAAACCUAAGCCAUAUAGCCUGAGCUGUGGCUUCUAAUGCACUGAUGUACUCUGCCUCUGCAGUUGAAAGUGCAACACAAUUUUGCUUAACAAAUGCCCAUGAGAAGACUCCACUCCCAAAGGAAAAUGCAUAGCCUAAUGUACUUUUGCUAUCAUCAAUUGAACCUCCCCAAUCACUCCCACAAUAUCCAAUUAGUAUUGCAUUCUUCCCCUUUUCAUAAUUCAGUCCAUAAUCUAGUGUUCCUUUGACAUACCUAAGCACUCUCUUGGCAGUCCCAUAUUACUUAUUUGUAGGGCAAUGCAUAUAUCUAGCAAGUAAGCUAGCUGCAUACAUCACAUAUGGCCUUGUAGCAUUAAGAUAUAACAGACUGCCCACAAUCUUCCUAUAUUGCUCUUCACUUGCUGGGCCACUUCAAUCUUCUUUGCUCAGUUUGUCAGUAGCAACAAGAGGAGUACAGACAGAUUUGCAUUCACUUAAGCCAAACUUAUUAAUAAUUGAUGGAUGCGUGUUGGAUACUGUGACACAUGUAUCUUAAUUGAUUUUUAGUGCAAUGAGUCUUUGAUUUUGUCAGGUAUGCGGUUGUCACAGGCUCGAAUCAGGGGAUUGGAUUCGGAACAGUUAAGAAGUUGGCAGCAAAUGGGAUCAUGGUGGUGUUAACUGCUUUAGAUGAGAAAAUGGGUCUUGAAGCUAUUGAAAAUUUGAAAGAGUGUGGCCUCUCUGACCUUGUGGUUUUUCAUCAGCUUGAUGUAACGGAUCCUGCUAGCGUUGCUUCCCUAGCAGAUUUUGUCAAAACCCAAUUCGGGAAACUAGAUAUCUUGGUAUGAUUCGAAACCAUUUUUAUAAACAAACUUCCUGUUCUGAAUGAAUACUUUCAUUUUUGCCAUUUUUUCGUCUGUGAAUUUUAAAAUUUUUUAAUGAACGGACCUCAUUCGCCAACUCUAUAUGAUACUAAUAUUUCAAGCAUAUUCUGUGUACCCUGUUGAAAAUUUUCACUUAUCCACUGUGUUGUAAAUUUUAACUGAGUCGCUUCGUAAUUCAGCUUAAAAUAAGAUAGAAAAUCCCUAAGUACGAUGAAGGGUCUUAAUAUUUUGUUGGGAUUGAACAAAGAUGAAAUGUUUAGGAACUUCCACAGGUAAACAAUGCAGGGGUUAGAGGAACCAUUGUAGACCCUGAAGCUUUCAGAGCUGCUGUAGCUUCUGGUGUUGGUAGGGUAAGUCUUUUUAUUCACUAUUUAAAAUCCAACUUAUCUUGAGUUUUCAAAAUUUGGCUUUCAGUUUUUGGUUUUACAUUUUAUUUUUUGAAAACUGAAAACUGAAAUGGUUAUAAGAUGGGUCCUUACAUUGUCAAAUUUAUAGGUUGAGUAGUGCUAUCCACACACCCAUUUUUACUUCUCACACACUCCUCUCAAAUUUUUGUCGUCGGAUCGAAUGAAUUGAAAAAAAUCAAUGACCAAAAAUUAACAAGGGUGUGUGAGAGUUAAAAAUGGGUGCUUGAAGAGAACUUUCCAUAUAGGUAUGGCUAAGUGCCAUAAAUCUUUCAUUCAAAAAUCCACUAUGGCAAAAUGAAAUCUUUCUUUUCCUUGACGCAGGAUGGUUUAGGAGUCAAUUGGAGUGAAAUAAUGACUCAAACGUAUGAGUUAGCUGAAGUAUGCGUGAGAACAAACUACUAUGGUUCCAAGAAAAUGACCAAAGCACUGCUUCCCCUCCUCCAGCUAUCCGAUUCACCAACAGUUGUCAGUCUUUCUUCUGGCAUGGGAUUGUUAAAGGUGCGAAGAUUUUUCAUACUUUUGGCAUCUCAUCGUAUUUCUGGUUCAAGAUCCAAUGUCUUCCAUAAUUAGGAAAACUGAAAUUCUGUUGGCAUGGAUGUUUUGUUUCAGCAUAUCCCAAAUGGAUGGGCUAAAAGGUUGUUAAGUGAUGCCGAAAAACUCACAGAAGACAGAAUAGACGAGGUUUUGAGCGAGUUUCUAAAAGACUUCAAAGAAGAUAUGCUAGAAACCAGAGGAUGGCCUGCUUCCCUCUCUGCCUAUAUACUCUCAAAAGCAGCCAUAAACGCUUUCACGCGGAUCAUGGCCAAGCAGUACCCGAAUAUCUGCAUCAACUCUGUAUGCCCUGGAUUUGUCAAAACAGAUUUGAACUUCAAUACCGGAAUAUUAACAAUAGACGAAGGUGCUGAAAGUGUUGUGAGGCUAGCAAUGGUAACAAAUGGCAGCCCUUCUGGCCAUUACUUCUAUAGACAAGAAGUCACACACUUUUGAGGAUAACAGAAUCUUUCAAUUUCAUGGAAUAAAUAUCCUUUUUUCUGUACGCAAUGAUGAGAUAAUAAUCUUUGAAUUUUCGUAGACGAACAAUGUAUCCUUAAAAAAUUACUAUGCUCUUGUUGCUGCAACCUGGUGAUCAGCCACACCUUGCAAAACGAGAACGCAUGGUUUCCACUUCCAGAGGUUUUCCUUGCAGAGCACUAUUUAACUCUAAACAAAUUGUUCCAACUACAAAAGUAAAAAAGGAAAAAACAAAUUAAAGUUCGUUAGUCCUUAAUAAGCAAGGCGUGAAAAAGAAUUAAGCAUGCAUAAGCCAGUACCUCACUCAUAGCUCGUCUACCAUUCGUUUAGUUUUCUCCUCUUAUCCCACAAUAGGCCUUUAUAUCGGACUCUCCCUCCUUGAUCACAUUUCCCAUUGCACAAUAUCGUUCUUACCCACGAUUGUUCACAUAGAUUGUUAGAGCAAUUUCUUCUCAUCAUCCACUAGUCCAUGCGGUACUUGUAUAACCCCUUUGUUGAAUGUAAAGAAACCAAGUGAAUACCUCUCCUUGUCUCUGUUAUGCUUCACUCAAUGAUGGCAAGCUUUUAUUCUGUCAUUGCUUAUACCUAAAUAAAAAGACUGGUUUUGGUAAUGUUUAAACUUUAUAUUGGCACAUCAAGUUAGACUUCAGCGAGCCAAGUUGGCUAGAAUAAUAGGCGUGCAUCCCUACCUCUCUACAAGUUAGAUCGAAUUAUCUUCUUUGUUAUUUAUAUUAAAUUACAAUGUCACUCAAAUAUAUUUGUACAUCAAAUUAUAUGAGAAUACAUGUGUAUAAUAAGUUCACUAUCUAUCUUUAUUAUUAUUUUUUAUGAUCGAUGAAAGCUUCAUUGGUCAUAAAUAAGAAUUUCAUCAACGGAAGCAACAUCUGUAGAAACACUAUCUACCUUUACUAAAUGUGUCAUCAUAUUUCUAGUUCUCUGUUGUGAGUUUGAGUGAGUCUAAAUCAGAAAAUCCUUAAAAUUAAACUCACACACCAAAAGAUAGGUUUAUUAUCAUCAUCAUCUCUCUCUCCUUUCUAUCCAGAUCUUCCGAACCAAAUAUAAUGAAUAAAGAAAAAAUUAACUUUAGGCGUGAUUUUCGGUUAUAAAAUUUCAAUUUGAACUAAGAAGAAAUAUUAUUUUUCUUGUUCCUUUUGUUUGGAUACAAGCAGAGCCGGCCCUGAGAGGGUGCAAGUGGUGCCACCGCACACGGCUCCCGAUUUUUCAAUUUUGUAUGCAUAUACGUAUAUAUAGUAGUAUGUGUAAAAUAUUGCAAACUUGAGUCUUAGCGCAAGUGAUAUUAUUACUUCUUUACAUCAUCCUAGGGGAUGGGUUCAAAACUCAUCUCCAUCUUUUUUUCAAUUUAUUUUUAUUAAAUGCAUAAGCUUCCACAAAAUAAUAUACAAAUUCGACACAAUAACAUGAAAAUUUGAACCCUGGCCCUCUAAAUAGUUAAGGAAAAACAAUACGCCACAUUUCCACCUGUUGAUUUGGUAAAUUUGUUUGUGCCAUUAAAAUUUAUAGAAGCUCAAUUGAAAACUAAAGUUAAUUUUUUGAACAAAAAAAUAAAAAAAUUAGAUUCUUAAUAUUUUUUUAGGACCUCCAAUUCACUUUCGCACAAGGCCCUGAAAUCUCAGGGCCGGCCCUGGAUACAAGGUUAAGCGACUAGAAAAAUAAAAAAAACAUGGAUGGAUGCUGACAAAGAACAGAUGGCUGUUUAAUAUGUGAAUGUGGUUGUAUGGACUCGUCGCUCAUCGGUCGUGAACUAGAAUUUUUAGCGCUAUGAGUUUGUGAUUGGAAAUUGCGUGUUCAGUUCAAAAAUACUGAACAGAUAUUAAUUCAGAUCAUGGGUUACGAAUUCGGAUUUUAGAUUACAACCCUAAACCUUAAUAUCGGCCAAAGUUUGUAUGUAACUACAUAUUUGUGGAAUUUAGAUGGGAAAUUAGUUUAUGCCCACUUAAUUGUCAAAAAAUAAAGUACUCGUAGUUUUAGGACUCGCCUGCAAUCUAUCGGCUGCCAAGAACACGAAUUUUGAAGGUGUUUGGGUUAAUAUUUGAACUUUGGGCCUAAAGAAAGAAAGGAAGAAAGGUAGGCCCAAAAGGACUAAAAUGGGGAGAUUCGCUCGAGGCCCAGCACCCAGCCCAGACCAACUCUCUCAAAGACAAAGUGGCGGCUUCCCAUUAAUGCAUAGGCUAUGUGCCUAUAAUCUAAAUAUGACAAGUGAUAAGAUCGGUCACCUAUCAGCCAAAAGCACUAUACAGUGGCAAUACAAGUAAAAAGCUGGUGAGUCACUACCCUCCGAUUACUUUCAGGCAAGAACAGAACUGCAAAUAGCCGGGUUAAUUCGUCUAUAAAAGGAGGAAGAAGACCCAAAGAGUGGGAUGAUCCUUAUUUGUGGAAAUAUUGCACUGAUCAAUUGAUUAGAAGGUGUGUCCCCGAAUCUGAGUUUAAAUCUAUUCUAACUUUUUGUCAUUCUUAUGCAUGUGGUGGCCAUUUUGGAGCAAAAAUGACAGCCCUGAAGGUGUUAGAGAGUGGUUUUUAUUGGCCUAAUUUGUUUAAGGAUGUGUACGAGUUUUGUGCAACAUGUGAUCGUUGUCAACGAACAGUGGAAAUCCAAAGUGCAAAGACCGGAUACAUGUUCAAAGUGAAUGGGCAUAGACUCAAGCCAUAUUACGAGUCUUUUGCGGAGCAUGAUGUGGAGGUUGUACCUCUUCAAGAACCAGUUCCCUUUGGAUGAUUACUCUUGGUACCGUCUGGCUGCGGACGUAAAAGCAAGCGAUUAUUGGGAGGCAACCCAAUAUUUCUAUUCAUUGCUUUUUUUUUCUGUCAUUUUCAAUUUUCUUGCGUGCAAAACUGAAUUAUUUCUUUUCUUUGUAUUUGGGUUAUGUCCACCCUUGGAGUUGAUUGCAGAAUUAAAGUUUGGGGGUCAUCAUUUGAUUUUACUGCAAAUUGGGGAAGUUUUUAGUCCAAAUGCCGGAUCACUUCAAGUAUCACCUUCCAUUCGAAGUUCACUUCGAUGCCAUGGAACCUAGGGGAGUGUGACUAGAGGCAUCGUCCGGCUGCAAGACGUUAAAGAAAGCGCUUCUUGGGAGGCAACCCAAGCUUUCUAUCUUUCAUCUUUAUUUUGAAUAAUUUUAAAUUUUAUUGUUCUGUUUUUCUCUUGUUUUCUGGUUUUUUGUGUUUAAGUCCUACUUUUGUUCCUUUAUGCAGGUAAUGAUUUUGCAAUCUCUACCACAACUUCUUGCAAGGUAGUUUUACAUUCAUAAAAAUGAAAGGAACAUUAAGCAUAUAAAUACAAGAGGGAGCCUUCACAAAGGCUGCUUAAGUGAAGUUUCAGCAGUCGGCGGAGUCCCAGAAGGAGGAGGCAUCAGAGGUUGAUCAGUUGGAGCUUCACUACGCGGUACAGCCCCAGAAGACGAAGGCAAAUGCUGUUGGAACAAACCCACAAACUGUUGAUGAUCAAGUAAAAUCUGACCAUCAGAUUCCUGCAUCUGGUCAAUCUUCCUCUUCAUGUUUGUGGCAUAGUUGUGUGCGAGCUUGUGCAACUGUUUAUUCUCAUGCUUGAGCCCUCUAAUCUCCUGCUUAAGACUCAUCACUUCUGCCGCCAACGAUUCAACUUGACGGGAUCGGGCAAAUAGGCGUUGGGCCAUGUUGGACACGGAACAUGCACACUGCACACUGAGAGCCAGAGAUUCCUUAACAGCCAACUCAUCAGACCGUUUGGCGAGUAGUCUGUUAUCUUUGGGAGUGACAAGGUUCCUGGCCACCACCGCAGCUGUCAUAUCAUUCUUCAUCACCGAAUCCCCAACGGUAAGGGGACCAGUAGGGGAUAUGAAGGAUGGGCGCCAUAUGUUGUCGAGCUGCCUCUUCACCAAGGUUCAAGUCAAAACGACGAUCAGAAGGGCCAGACAUUUUUCAGAUGUGGUAAAGAAAGAAGAGGUCGAACAAGUCAAGAUAGUAGAAAUGCAAAGAGGGAGUUUUUGAAGGCAGAAAUUCAAGUGUGCUUUGAACGUCCUGCAUACCUCUAUAAAAAUCAGCACGCGAUGGGAUUUCGGAGAUCGAAGAGGCAAUUCCAGAUAUCGAAGAGGCCAACUAAAAAAAUCAAAGAGGCGCUAGCUUUCUCAAAAGCUGAGCUUGCUCAGAAACCACGGCAAAUCUUCUUUUCCAGAUUUGUCCGCACUCGUCACAUGCACCCUCUGCACUCGACGGAGCUCAGAUUUCGAAGAGGCAAGCUCAGAAAUCGGAAAGGAAUCUGCUUUAUCCAGACGUGUCAACAUCUGUCACAUGCAAAGUCUGCUUUACAGAAAUCACGGGCAAUCUGUCGACGAUUUCUGGUAAAGUAUAAAGCACGUGAAGUUUACUGUUCAAAUCAUCCAACGGUUGCCGACAAGAGUGAAAGAACAGUACCGGUUAUUAUUUCCUAUAAAUGUCGACCUUCACCCUCCAUGGCAAGGCAGACAUACAUAACUUUCCAUCAUCUCCGAGAAUGCCUUUCCACCACACCCUUUCGAGUCACUCAGUGUUCCUUAUUCCUUGGGGUACCUCUGCAAACAACCCAUCCAAAGCAAAAGUAUUUCAUAUCAUGAAGGUUGAAAGCAAGAGUAUCUCAUAUCAUGCUUUCUCCCUGUCCUUCUCCUUGUCUUUGUUUUGUGACAAGGAGAAAGAGAGCAAUCAGCCAGCACUUGGUAUUAAUCUUCCGAUCUGGAGCCAACUGCCUGGAACCCCUUCCUGAUUGCUUACCUAGCCUUGCUCUCGAGUACUCAUCUUCAUUAUCUUGUGCUUUCUCUUCGUCUACCACAUCUGCCUGGGGGACAGAUAAGGGAAGUGAAAAUGAUACCUCGAAGCAUGUGGAGACAAUUCAGCUAGGGACAAGGAGAAAGAAAGCAAGAGAUGGGCACUUGGAAAGAUUGAAGAAAGAAACAGACCAAUACCUCUACCUCGUGCCUGCCCGCCGUGCAGAAGAAACAAGCAGAGAAGAAUGCAGACUGCACAAUUCAGAGUUCCUUGGUUUCAAAUCAGACUCCGAGAUUCGCCUACACAAAUUGGUGUGUUCUUUCCUUUUCUUUAUAUGUCUUUAUUUCAUUUUAUAUUUCUUUCCUUCCAUUUUUAUGUCUUAUUGUUCAAAAUUUCCUUUCAUUAUCAUUGGGGACAAUGCUAUAAUUAAGUUUGGGGGUGGAAAUAUAUUUCGUUAGUUUAUUUCUCUAUUAAAAAAUAAACUAAAAAAAAAAUUUAUUGUUGUUUGUAGCUACUUCUCAAUUCUAUGAUGAGAUUUGUUUUUAAUUUCCUUCUUACUUUCAAGAAAGUCUAAGUUCUUUUCGUUGUCUUUGUGUUAACUGUGAUUUCCAGAAAUCAACUUAAAAAAUAAAUGUGCCUAGUCUUGUCAAUGUGAAACUUGAGCAUGAUUUAGCGUUUCAUAUGUGAAUCAUGUGAGAUUAUGUAAACCUUGUGAGUUUUUAAGCCUAUACAUGAUUGAACCAUUAUGCAUCAAUCUCAUUCCUUCUUGUGCGUAUGAUCUCACUGUACAUGUAUCUCUAGAACUUGCUUUAUACUACUCGAUUCAUUAAUCAAUUCAUGUAAUAACUUGGAAGUGAUAUAGGCCAUCUUUGGAUCGUUUGAGCCUUUCAUGCCUACCUUAUAUGCUAUGUUUAUCUGUAGUAGCCCAUUGAGCCUUUAACUAAGCCAUUUCUUUGUUAGCCACAUCUCUUUACCUUGCUCCAAUAUUGGAGUUGAACCCAUACACAAAAAUCGAUUCCUUAUUGUUUUGAGAAAGUAUUACAUGGGUUGUGCUUUUGGGGGUUUCAUUUAUGUAGAAAGAUGGAUGGAGCAUGUGUAUUACAAUGAAAUGUGAAUUUGAUGGGUGAUGUAGCUUUUGCAGAAAAUUCUUUCAAUUAAAAAAAAAAAACAAAAUAUAAGAAAAUUGGAGAGUGUUGAUUUGUUGAAAUUGUGUCUGCAUAGUAUAAAUUUCCUUUUGAAGUUGAAUUUGGGGAGUAACAGGUGCUCGAAGUUUAUUAUUUUGCUUUCAAUUUGAGGUGGUGUGAUAUUGAGGUGUUGGAAAACUACUAAAGUGUACUUUCUCAAAAUUUUUGAUUUCCAUAUCCUUUCUUUCAUUAGCCUAUCACCUUUAGCCCCAUUACAACCGUAAUAAAGCCCUAUUGAUCCAAGGUAUUACUAAAAUAUUGAUAAGCGAGUUAGGUGGACAAGCAAGCAUAUGACGGCAUGUACAAUGAGAUCACUUGAGUGAAACACAUUAACCAAAACUUAUGAGUGAAUGAGCGUAUGUCUUGUGAGAAACUCACAUGUUUGCAUAUGAUGAUUUAAAGGAGCUUGGAAUUGCAUUGACAUGGCUAGCUCACACAUGGCAUUUCAACGUUUUGUUUGAAGGAAAUUUGGUUAACUAUUGGAUGAUGUUUUGAGCUCUUGAUUAGUUCUUGGUUGUUUGUAUCAUGAUUAACACUUAUCUCUGAAAUCGAAAUUGAGAAGUUGUCUACUAAGUUGUUGAAUCUAGUCUUAGUUGAGUGAUUUUGUUUUGUGUUUUGUUUUGCUAGAGGACUAGCAAAAAUGCAAGUUUGGGGGUAUUUGAUCACUCAUAUAUUUCAUGCAUUUAUACCAUCCAUUUCUAAAUUCUUUGUGAUGUUUUUGUGUUAAAAUUGUGGCAUUUUACCUUACCUUGUGUUAAUGUGCAGUUAAAUUUGUUUUAGGAUAAAUUUCAAGCAAAAGUGGGGGAGACACUGAGCAACAGAAAUUAAUGGGACGGUAAAGAGAAAGACACGGACAGCAGGAAUAAGAAAAGGAAUAAAAUGAGCACUAAAGAAUGGGAGACACGACAUAAAGAAAACAGAGAGGAAGUGGAACAAAAGAAAAGAAUAAGGGAAUAAAAUAAGAGGAUGGCAUGAUUUGUUCAAGGCACACGGGUUGAGUGGAAAACAAAAGAAAGAAUAAAAGAAAAAAACAGUGGAGGGAGGACUGAAAAGAAGAAUAAUAAAAGAAUAAACAAAGGAAAGCAGAAGAGUGGGGAGUAGAAUAAACAAAGAAAGAAACGGAAAUAAGAAGGGGCGAUAGGAGAAACUGAGAGGAGAAGAGGCAUGACAGAGGGCAGGACAGGAGCAGAAAACAGAGAAUAAUAAGAGAGAGGAGACUGACGGGAAAAGCAAGAAAACUAGAGGGAGAAGCAGAGAGCACGACGGCAGAGACACACAGAAAACUGUGUGGGGAAAAAGAAAUAAAAAGAAACAGAGGGCAGACAAGCAGAAACACAGCAGAGAGCAGAAGCUUCACUCUAUAUUUCUUGGUUUUAUCUUCUCAAACCCAUGUUUUACAUUUGGUUUAAUUUGAGAAUAAUGUGUAACUAAAUUUUAAGUAGUUAGGGGCUGUUUUGAAGCCCCGAAUAUGAUUGUAAGUUUGUUGUGAUAUUUUGUUUGAAUGACUUUUAUGAAAGGAUGAAAAUUGUUUCACUACUUAUGUCAUUGAUAAAUUCUUUAUGUGUUUCUAUGGAUGCAUACAUAGUGAGCAUAUCUAGGAUUUUAAUGCUAUGAAUAUAUGUUUACCUGCCCUUGUUGAAUGAGGACCUACAUAUGUUCUAGAGUAGCACUUGUUAAUUGUGGUUAACAUGUGAACCGAUUUCUAGGAUAAGUAAGACAACGCUAGUACUUACGAUGCCUUGUGAUGACUCAAACUCUUUUUAUUCUUAAUGAUUUCUAUUUGUUAAAUCUAUGAACACGCCAUUCUAGAUUGCAUGUUAGGAACUAAGUUAAGUUGAAAACGUCAUUCUCUUAACAUACUACAUAAGAAAGAGUAAUAGGUUGUGUUCUAACAUUGAGCCAACUUGAGCAUCUUCAUCCGGAAAUAAAAGGAAUUUGAAUGAAACAUUACAUGUUUGCAUGAUUAUUUGGUGGUGGAUAACAAUGUCCCCUAACUCGUUUUCUUAACUUGUGAAUUAAAAUCUAUUGGUAUUAUUUAAAACUUGUUGAGGUCCUGUUUUGUCCGAUUUAAUUUAAAUAGCUAAUCAACUCCAAAAAUCCCAAAAAUUUGUGUGAACAUAUCUUGGUGUGUCUAGUUUAUGUGUAUAAAAUUUCGUUGCAUUUGGAUAAGUGUAAGUUAGUCUAAUAAUUAUUGUUCGGUGGCUGGUCAGUGGAGACAGCCACCCUGUUUUUGUGACAUUUUAAGUAUUUGGAUAAAACAAUCUUCUGCGGGAAAGACCCUUAUUUUCAUAUGCUACAAUCGACAAAUUUUAGUGUUAAUAAGGAAAAUUAAUAGGAUAUUUGUGUGCUACUUUGUGGUGUGCUUUUAAUCCUACCAGUUUGCAGGCUUAACAACGAUUGAAGGGGGCACUAUUUGGGUUAAUAUUUGAACUUUGGGCCCAAAGAAAUAAAGGUAGGCCCAAAAGGACUAAAAUGGGGAGAUUCACCUGAAGCCCAGCACCCAGCCCAGACCAACUCUCUCAAACAUAAAAUGGCAGCUUCCCAAUAAUGCAUAGGGUGUGUGCCUAUAAUCUAAAUAUGACAAGUGAUAAGACCAAUCACCUAUCAGCCAAAAACACUUUACAGUGGCAAUACAAGUAAAAAGCUGGUGAGUCACUACCCUCCGAUUACUUUCGGGAAAGAACAGAACUCCAAACAAUCAGGCUGAUUCAUCUAUAAAAUGAGGAAGAGGGCCCAGAGAAGAGGACACUCAAUCAAACAAACAAACCAACAUACAACUUGUUUCUCAGUCAAGCAAAUACCCAGAAAGCUGCGCUUUGUCUAGUUUCUGCAUCCCUUUUUAGCCUUAGAUUUCCCUUAGAAAAACAGCUUUUGUCUAUGUAAAAGCUCUGCUACCCUUCUCUAAAUGUUGUAGUAUCGAUUCUCUCAUGUAAACUUGUUUACAUCCAUUCCCCUUUAGCUCAUAAACCUUUGUAACUGGAAAAAGAAGAAGCUGCACAAGAUUCAACCUUGCCAAACAAGGUUAAAUCUUGCCUGACUCUCUUUGUAUUGUCUUUCAAUUAAUAGAUCUGGUGUUAUAAUGUAUCCCUCAGUAUAUAUUCAAGCUAUUUCCAGUCUUUUAAUGAUUCAGAGUUCCAUCAGCUCUCAAAUCUGGUUCAUUUAGUGGUUUUAUUGUCAUAAGAGGAUCAAAAAUGCACUAAAACUGAUGAUUUAAUUAGAUCUGGACAUCCACCCUUUAAGCAUACAAGAUAUAUAUAAUUUCUUGAUCUCAAGGCAUUGAAAAGAACUUAAUGUAGACUUAACCCAUCUACGAAAAUCCUUUGAUAAACAAGAAGUCAGAAUAACUUAGGGCGCAAGUAAUCGGCUUAAAUACACUUGUUCUACAUCUGCCAUACAGAGAUGGCAAUGGUAUGCCUCCGCAGUCAGUUAGUUUUGAUUGUGAGCCUUAAGGCCACCUAAGGCCCCCAUAAAGGCACCUUUCAGAACUGACUGUUUCCUGCUCUUGCAACCUCUUAAUAGGUAGGAGCUCGACAACCAACCAAAGUGCCAACUCCUCGGGGAGCUGUGUGCUCAAGCCAGGAACACCCACCAUUCAAGAUUUCCUGCCCGAACAUAAUGUGCGGCCUCGAUACUAACCCAAUGAUGUGAAGUUUUUAUCUGUAUGGCUCAGAAGCCAAAGAGGGGCAUCAAUCUCAUCUGGUAGAUCAUAUCAUAUUUGAUGAAUCUGAGAACGUGACUGUUGAAGCUAGCAAGAGACUCAUAAUGCUUUCCUACCCAAAGCUUUCGAAUACCAUUUGUUCCAUUGUUAUGUGGAAAUCUGCUAAUAAUUGGUUAAAUAAAUCUAUGAUUUAACUGCACCAUUACAGGAAAAAAUAAUGUAUAUAGAACAAGUAAAUAAUAAUUCAACGUUUAAGUGUUAUCUUGCCAUACUUGUGUAGUCAGACAAAUAGUAUGUAGAUCGGCUCUUAAUAAAUUUGAAUCAAACAGUUAAUUAGGAGCCGUUUGGUAACCAUUUUGUUUUCACAUUUUUUGAAAACUAAAAUCUUGUUUGUUAACUACUUUCAGUUUUAGUUUUCAAACUAUUUUCUUGAGUUUUCAAAACUAAAAGUAGUUACCAAGCAAAAUUUCAGUUUUCAGAUUUCAGUUUUAAAAAAAAAAGAAAAGAUUUUAUCAAUAACAGCCAGAAUUUAACACAUAACUUCAUAAAUGUCAUUUUUUAUAAUAUCUUUUAAAAAUAACAGAAAAUCCACUUAAAUAGACUUAAAUACCCUUCUUUGGUAUUAAAACAACCAAAAGCUUAAAUGCCCUGCUUUGAAAAGCAAGAGAUAGCUUGGUAUGGGAAGUUUUAGUGCAGAUGUUAUGGCUUUAAUUCACAUCACUUUCAUUUGGAUUCAUGAUUUCCAGGAAGCCAAUGAAGAACCAGUAGAGUGAGCAAAACUAAACAAUCACGGUGGUUGCCUUCUAAUGAAGGGUUUGUGAAACUAAAUGUGGAUGGAGCCAUAAGGAUAACGGAUGGGAAAGGAGGUGCAAUAAUGAUCAUCAUUGGUUCCAAUAAUGACGAUCAUACAACACACCUGAAGCACUUUUCCACUUCAGCCAUCCAGCUUAUAUACCAUGAUAUAAAUCUCCUUUGGAUUCUCCAUUCUUUUGCAAGAUAGAUCAAAGAUAGCGAAAGCGUUCAUCUUCGGUACUUCAUGAUCCAAUCAUCAUUCCUACCUCGUUUGGACGCCUAUUCCACUGAACUUAAAACUCCAUAUACUAUGCAUUUGACCUACUUAGACAAAGACCUUUAGACUCCUAGCCAAAAGUUAAGCUCCAAUGUACUUCCUCAUGCAUUUCAUCUAUCAGCAUUAUAUCAUUUGUGAAAAGCAUACACCAAGGGAUAUCAUUUUGAAUUUGUCUCGUUAACUCGUCCAUUACCAAUAUAAAAAGGUAAGGACUUAAAGCUGAGCCUUGGUGUAACCUUAUGGUUAUAGGAAAAUUUUCAGUUUGUCCUUUAUGAGUUCUUACUGCAAUUCUUGCUCCAUCAUAUAUAUCCUUUAUUGCUUGGAUAUAUGCUACUCGUACUCAUUUCUUGCCAAACUUCUUCACUAAGUUCUUGGCAUACUUUGUUUGAAAGAUGAAGAUGCCAUCCUUUUCUUGUUUUACUUGAAGUACAAGGAAGUAGUUUAAUUCACCAACCAAGCUCAUCUCAAAUUCAUUCGUCAUCAUAUUGAUAAAUUGUUUCACAAGAGAAUCAAAAGUAGACCCAACAACUAUGUCAUCCACAUACACUUGAGCAAUCACAACAUGAGAUUGAACCUUUUUAACAAACAAGGUUUUAUCAACAAAGGCACGAGUACAACCAUAAGCAAGAAGAUAAGAAGACAACCUGUCAUACCAAGCACUUGGGGCUUGUUUAAGAUCGUAGAGAGCUUUCGUCAGUUUGAACACCCCAUCUGGCUUGUGAGGAUCCUUAAAACCCUUAGGUUGUUCCAUGUAGACUUCUUCAUUAAGAUAUCCAUUACGGAAUGCGGUUUUGACAUCAAUUUGAAAAAGCUUGAACUUUAAAUGUCAUGCAAUUGCACAAAGAAGUCUAAUUAAUUCAAGAGAGUAACAGGAGCGAAGGUUUCAUCAAAAUCAACACCUUCAAGUUGAGAGUAUCCUUGAGCAACAAGCCUGGCCUUAUUUCUGAUCACAUUUCCUGACUCACCAGACAUGUUCUUGUAAAUCCAUUUUGUGCCAAUAACAUUAGUGUUCGAUGGACGAUCAACAAAGGACCAGACUUCAUUCCUCUCAAACUGAUUUAGCUCUUCCUACAUGACUAAGACCCAUUCUUCAUCAGUUAGAGCAUCUUUGAUAUUCUUGGGCUCAAUUUGGGAAACAUAGCAAACAUUUGCAACUUCAUUAGUUAUUUGUCUUCGAGUUCUAACAUUUUUGUCAAUCGAACCCACAAUUUCCUCAUCACGAUGAUCUCUAGCCCACUUCAGUUUAUCCUUGAAUAGGACAUGAGAAUCUUUGAUUGGUGCUUGAUUCACUUUCGUUGUCAUUUUCUGACACCAUACUUGACUCACCAGAAGCAUCACCAUUUCGUUGUCAUUUUUUCUUUCCACUACACCAUUUUGUUGAGGGAUGAUUGGAGCAGAAAACUCAUGCUUGAUGCCGUUGGUUGAACAGAAAUCAUCAAAGCGAGCAUUCUCAAAUCCGGUUCCAUGAUCAGUUCUAAUUCUGACUAGAGCAAGAUGGCUAGACAGAGAUUCAUUCAACAUUACUUUGUACAUAGUGAGGAACUAUUGAAAGGUAUCAGAUUUUUCCCUUAAAAAGCAUACCCAAGUAAAUCUAGAGUAGUCAUCCAUAAUUACCAAGAUGUAAUUCUUACCACCAAGAGAUAAAGUCUAAAUUGGUCCAACAAGAUCCAUAUGAACUAAUUGAAGAGGCUUAGUUGUUCCAAUGUCAGUCACUUUCUUGUGUGCCACCCUAGAUUGUUUUCCCAAUUGACAUUGUAAACACGAAAAUUUUGUAACGAAUGAAACGAGAACACGUGUACAAAGUAGAUUUGUAUUGAUGAAUUUAUAGGGUUACAAUCUCUGUAUAUAAUUUUCCCUCUGAUUCAGUCUUUAAAUUUGAUGUAGAUGGUUGAUUGUUAAUCCAAGAGUCGCGAUGACUUGAUCUCAGACGAAUGAUUGAAUGAUUUGCAUCAAGUUUUGAGCUUGAAACAAUGUGUGGAUAGUUUUCACCUCAAGGUUUGUGUAUGACCUACGAUAAAGGUGAUGUUGAUGCGGGAUUUUGUUGAUUCAAGGGUCUUGACAACUUGAUCUUGAAUUGAACAUCGUUACAAGUUUUGAGCUUGCAACAAAGUUUUGAAGGAAUCGGCAGUGCUUGUUCAUUCUUCAAGGGAAUGCUUCGUCUUUGGUUAAAAGAAAGCUUCAGCUUUGGUUGUGCGUUCUUUGAAGAGGGCUUUGGUAGCAUAUUAGUCUUCAAAGAUUUGGUGCAGAGAUUCCUCUGGGUGUAGAAUUGCCGACCCCUAUUUGUGUUUGCGACCUUGUAUUUAUAGACUUCCAAAGCCAUGUCUUUGGAUGGAUUUGACUUUGAUUUGUGUCUUGAUUCAUCCAUGGGAGAAUUUAGGCAUUUUUGUGUCUUAAGUUCAGCCACUUUCCCUUGCUUGCCCGAAUUAUAGGGCUUUCUUGCCUAUUUUGUGAGCAAUCUUCAAUUCUUGCUUGUUUUAUGAAGAUACUUUAACUUUCUUUUCAGUUUUGGGAGCAAUUUGGGCCCCUUGCCGAUUUUAAGGAGAUUUAUUCCCAUUUGCUGCAUUUUAGAAUGCUUUUGAGCUUCCUUUGCUUGAUUUGUGCUACAUGUCAUUUAUGACUUGUCCAUUUAUGAUGGGUCCUAUGCCACGUGGAGAUGUGUGAUGCAUCAUUUGUAUGCAAUGAAAUUUACAUAUCUACAAACAUGAUCCACAAACAUAGGAGUCAGAAACAAAAAUAGAUGGAAGGCCCUUCACAACCUCAUGUUUGGACAACUUCUUAAGGUACUUGAAGUUUACAUGCCCAAGUCUCUUAUGCCACAAUAUACUAGUUUCAUCAAUAGUUUUGUGGCACUUGGAGUAUUCAGCAACUUUAGAGACAUCAAGAAUGUAGCAAUUGUCUCCAGAUCUCGGGAGUACAUGCAAGUUCUUUCCAUGUUCAUCCACAGUCCAACACCCUUUUUUUGAGAAACACACUUCAUCAACCACAUCAUCACACAAUUGGCUAAUGCUAAUGAGAUUUGACUUCAACCCAUCAACAUAGCUAACAUUUUCAAGCUUAGGUAAUCCAGGGAUUUUGAUAUCACAUUUCCUUGUGAUCUGAGACUUGUCUCCACCACCAAACACAACACCACCGCAAAUAAAAGGAGUAAGAGAUGAGAAAGCCUCAUUGUCUCCAGUCAUGUGACGAGUGCACCCACUAUCAAGAUUCCAUACAUUUGGCUUGGUAAUAGAUAGAGCAUUUAGAACAACAAGACACAUGUUCAAGGCCUUCUGAACCCACUUUGGACUUUGCUUAAUAUUUCAAGAUGAACAAGACUGAACAAGCUAAGCAAUUCUAUUGACCUCGAUGACCAAGCGAUCUACCUGACCCUUCAGCAAAUUAGUCUUUCCAGAGUACAAUUUUCUACAUUUUGGACGAAUGUGCCCAACUUCACCGCAGUGAUGACACGUAGGAACAGAUCUUGUCUUUGGACAUGGUUUGACUUUCUAAGAUAUAGCCCUAGAUUCUCUCACAAAUUUUGUUUUGGUGAGGAUAGAAAUUGAGCCACUUUCUACAUAACCAAGACCACUUUUGUCAUCGUAUAGUUUUCUGAUACUCAGCAUCUUGUCAAUUUUUCAACCCUAAUAGUGAGACGAAUAACCUUAUCAUUUGCCUCAUUCAGUUCAAGUAGUUGUUUCCUGUUGGCUUCAUGAUACAUCACAUUAUUUGCCUUCAAUGCAUGAAUUUGAUUCAUCAAGUUCUCUUGAGAUUCUAGUAAGUUUUGAACCUGAGCUUCAAGAGUAGUAAUAACAUCAUCCUUUUCAACUUUUUCAUUGCAAUUAAAAGCCUUCUCAUUCAACUCCUCAACAUAGGCCUCAAGAUAACCAAUUUUUUCAUCCAAUUCAAUUCUAACUAGACAAAGAGACAUGUUUUCUUUCUGUAAUACAACAACCUUCUUAGCUAGCUCAAUCCUCUCCACUUUUGUAGUACAAGUCUCAUCAAAGAGAGAAUCAUACUUUAUGCACAAUUCAUCAUACGACAUCUCCUCAUUGCCAUUCAGAACAGAAUCAUCAUCACUCAGAGACACUUCCUCAAUUGGAGCAACAAAAGCAACAAUCUUUUCUUCAUUGUCUGAUAACUCAUCAGAAUGCACAGAACCUUGAUCAUUUUAUCACUCCAAGUAACCAUCAUCGCCUUUUUAUUCUUUUGACCAAGGAGUUUGAUGUUAGCAUAAUCAACAGCACGGUGCCCACUUCCCCCACAUGUAAAGUAGGGACCAGGUACCUUUAACACACCUUUGUCUCAUUUUCUAGUGAACCUUUUGUGCUUCACUCCAGUAGAUUGUUUUUCCCGAUUGUUUGAUGACUUACCAAACUAUUUAGAAUCAUUUCCUUUGUUUUUUAGAAUUCUUCUGAGUUGUCUGACAAAUCGGGCAAGAUCAUCUUCUGAGACAUGUCUACACUCAUCACCAACAACCUCACAUUUCUCAACACUUUGAAAGGCCACUUCUUUUAUCUUCUUGGAGUCACUUUCAUCCAUUUCAAGCUCCAAGUCAUAGGUAAUGAGCUUCCCAACUAAUUUUCCAAGCUUGAUCUCAUUUAGGUCCUGAAACUCUUGAAUGACAGCCUUCUUUGCUUGAAAUCUCUUGGGCAAGCAUCUCAAAAUCUUUUGAACAACGGUUGUUUAAUCAAUAAGCUUCAUUAACCCCAAGACAUUUAUUUGUUAACAUUUCAAUUUUCUCAAAGAAGACCAAGAAAGUCUCAGACUCGAGCAUUCUCCAAUCUUCAAAUUUCGAAAGGGUCAUUUGAAGCUUUAAGUUUCUCACUUGUUUAUCACCCUAAUGAAGAAUUUAGAGUUUGUCCCAACCUUGCUUGGCAGUUGUGAAAUAUCAAACAUGAGCAAACUGAUUAGACAAAAUGGCAGAAACAAUUGCAUUCUUUGCUUUCCUAUUAGCCAUGGCCGAAGCAAUUUCUUCUUGAGUCCAUUCACCUUUUGGCUUCAUCACAAACUUUCUAUUGACUAGCCUCGAUGGAGCCUUCCACUUAAGAGAAAGAUAAUCAAUAGCUAUAAGAUCUUAAGCCUCAAUGAAUAUCUGAAACUUCUUGUUCCAAGCAGCAUAAUUUGUACCAUCAAAGAACGGAUGUGUAUUGCAUGAGCCACUGACACGACACGAUCCAUGGUGGGAUUCUACCUAAUACCAGAAAAUCUCAUAUAUCACUCUAUGUAUAUCUAGAGCAAGGCUCUAAUACCAAUUGAAAUUGGGACCAAGCAGAAUAUCCUGUAUAUAAAAAUUAUAAUAUGCUAGACUGACUAGUCAAGCCCGCUAGUCAACUCAAAUAGAUUUGUUAAUCAACAAAUCAAAGAUUCAAUUACCAAUUUCAGUUACCAAAAACUAUCAUAGUCAGCAAGGCAUCAGUUUGUUGCAAGUUAUUAAUGUGUCAAGAGGGCAAGAUUGUGAACACAUACCAUUUAACUGUUCAACAAAUAUAUGUAUCAAGUAUGUGUAUGUGAGAUACGUGACACAAUAAAAAUAACUUGAACACAAGAUAUUUUUAGCUGGAAAAACCCACCUCUGGGUUAAAAAACUGGGGACUCUCCACUGAGUCCAAUCCACUAGUAUAAAUAAAGGUUCAUAAAAAGACCACACAAGCUCAAUUUCUAGAUCCCUAUUUAUGGAGCAGCUUUACCUUUAUGCAACAUUGUCUUACACGAGAUGGACUCCUUUGGUCUUCACGAAGUGGCAGCUCCUCUUGAGCUCAUCACCUUGUGGCACUAAGAUCAAGACAAUCAAUGAUAUGAUAUGAUUUUAUAAUAUGCACAUGAAAUCUGGAUUUAAAUGACCAUUCAGGUUCUCCAGUCAAACAGUUGAAGGAAGAAUCUAACUUGAAUCAAAAAGCUUGGUCUAAAAACGAAUUUAAAGCUUAAAACCAAACCAAGACAUAAAUGCAAAACCUUAAAACAAUGCAACCCUAAUAUACAAUGAUUGGGUGUUUAAUGCAUGAGGAAGGUUUGGUAGUUAGGGUUUCAUAAUUGAAGAAGAUGCAAGCUUAAAGCCUUGAAGACAACUAUCUCUCUCUAAAAACUAAGUUCAAAAACCCCUAAGAACAAUCUAAAACCCUAGAAGUAAAUAUACCCAAGAAAAUCAUAUUUUCCAUCAGCUAACUUAUCCCAAGGACAUUUGUCGGCUACAAAAGAGAUCUAGGCAAAUCAAUGGCAAGAAACUGACCACCAUUAGAAAGGUGUCAUUUAGCCCAUGUGGACUAUCUUAAUUAGUGUGCCUAAACAGCUGGAAGUCAGCGCGCAAAACUGACUAGACAAUCAAACUAGACAGAAUGCAACACAAAAAGUGAUAGGAAAUGCACAUGCAUGAACAAACCUUUUGAUGUGAAAUAAGCCACUUCAUGAACAUUUCCUCCAGUAGCAAUAGCCCAUAAUUGGAGUUUAUUCUAAAGCUAGAUUAAGCAUGUGGUACACAAAUACAAUAUUUAACAAGGAAAGCUAAACACUUUAAAUUAGACUUUACACAAACAGUAAGGUUGUGGAUUAUAACAUUCAAACCUAGGCUCUACGCCAUUAUGCGGAAUAGUCAAAAGGGCGAUCCGGAAAUCAUUCGAAUGUGGCUCUAAACUCCGGCCCCGAGUACGACUACUUCUAUCCUGAACUAGCAUAUUAAGCCAAGUAUUCGUAUGUUAGCAGGUUCAAAAAGGGCAUCCAGACUAGGUAAUCCCAAAGAGGAAUUUUAUUCCAAAAUAGCUCUAAUACGCGGAAAAACUUUGGCCAAGUCAACCAAGGUGGUCUGAUAGGAAACACUCAGGUCUGACACAUAAGGUUUGACAAAAGGAUUCAAAAAGUGUUUCCGACCCACAUGCCGACGACCAAGUUUCCAAAGAACUUUUGUUUAAAAUUCACUAGAAACGGACAUGUGAUCUAGUUUAGAAAGAAAAAUCCAUUUUUUGACUAUGUUGCAAGUAGGCCUGGCAAACAGGCCAUGUUUAUCGUGUUCGUGUCGUUUUCGUGUAACACCUGUUAUCUUAACAAGUUAUGUCGUGUCACACCUAUUAUCUUAACAGGUUUUUAACAGGUCAGGUCAUUUCGGAUCAUUUUACCCUACAAGUAAAAUGACCCAACCCGUUAUGACCCGUUUAGAAAAAUAUUUUUUUUUAUAAAUUUGAACAUACCACAUUGUCACAUAAAAAUUACUUCAAAACAUAAAAACACAUUUGUUGUUAACUACUGCAUACUCCAAAAUAAGAGCCUAAUAAAAAAAAAACAUCAAUACACUACUACAAAAUAUCAAAUGUCCAAGGAUAUGAAAAAUGAAGGAGUUUUUCUUUUCAAGGUUGUGAAGCCUUUCUUAGAAGUUAAGACCUUGCCAAAGAAACUCAGAGCUUACAUGUUGUUCUUUUUACAAAAUCCUUCAAUUUUCAUCGAUCAUCAUGGGAAAAAUAGUAUUGGAACUUUGGCCUGAUUUAUUGUCUUCAAUAGUUAUAUGAUGAGAGAGAGUUUGAUUUAGGGCUGAGAAAAACAUUAGGUGGCCGAGAUUAAAUUUCAGCUGGUCCAACAGUCAUCAAUUUUCUACAUUUAAUUUAUAUAUAUAUAUAUAUAUAUAUAUAUAUAUUUAACUUUCAGUUCGGUUGGGGAUUAAAUUAUACUAUUUUAGUGGUAUAAAAUUAUUAAAUUAAUAUUUUUCUUAUUGUGUAAUGGGUACGUACGUGUAUACCUAUAUCAGCCCAUUAUUUUAACUGGUGCUUAUUGGGUUACCUGAUAACGACCCGAUUCAUUAUUAUAUCGACCCGAAAACCUGUUAAUUUCAUGACGUUUCGUGUCGGGUUAACAGGUCAUGUCAAAAAUUGCUAGCCAAAGACUAGGGCAGGUAAAAAUAGUUGAUUAUCAUUUAAUUUUCUUUUCACAGGUAGCUUCAAACUUAAACUUCUUCAAUCCGAUAAAUGUAUUGAUAAGCAUGGAGCAAAGGGUCCUUCAAUUGUUUAAUGUUCAAUUCCUGGUACCGAAGCAAGGUGGUCCUCCAACUAUUAUGACGAGGAUCCUUUACUGAUGCUAAGUUUGGGAGGUAAUGUUUUUCUGAAUCAACAUUAUCAAGGAGGCUUUUUUAGCCAUGUCCUAGGCCCAUAAACUUAUUCGCAUUCUGCUAUGUUGCUUAUUUAUUACUUAAAGUUCGUUUACUUUACAAAAAUUUAUCGGAUUAAGAAUCUCUUCACAUUUACAAAGACAAAAAAAAUAGUCACACAAGCACAUACUCAUUAUCCAAUUCCCAAUAUGAGGGACCAAAUGGGUAUAGUGUUUGGGGGAGACAAGCUCUCCCCCUAGCAAAAGGAAAAUCUUGAAGACAAGGCGACAUGUUGGACCAAAAUCAUUAGUGUUGAAAAGAUACCACUAUCAGAUCAGUGGCAUACUAUGCCCAUCUUGCUGCAUUCUGAGCACGACACUACAUUGAGGGUGAGCAUUUUGAUGGAAAUUUUCCACCGUCGUCGUCCAUAAGCAAAGGAAGAGGAAGAAAGCGGUGAUGGAAAACCCUAAUGUAACCUCAACACCUCGAGGAGAUUGGACUCAAAUGCAAAUCCUGCAUCGUGAGUGCCAGAAAAGGAUGAAUGUUAUGAAAUAAAUCGCAAGAAGUGAAGGACAUUAAGAUAGAACUAUGGCUAAAUAAGGAAAUAUUUAGCUUUGUUUGACAGAAAUCGACAAACACAAGGAAGAAUUUUGGUUGGAGGAUUCUCGACAUCAAAGGAUCAAAGAAGAAACUGACAACGGAAGCUUUGGUUAGAACAUAAGAGUUCAAUAAUGCAGAAACGAAAGUGGUUGUGAAAAUCUCAAAAGAGAAGCAGUUAUUUAAAAGCAAAUCAUUAGAAGAUUUCACCAUUGAAAACAAAGAGUCGUGUACCUUGGGAUCAAUAUGUGCAAAGAUCAAAGCCAAUUAAUGAAACGUGUGGAGAAUCAUGCACACAAAAUAGAGGCGUUCAUCAUCAUUGCAGUUGAGUUUUCACGAUUCUAGAGGUCGUGUGAUGGAAACCGAAGCAACCAACUACCCCGCUUUGUCAGAGUGCUAAACUAGCUCACAAAGAAUCUAAAGACUAAACGGUACGUUUUCUAGCUUACUCCAAAAGGCAUCAUCUUUGGUUAACAAUUCAUCCUCAAAAGGAACAAUUUGGCUCUUAGAUAAAUGGUUAAGGGCAAUUAUGGGACCAUGAUUUUCUUGAGUCGAAGUAAGGCUGAUCCAAAUACAGUUACCUUAGAAGUUCGGUCAUGGACUCACCAGCUCCGAGGCGGAGCUGUAUUAGACAUAACAGUGGUGUUACCGUCAGCGACUCCACUGGAUGACCAUGCUUGUCCCGCAGAACACGUGAUCUAAUCCAAAUAUGGACAUAAUUAGAUCCUUUAAGUCUUGGAGUUCCUAUAAUCUAGGAAUUGGCGUGUGCUGUAAGUAAUCAUAACUACUAAGAGGAUGAAAUAUCUACUUUUAGAUAUCCUCUAAGAGAUUCUCCCGGCUUAGAACGAGGAUUCUAUCCUAAAAAUGUCUAUCUCCCCACGGUAUAAUACACCCAUCUAGGUUCAUCUAUUGUAAUGCCAAUCUAAAUACUUCAAUACAUUAGCCCACUGCUUGAGUCUAAAAUCACUGACUAACUUGACCAUCGAAGAGCCUUUGGACAGCACACCCCCUCCUCCUGCACCGGUCUCAAGCUUGCUCACAGUUGUUUACUGUUUUGCAGGUUACUCGAGUUUGUGCUCAACCACCACUCACAAUGGUGCACGAAUUUGGUUCCAACAGAAUGGUUUCGUCAUACAAAUGCCUUUUCCUUUUGAUCAGGCCAAGAUCUCUCCAUUUCUUGCAAUUCAUCAUUUUCAUCAAAUUCACUCUCUUUCUCUCUCUCCAAAAUUCAUCCAUUGUAAACUGAUCAGCUCCCUCUUUAGCAUUCACCUACAACAUCUCUUCCCAAAUCUCUCUAUCUCUCAUAGUCCCUCAAAGAUAUUACAUUUAAUCUUAAUAACUUUGAAGUUGUGAAAUUUGUAAUUAAAUCAUGUGUUCUUAGUUUAUAUUGUGAAUUUGUUAUAUAUAUAUUGUGAAUGUGUUCUUGAUUAGUAUGUUUUAAUAUUUGUAAGAAUUUUGUUUAAAAACAAUUGGGGAGAUUGUUGAGGGAUAGGUUUGGAAUGUUGAGAGAUAGGUUGUAUGGCCGAGUUGGGGAGGGGGACAGGUUUGGGGAAUAAAAAAGGUUUGGGGACAGGAACCGUAAAGAGGGGUACAUGUUUGGGGAAGGGGACGAGUAGGGAUGGGGAUGGUUGGGGAGGGAGAUGAGUGGGGAUGGGAACGGUUGGGGAGUGAGACAAGGUGGGAUAAGACAUCGGGUGAUAUGAUAAAGAUAAUUUUUUUGUUAUAUUACAAUUUUUUAGAAAUAUCACCAUUUUUGUGUAUAUUAUAAAUUCUUAUAAAAUAUUAGACAUAUUUAGAAAAGUUGGGAAUUUCUAGAAUUUUUUUACAUAGAUACCUAGGCGCCACAUUGUCGUCACCAUUUUUCUUGUCUAACGAGUCAUGGUUGAAUAUGACACAGGACAUGGGCGUCCAGCAUCCCCACGGGUUCAUUCAAUGUUGAAUUAAUCGAUACGUGUAAUCAUCUGCCUUAACUGCCCUUUGACUACCCAUAAAUGGAGGAACAUCUCCUCCGAAGUGAAGCAAGCCCUAAUGGCAGAGCUCUCAGGUGUUUUUUUUAUUUAUAAUAUUUUAAUAAUUUAAUUAUGAUAAUUACUAAAUUAUUGUACUUUUAUAACUAACACUUGUUUUUUGUCUAUUUCAGAUCAAUUUUGAUAUUAAUGUAGAACACUCACGUACGUUAGACUGCGUUAAUCGGCUGUGAACUAAGAGAUUCAAAGAGUGGAUGUUCGAGCUGCGCACCCAGUACAGGACUUUGCAAGUCAUGAAGAAGCUCUGACCCAUCCAUCCCAUGAAUUUGCAAAUACAAUGGACUAGUGGGAGUGGCUCUGUGGUUAUUUUCAGAAUUUAUAAAUUCUGGAAAUAACAUCUUCCAUGGGACGAGUGAAGUUGUUUAUUAUCCGGAAUAAUUUUUGCUUUCCAAUAAUGUUGUAAGAACUUUGAUAUUAAUUAAAUAAAUUUGUUUAAUAUUAUGAUAUUAAUAUAAUAAUAGUUAAUUAUUUUUUUAAUUUAAUGUACAUGUUGCACGACGACCCUAUCCUUCGGCCAACGAUAUCAACUAAUUUUUCCUCUUCAGUUAAAGCAUGUCGGCGGGCAAAGUUGACAAAAAAUUAUUUUUAUACAAAUUUAGUUUUUGCACAACGACAAGUUUUCGUCGCCAUGUUCAUCAGGCAAGACCUCGUUGCCCGACGAAAGUGUUUUACGACUGCUUUUGCUCGACGACUUUUACCUGACGGAAUUUCAUCGCCUUAUCUUUUUUCGCGACGAACAUUGUCCUUAAGAGACGUAACAGAAUUCAUCUCCCAAGUCGGUUUUUUCGUAGUGUAUAUCUACUGAUUUUUUAUAAUGCAACUCCCUUUUAAUUGAUAGUUAUUCAAUCCUAGUAACCCAAAAGCUACACACAUAUCUUUUUGCUUACAGUUGAUUUUAACAAAAUCCCAGCAGUCUGCAUAAAUUUUCUAGAAUAUUCGAUAAUUAUCUCUGGGAAGAAUGCUAUAUUUUUCACUUUACUUACCGAAACGUAAUGAAAGUUCAUAGUAAUCUUCACUCAACUAAUGAAAGAGUAAGCAGCCUAAUUAAGAUAUAGGGCAUAAGAUAUAAAAAUAAAUGAGUUGGGGUUGAAUUGUUAAUAACAAAAUAUUCAAAGUUUGUUAAAAUAAAGAAAGUUGUUGGAGAUGGAAAGUUAAACUAAAUAGCUAAAUUAAUUUUUUGGCACUUUUGACUUGCUAGUUAAUAAAAAUUUAGAGCUUUUUAUAUAGAUGUUUAUAGUGUUAGAGGCUUAGAGCAUCUUCAAGAGACUUUUUAAUAUAACUAGUGGCGGAUCCAAAAUUCUACCAUCGGGUGGUUCUAAUCAAGGCACGCUAGGAUAGGCGCUACUCUGGUGGCGAGUUGGGGCCUAGGCGAACUAGGCAGAUUUAAAUAAAUUUAAUAUAUAACAUAUAAUAAGCGCCUAUUUACACUUUAAAAAACUACACUUAUGUUUAGGAUUUGAGUUUAUUAUUUUAAAUAGGUUUAUUAUUUGACAUAUAGCUAUUUGGGCCCAAAAAUAUCAGUUUGGGCCGAGUAUAGAAUUAUUCUCAGCCCAGCGUUUAGUUCUGGACCGGUUAGGUCGUGGGCUUCCUAACCUGGGUCAGUUAAGCCAUGCUGUAAGACGAGUCGAAUCCUGGUGCAAUUAGGAGUCUCGGCAAGAUUAAUAACCCCGAAGUGAAUCCGGCUUAAUAAAGGACUAGGUUCACAAUUAUGGUGAAAAUAGGACUAAUCGAGUUGGUAUUUGAUCAGGAGAAAAAGUCCUAUUCCGGGUAGGGUUUUAACUCGACCUUGAAGGUAUCCGGUGCUAUAAAUAGAGGAGGUUGUACAUCAUUCAGGCCCCUCCAAUUCAACACACAACUGCCCUGCGCAAACUCUCUCAACAACUUUGAGAUUUUUAUUUUCCCUUUUCACUUACACAUCUUCCGUUGGCAUCAACAACACUGUGAAAGCAACCGGUGAUAUCUUAAGUCGGCAUAGAUAGCUCUGUUGCCGUAGAAUCAGUCGGUCUCACAACAUCUUCCGUUGGCAUCAACAGCACUGCGGCGAGGACGGUUGGUUAUCUAUCCAAGUCUCGGUCGAGAAGGAUUUCUGAAUCCUUAUUGAUUGAGGUCAUCUCAUUAGCCUUCUCGGCGAAGUGAGGUGUUACAGUUUACUGAGCUCGGCGCAUUGCACGCCGAGUAAUUUUAUGAUUGGAUACUCUCAAGUGGGAUUUAGAGUUCGGCAUUCAGACGGCCGAACCACGUUCACUAUUAAGACUUAUAUUCACUUUGAGUAUUUAUGCCCUUACACUUUGGUGUCGAUUCGGCGUGAGUUUACUCUUACGAACAACAUCACUGUGACCAAAUCCGACGACAGCGAUUCGUGAACUUCGUAAGAAUAGUAGGCUUGUCUUCAGGUUCGAGAACCCAAGAGGCCGAGACGUGUUCCUUCCUCAGUUGCAAUCGUAAGACGCAGAAGUCAGCCGCGCACCCAACGUAACAUCAAUAAAUUUACUCCUCGGUCGAUGAGUUGGCAAGCCCCGCAUUCAUCGAAUGACGUAGUUAGCUUAUAGAUUACUCGGCCUGCGCGCCACGUAGGUUUGGUAGUUUUUAGGGUCAACAUUUUGGCACGCCCAGUGGGACCCAGUGCUAAACUACGAAGUUCAUGCUAAUUGAAACGCGAUCGGUAAAAAAGAAAACUAUGGGAAAAUCAACAGCCAAUUUGCCAAUUCAGAACAUAGGACAAAGUGUGCCACAUGCGUAGAUUCCCAUCAGCGUCGUAACACCUGAGUCCACGAGCGCGACUCGUCGAGAAAGGGAAGUUAAUCUCGGCGGUCAGUUUCACAGUCUUGAAAUCCCUGACAAGAACACAUGCGUUCUUAAUGAAGGGAUAAUAGAGGAUUGUGACGAGGAUGGUGGCGAAGGAUCUGAUCCACCAACAAGGUCGUUUCUUCGAAAAUGACUUGACGAGCAAUCUCGGACGAUUGAACAGACGUUUAGUCGAGGAAUCGAUAAACUUCAUGACGUGAUACGCAAUACCAGUGAGGCACAAACCAGAUUACUCGAAAUACUGGUUACUAAGGUCAGCGACGGUAGGUCUUUCAAUCUUGCCCAGCACUUGCCACCAAGAAAUAAUCUAUUACCAAGUGCACCGGCCGAGUCAAUCCCUGCUAGGCUCAAACCAAUUAACUUGGAAAAAUGAGGAGGAUCGAAUAGUAGGUCAGACGGAUCCAACCAGAGAGUGGAAGCAACACCUGUCGAUAUGAUCGAGGUCCAACGGAUGAUCGAUUCGGCCAUGAAGAAAGGGCCGAAGUUCCCUAAAUUUAUACAUUCAUAUCCAGCUUAUGUGGAACAGUUCGAAUACCCUAGAGGUUUCAAAAUCCUGGAUUUCAGCCUUUUCACCGGAGAAUCAUCCUUAUCCUCAUUAGAACAUAUGGCUCGUUUCACCGCGCAAUGCGGAGAUGUCAAUAGCGACUUUCACAAGUUGCGACUUUUCAACUUUUUGCUGAUAGGUUCAGCGUUUGCUUGGUAUAUCAACCUCCCACCGAAUUCUGUCCAGAGCUGGGAGGAGUUGGUCGAGAAAUUUCAUGAGCAGUUUUAUCGGCCAGGGAUGAAAAUGUCAAUGUCCUCGUUAGCAAGGAUGGCUCAAGCAUCCGACGAGUCACCAAUGGAUUAUCUUACCAGAUUUAAAUCAGCCAGGAAUUGGUGUCGAGUACCUCUCCCCGAAGUCAAAUUCGUCAGACUUGCUCUGAACGGUCUUAACGUAGAAUACAAAAAGAAAUUCUUGGGGGCAAACUUUCGGGAUAUGUAUGAACUAGCCCAGCAUGUCGAGCAAUAUGAUUAUUUGCUCCGCGAAGAAAAGAUUUCGAAAGCUCUAUCUCGAGGGACAAUCUACAAAAAUCCCACUGUCAACUACGCAUCGACCGAAGGUGAAUGCGUUAGCAUGGACGCAGUUGAAAUAGUAAUAGAUAAGCCAUACGUUUGCAAGGCGCUGACUCAAAUUGACUCUAAGGAAGUCAAAACCCGCUCGGCCACUGAAGAAACAAUGAAAUCGUCAAAAGUUUAUACUUUUGAUAUUACAAAGGCCGAUGCAAUUUUUGAUCAAUUGUUAUCAGUGAGGAUCAUCAGACUUUGGCCUGGGCAUAACAUUCCCAAGGCCGAAGAGCUUAAAGGAAAGAUAUAUUGCAAAUACCAUAAUUCAAGCAAACAUAUGACAAAUAAUUGCAUCGUGUUUCGAGACAACAUCGAAAGUUGGAUUGAUAAUGGCAAACUCAGAUUUCCGGAGAAGAAUAUGAGUGUUGAUACUGACCUAUUUCCCACGGCAACAGUAAAUAUGGUAAAUGCACGCCUACCUAAGGACAAAGGAAAAGGGAAGGCCGAAGCUGUUACAACGCAACGCGUUCUGAAUCAGAAUUCUCGGCCAUGUUUCACUGCUGAUUUUCAUUCAAACAAACCACCUACAGCUCUAACAGGACCCGCUAUUGUCAAGCCCAUGACAGAAUACAGCACUGACGAAGAAGGUGGGUCGGCGCUUUUAUGCAGAAAGUGUAAAGCAAAUGUCAACACCGAGCCAAAGGAAAAGUUAUCUCCGGCUAUAAUGGAACAACCUACAGCCGCCACACAGUAAAAAGAGCUCAACGCAGGCCAACAUCAAGGGGUUUUUUAUAGGCUCGGCCUUAAAGUACGGGUGGAAGAAACACCUUCGGUCAGACGGCACCUGAUUUUGAUGCCCCGUUUUAUGACGAAGAUUAUUACAUCUGCAAUUCUAGCAGCUCAGAAUCAUCGCAGAGCCAAAAAACUUUCAAACCUCCCGAACCUCGAGAUCAGCGUUGGUAUACAUAUCACUCCUCGAAAGGUGUAUACAUUGCACUGUCCAAAUCCCAAAAACAUUGGCACCAAAGAAUAGACUGCAUGGAGCGCCGACAGGCAGCCCAAGAAAUUUCGAUCCCUAAAUGGCGGCCGAAGGAAACAGUUGCCAAUGAUGAUGAACGACCAUCUCCAACUAUUAUGACAGAGCUGGUUCAAGGGAAACGGCUAGUCAAUCGAGAUGUUGAAACCACAUUUGAGGAGGCUGAUAAACGGAUCAAACUUCUUCUCCGGCCUGGAGAAAUGAAGGCACGCUUUGAGCAUUUCAGGCAAAAAGCUGAAAGCAAACUGUCCCUGCCAACCAUACAAGAACCUUUGAUCAAAAUUCAAUCGAUAUAUGCAAGAAUUUCAUAAAAAAACAUUCGGCCAAUGAUCUAUAUGGUUUGCCGAAAGCAUGUCAAGAUACAAUCGAUAUCGUUCUAACUUGCCCGAAUGCCGAGCAAAUUAUUUAGAAAACCUCAGACCCGGGAUUGAAAGCUAGGUUCCAACAUAUACGAAAAGCUCGAGUCCUUGGCUUUGAAGUCGAUCCAUAUACUAAUAUCGAUGUAGCCGACCUUCCUUUCUCCAUGGAGGACCUUCAAUAUUUACGAUACCACUUCGAAGUUUUUUCGGCCGUUUCUCUCUUCGGCCUCACGACCGAUGAAAUAACACGAGUUGCACGGUUGGAUGCCUAUCUUGACACCAGGGAUGCCCAUAUAAUGUACUAAGAGCAAGCUCGUAUCCUGGCAUCAAUCCCAGACACAAUUUCGAUUUCAGACGCACCUGAGGCACCUACACAGAAUAAACAGGUUUUUUAAGAGACACCGCGUGAACAAACCAUUGAAGAAUGAGCGGAUGAGUCUCUUGGUACAACUCUGACGGAAGCAGAUGCCGCUGUCGGCGACCACGAAAGAGAAGAGGCUGAAGAGGAUGAUCGUAACCCGAUGGGCCCGUCGAUCCUGGAUAACAUGGAAAUCAGUAUGGUCCAUGUUUUGCCCGCUGAUUUUCAGUCGAGCACAUCUCACCCGAAUUUCCUUAAUGGCGACGUAAUUGCCGAGGAAGAUGGUCACAUUAAUUUUGUAAAUGUUGCUGAUGACGAGUCAAUAACAAAAGAUGACAACCUCAAGGCAGCUUUAGCCGAAUUGUUUCCUCGCUCAUGAUCGGCCAAACUUCAUCAUUUGAAACCAUUGUACGUAACGGCCCAUAUCGAAGGGUAUCCAGUCUCCAAAGUUUUUGUCGACUAUGGAGCCACUAUCAAUAUCAUGUCUGUAAACGUCAUGAAGGCGUUACGCCACUCCAAUGAUGAACUUAUUCCCUCUGGGAUCACGAUGAACAGUUUUGUCAGAGACAAAUCCCAAACCAAAGGGGUGCUUCCUUUAACGGUAAACAUUGUCGGCCGUAAUCACAUGACCGCCUUUUUUAUUGUCGACUCCAAGACCGAGUAUAAUGCACAGCUUGGUCGAGACUGGAUUCAUCAAACCAGCUGUAUUCAUUCAUCAUUGUAUCAAAUGCUCGUUUUCUAGGACGGUAAAUCGGUCAUUGUUCACCCGGUCGAUAAUCAACCCUUCGAAGCUAACAUGAUCCAAGCACGAUAUUAUGAUAACCACGUCAUCUACAUCACCCUACAAGGUUUCAAUGAUGAAGGAUGGCCGACUCAGAUUUCUGUUCAAAAAGCUAUUGAGGUUGGCACCGAAACUGUCCACCAGGAUUCGGCGAGACUCGGUUUAGCUAACUUCAUCCCCGACCCUGAUGUUUGACACCGAUCGGGAAAAACAUCGGGCCGCGGUUUCAUCUACUAUGGAACGACUGCUGGCUCAUUGGUAUGCUAUAUCUAAGCAACCAAAUUCAGGCGUUAACCUCGUCGAGUUCCUCUCCGAAGGAGAUAAUGGUCCUGUCUUAUCUCUUGACAAAAUUCAAGCUGCCCCGACCGAGCUCGAAAACGAUCGGCCUCAAGUCAAAGACCCCUUGGAAGAAAUUAAUGUUGAGGCGGCCGAUGACCCACGACCUUUAUUUAUUAGUGCUUUACUUCCCCAACCUAUGAAAACCGAACUUCGUGCCCUACUUGAGGAAUUCAAAGAUUGUUUUGCUUGGAGCUACCAUGAAAUGCCUGGCUUAGAUCGCACUCUCAUCGAGCAUGAAUUACGUAUUAAACCUGGAUGUAAACCCUUCCGUCAACCACCUCGACGAUUCUCGACUGAAGUGUAACACGGUAUCAAGGAUGAACUGGUUCGGCUUUUGAAAGCAGGGUUCAUUUGGACAGCUCGAUACGUUGAAUGGUUGGCCAAUAUCGUUCCUGUUUUAAAGAAAAGUGGUGCAUUGCGCAUUUGCAUCGACUUCAAAAUUUUGAAUCUGGCAACUCCCAAAGAUGAGUAUACAAUGCCGAUUUCGGAUUUGUUGAUCGAUGUCGCAGCGAAUCAUGCAAUCUUAUCUUUUAUGGAUGGACAUGCCAGGUACAACCAAAUUUUCAUUGCCAAAGUCGAUGUACACAAGACUGCUUUUCACUGCUCGGGGGCACUUGGCACUUACGAAUGGGUUGUCAUGCCAUUCAACCUCAAGAACGCCGGCGCCACAUACCAACGAGCAAUGAACACCAUAUUUCAUGAUUUAAUUGGAACCAUUGUCGAAGUCUACAUCGACGAUGUUGUAAUUAAAUCUAAACGCUGGCAGACACAUCUGGAUGAUCUCAGACAGGCUUUCCUCCGUAUGCGUCAACACAACCUCAAAAUGAAUCCUGCCAAAUGUGCCUUUGGUCUGUCGGCCGAUAAUUUUCUCGGCUUCCUCGUGCAUCACCGUGGGAUUGAAGUGGAUGAAAAUAAAGCACGCGCAAUCAUCAAUGCUCCACCCCCGAUGAUGAAGAAACAACUACAGUCCUUACUCGGGAAGAUAAAUUUUCUCCGCCGAUUUAUAGCUAACUCGACGGGUAAAAUGAAAGCGUUCUCCACGCUUUUAAAACUUAAGGACUCAGAUAAAUUUGAGUGGACAGACAAGCAUCAGGCGGCGUUUACGCAAAUCAAAGUCUCCCUCACGACACCACCUGUCCUUGUUCCACCCCGGCGCGGGAAACCUCUCAAGCUAUAUAUCUCGACGGUCGAAGAGUCCAUCGGCUGCCUCCUCGCGCAAGACAACGAUGCCGGAAGAAAGCAGGCUAUUUUCUACCUCAGUCGAAAUCUCAAUCAACCGGAGGUUAAUUAUUCCGCCAUCAAGAAACUUUGUCUCGCCAUAUUUUUCACCGCCUCCAAGCUUCGGCAUUACAUACUCCCAUCGGUCACCCAAGUCAUUGCCCAGACCGACGUCAUCCGCUACAUGCUCACCUGACCAAUCGUCAAAGGCCGAAUUGGGAAGUGGACAAUGGCGUUGUCCGAGUUUAGCUUGCAAUACGUGCCCUAGAAAGCUGUCAAAGGCCAGGCACUGGCGGAUUUCCUCGCUCAACACCCUUCCCCCUAUGGUUUUAGGGGCACCGACGUCGAAAUCGGCAUGGUUGAAACGGUGAUAAUUACUGGAUGAUGUACUUUGACGGCUCAAGUACUUCAUCAUCGGCUGGCGUCGGAAUUGUCAUUCAAUCCCCAAACCACGAUCGUUGGUAUUUUUCGCUCAAGCUGGAUUUUGAAUGCAAAAAUAAUCAGGCUGAAUAUGAAGCCCUUAUUAUCAGCCUUGGCAUCCUUCAUGACUUGCGGCCAACCCGUGCCCUCAUCCUCGGCAACUCCGAACUCGUGAUUAACCAACUUAAUGGGUCUUUUCGAUGCAUGAGUUGUACCCUGGCACCCUACCACAUGGCCGCCAACUAUUUGGCCAAAUCCUUCGACGGUAUUACAUUUGAACAUAUUGCUCGGAUUCAUAAUACCGAUGCAGACGAAUUGGCUCAAAUCGCAUUCGAUGCAUAACUCCUAGGGGGCAAGCUAGGCCAAGAAAUACCCGUGUUACGACAGCUAUACCCGACCUUGGUUAACCAAUAAGUUCUCCGACAUGACAACGUAAUACGCACCAGAGUCAUGUCCUUACCAUCGUUGUUAGACUGACAAAACCUUAUAGAAGUUUACGUUAUCGAGGUAAUACCAGAUGAUUGGCGAAAACCCAUUAUGCAGUAUCUUGACAAUCCCAAUGGCAAACACAGUCGCAAGACGAGAGUUCACGCCACAAACUAUGUCACGUACCAAAACGAGUUAUACCGAAAGGGUGAGGAUGGUCUAUUACUGCUAUGCCUCGGCCCCCAAGAUAAUGCUCAAGCAAUCACAGAAGUCCAUGAAAGGGUUUGCGGAGCUCAUCAGUCCGGACGUAAAAUGCGGUGGUUGCUUCGACGACACGGUUAUUUUUGGCCAAGAAUAUUAAAAGAUUGUAUCAAGUUCACACGAAGGUGCACACAGUGUCAGAUUCAUGGUCUUAUACAACGGGUCUCGGUCGAGUCAUUACAUUCGGUCACUAAACCAUAGCCGUUUAGAGGAUGGGCAAUGGACGUAAUCGAAAAAAUCAUACCAUCUUCCGGGGUUGCCAAGCACGCAUGGAUAUUGGUAGCAACCGAUUACUUCACGAAAUGGGUCGAAGCAAAAUCGUAUGCCGAGCUAACGUCUAAAGAAGUUUGCGACUUUGUGGAAGAACACAUUGUGACUAGAUUUGGCGUACCAGAAACGAUUUUAACUGAUAAUGGCACAAUCUUUACAGCCGAGAGGUUUAAAGAAUAUACGGCAAGUCUGAAAAUUCGGCUUGAACAAUCUACACCAUAUUAUCCACAAGCAAAUGGGCAGGCCGAGACAAGUAACAAAGUGUUGAUCGGCAUUCUCGAGAAAAUAAUAAAAGAGAGGCCUGGCAUGUGGCAUUUAAAGUUAAAUGAGGCUUUAUGGGCAUAUCGAACAUUGCUCCGAUUGACGACUGGGACAACCCCGUAUGCACUAACCUACGGACACGACGCAAUGUUACCAGUCGAGCUAAGCAUAAAUUUGUUAUGAACAAUUGAACAAAGUAGUCUGUUCAGCACCGAAUAUAAUCAGUCAAUGAGACAGAAGUUAGAAGACUUAGAAUAAGCGCGACUCGACGCUUAUAACUUGCUGGUGGCACAAAAAUAGAUUGCCGAGCGAGCAUACAAUCAAAAGGUCCGACAGAAAACAUUUGGCGAAGGAGAAUUAGUUUGGCAAACAGUGUUGCCCAUAGGAAUUAAAGACCCUAGGUUCGGCAAAUGGUCGCCGACUUGGGAAGGGCCUUUCGUCAUACAUAAGGUUCUCGACAAAUGCGCAUAUCAUCUUAGAGACCGGACUAGUUUAGUUCACAAAUUGCCAAUCAAUGGGAAGUUUUUAAAGAAGUACUAUCCAAUCACAUGGGAAAUGCGGGAAUAGAAAUUCAUUUCAUUAAGAUCGGUAGAAGAAUACAUAAAUUGAGUUGGUCGAUCAGUUUACAUUUAAAUAAAUUCAGGGCGAAGAAGGAAAAAAAGUGCCGAGAAGAGCCUUAAGCUCCAGCCACCGCACCUCACCCAUUAUGACCUCGACAUGCCGGUUCUUCUUGUCCAUCUUCAACUGCUCGAUUCGUUUUGUGCUCCCUGCAUACUCAGUCAGACAAUCUCUGCCGCCCGAAUCGAAAUCUUUCGCAAUCUCAAAAGCAAUAAUCGACCUUCGUUUUACUAGUUCGGCUAUUUGACAGUCGAGGUCGGCCAAAGCUUCCCCUUUUGCCUUUAAAGCAUCAAUCUUUGGACAAAGAGCGUCUUGGACGGCCAUGGCAGCUUUCAAAUCUUGUUCAGCCUGAAGAGCGUUCUCAAGGACACUAAAAGUCUCCCAAACUUGCUCUAAGGCAAACGAUGGCUUCGGCGCUCAUUUGACCAUCUGCGCUGAGGUCGUUUAGGCAGGCACCCAAUAAAUCGAGGCCUUUGCAUUCAAGGACUUGCGACGCAGAAAGAGACAAAACUUCUUGCACCCAAACCAGAGCAGUUGAAUCAAGGGGGUAAGUUGUAAGGGCCGAAGGGCCAGCCGCUCCAACAGUACUUGACAGGAGGGCUUUGAACUCGACUUCCCAUGAAGCCUGCACACAAAAAUCAGUUUAAGCUCCAGGAAAUCACGAAAAAGGUAGCAAGAAGGUUUUGUUUUUAAACCUGGCGGGAGGAGACUUCGGCCAUGUCUUCAAGAUCGUUACUCGAACCUAAAGAACUUAAAAGCCGAAGUGGCUUCCUACGGAGGAAUAUUGAGGUCUUGGUCCUACAGAUGAACGGACGUUUCCGCCGUCACUUCUGGCUAUCCUACAGGUCGUUUGCCAUGGUCGGCCGUAGAGGGGCCGACUUGGACAGCCACCUCGGACACAGGAGGAGGCACCUGACAUUUAGUAUUUUCCUGGUUUAGAGUUCUAUGGCAGAGAAAUAACCAAGGAAAGGCGGUAGGGGGUACUUACAAAGGCCGAAGUGGCUUCCUACGGAGAAAUAUUGAGGCCCUGAUCCUGCGGAUGAACGGGCGUUUCCACCGCCUCUUCUAGCUCUCCAGCAGGUCAUUUGCCACGGUCGGCCGUAGCAGGGUUGACUUGGACAGCCGUCUCGGACAUAGAAAGAGGUUGACAGCGGGGUCGAAAGUGACUCGCCAGUGGAACCUCGUCGCUCCCGUCGCUCUCUUCCAGAACGAAGGCCGAGGGUUUUGGAUUUUCAGGAUAAGUUAUCUCAGUCACAGGGACUGCCUCUUCUGGGACGGGUGCAGCCUCGACCAGUGGAACAACAACUGGUUCACCGACUUUAGAAACAGGCCUUACUUGGACUGUUUCUUCGGUCGAAACUGAUCAUUUCUCAACUAAAGCUUGGGUGAUUGGGGGAGAAGGGGAAACACUGGGAGUUGUCACCCUUGUAGUUUGACUGGAGAUAACGUGAAUCACCCGUUCCCCUUUCUUCACCAGUUUUUUGACCCGUUUGGCGGGCCGAGGGGCUUCGAUGGCUGGCUCGACCUCUUAACGAGGCCGUUUGCUCAGCACAGCCUGCACAGCGAUCUUGGCCCUCUUGGAAACGACUGAUUUUUUCUCGACCGCGGCCGCGGCCGCAGCCGCAACGACCACUUCCACCUUUUUCAAUGGCCGACUACCUGGAAAAGUAAAAGCAAAUCAACAAAGCCGAUCAGUAGUUUAAAAUUGAAGAAAAAGGUAGAAAUAAACGGUUACCUUGGGGUUGGGGGGCAGGAGCCUUCUUAGGUCAAUCACCGAAGAUUUUGUUCAGAACGGUUUCGACCGAAACACCAAAAAACUAUUGGGUAUACUCUUCCCACCAAUCACCGAAGGUGUCAGUGUAAAGAGGCUCUAGAGUGACCGGUCGAAGAUGGAAUUUUUGGCACCGUUCCUGGAACUCUCUUUUGGCGUCGUUGCAUUCAUUCUCUGAAGAGCCAGGUUCGCGUCUGCGGCUUAGGACGGACCGUGAGGAGAGAAGGGGGACUGGGCAACCUUGAAGGUAGCCAAGCUAAUGAGCGAGGAAGUUGGGAUGAUACACUUCCCAACUCGCUUAGCGACCCUCAUAGCCGAGAGACAGGUCGCGGGCAAGCACGAAAGACCCCUAGGAUGGAUGAAGGUCGGCAUCUUCGUUCGUGUCCCACGCUGAUGUAGGGAGUCUGAUCGACGAAGGGUAUUCUCGAUGACGGUAGAUCAAGAACUCAUCAUCAGAAAGGUCGUCAAGAGUGAAAAAGUAUCUGAACACUUCUUCGACUUGGUGAGAGGGGAUUGGCCGAAAAGUCAGCUGAGGGCCGAGCGCUUCCUUAGGCGAGAAAUCGGCAAUCGUUGGCUAAAGAGGAGCAAAGUAAACCUACAGCCAGAGUUGGAAGACCCAGAGGGGACCAUUCUGCUGCGGAUUGACCUUAUCUAGGGUUGUUUCGGCCAAGCAGCGUAAGAGAUGGGCGAGAAUGGCCGGGCUGAGUGCUAGAGUGUGACCGCUUGCUAGGGCUUCGGCCACUGGCAUAUUCUCGACCAGACACUUAUUAGAUUUGGUACAACAGAUAAAUUUAUUGUACCAAUAAAAGAGGAAAGCCUCGUGUUCUCCUUCUCGCAGAGCUUCUUCUCCUCGGCCGGUAAAAUGGAAAUAGAGGGUGUUAUAGUUGAAGAAGUUCUUAUGAAGCUUGUAAACCUCUUCUUUCGAGGGUAUUUGGCCUUCACCGCUUAGCAUCUCAAGGGCCCGUUUGUCGAAGAGUGCCUUCAAGUUAAGGUUCGACGGGUACCCAGAGAGGGCAGCGUCAAUUGGGAUUCCAGUCGGGGAAGUCCCCAAGAUGUCAGUGAGAUCAAGGAUGGUGGGGCCAAUGGGGCCGAGAGGGAUGACCAUGGUGUUGGUGGCCGAACACUAGAAGCAUAAGGCCGCUAGGAGGAGCUCCUUGUCCAGGAUGACCUCCAUAGACGAGAGGUGAAUGGCAUCGUAAAUGCCGAGGAAUUUCCAUUGCUCGCCGAAGAGCUUCUCCAUUCAUACAACCCAGGCUGCCCAGGUUGUAGUGGUCGAAGGCCAAGAGCCUUGAGGCCUUGCCACAUCCCACUUCGGCCAUUCAAACCCUUGUAGCAAAGGCGACAGGCAAUGUUUCUAGAGAAGCCCAAUGAUGGUUGAUGGUACUGUCGCUUUAAAGAAAUGACCCAAGAUUUGAUGAGGGGUGCUCAUGUCACUUUCGAACCGUAUGGUUUUGAUCGAACUUCGAUCAAUAAUGUUCUGACAUUGGUCGCAUUCCUUGGAAAGCUUGGAGAUGAAGGAAGCCAUUGUAAGGGGAUUAAAAGAAUGCGAGACGAAAUGAGCUUUUCUGGGUUGGGAGAUUUGAAGACAAAGAUCUGGAAGGAAGGAGUGCACCAGAGAACGAUGGCAAGAAUUUCAGAAAAUUUGAAAGCGUAAAGUACAAAUGAGAGAAUUUCGGUAUUUAUAGAACGGUGGAAGGAAGGGCAAUCGUUCGAAAUUCAAAAUGAAGGGUAAAAUCGAUCGAGAAAUUCGCUAAUCAUUAUGAACAUUUAGAAAAUCCAGUUGAGAAGACCAAGGUUUCGUGUUUAGGGGGACGCACGAUUGCGUAUGGCGGUGAGAUUUAUGGUGAAAAAUGUUUUGGCGUCUGCACGAUGCUGAAUGGUUCGCAGAUCGAGGCAGCAUGGUUAUGUUCAGCAACGAGGUUAUGAUGAUAUGACGGUUCAGGGAGCCGCACGCUUUAAACGUCAUUAUUGGGGAUUAGCCGUAUAAAAGGAUGCCACAUGGUGUAUUGGUUAGCAAGAUCGAGAUCGUGCAAUCGUGCUCAAUAAAUGCGCCUCGAGAAUAAGAGUAUUUGGAUUUUGAGUUUUAAUUUCACUUCUUUAAGGCCGGAGCUCGACCAGAGGAUUCAGGCCUAGGACCUCAAAAGCGAGGGGGCAAUGUUUGGGCCCAAAAAUAUCAGUUUGGGCCGAGUAUAGAAUUAUUCUCGGCCCAGCGUUUAGUUCUGGACCGGUUAGGUCGUGGGCUUCCGAACCUGGGUCAGUUAAGCCAUGCUGCAAGACGAGUCGAAUCCUGGUGCAAUGAGGAGUCUCGGCAAGAUUAAUAACCCCGAAGUGAAUCCGGCUUAAUAAAGGACUAGGUUCACAAAUAUGGUGAAAAUAGGACUGGUCGAGUUGGUAUUUGAUCAGGAGAAGAAGUCAUAAUCCGGGUAGGGUUUUAACUCGACCUUGAAGGUAUCGGGUGCUAUAAAUAGAGGAGGUUGUACAUCAUUCAGGCCCCUUCAAUUCAACACACAACAACCCUGCGCAAACUUUCACAACAACUUUGAGAUUUUUAUUUUCUCUUUUCGUUGACACAUCUUCUGUUGGCAUCAACAGCACUGUGAAAGCAACCGGUGAUAUCUUAAGUCGGCAUAAAUAGCUCUAUCACCGUAGAAUCAGUCGGUCUCGCAGCAUCUUCUGUUGGCAUCAACAGCACUGCGGCGAUGACGGUUGGUUACCUAUCCAAGUCUCAGUCGAGAAGGAUUUCCAAAUCCUUAUUGAUUGAGGUCAUCUCAUUAGCCUUCUCGGCGAAGUGAGGUGUUACAGUUUACUGAACUCGGCGCAUUGCACGCCGAGUUAUUUUAUGAUUGGAUACUCUCAAGUGGGAUUUAGAGUUCAGCAUUCAGACGGCCGAACCACGUUCACUAUUAAGACUUAUAUUCACUUUGAGUAUUUGUGCCCUUACACUUUAGUGUCAAUUCGGCGUGAGUUUACUCUGACGAACAACAUCACUGUGACCGAAUCCGACGACGACGAUUCGUGAACUUCGUAAGAAUAGUAGCCUUGUCUUCAGGUUCGAGAACCCAAGAGGCCGAGAUGUGUUCCUUCCUCGGUCGCAAUCGCAAGACGCAGAAGUCAGCCACGCACCCAACGCAACAUCAAUAAAUUUACUUCUCGGUCGAGCUCGACCGACGAGUUGGCACGCUCUGCAUUCACCGAAGGACGUAGUUAGCUUAUAGAUUACUCGGCCUGUGCGCUACGUAGGCUUGGUAGUUUUUAGGGUCAACAAUAACAUACAAAAACAUCAUAAUUUUUGCUUUAGCAAUUUAGUGAAUUAGAUGGUAUGAGAUGAAAGUUUAAGUGUGUCACAUCCCAGUCCGGCUCCGCCGUAGCACGAUAUUGUCCGUUUUGGGCUUACCAUUCUCUCACGGUUUUGUUUCUGGGAACUCACACAAGAACUUCCCAGUGGAUCACCCAUCCUAGGAAUGCUCUCGCCCGAACUCGCUUAACUUUGGAGUUCUGAUGGACUCCAAAGCCAGUGAGCUCCCAAAAGGUCUCGUGCUAUAGGGAGGGGAGCAUGUACAUAUAAGACACAUCACCCCCUCUCUGUUGGUCAAUGUGGGAUAUUACAAAGUGAUUACAAGACGCAAUGUUUUACGAAAUAUUUUUCAAAUGUCAUAUGUAUAGUGAAUUUUAAAAGAAAUAAUGGUGUCAAACAUGUGUCAUAAAAAAUAUUGAUUUAGUAAUCCACCAUCCCUUUAUUUAUUAAAAUGAUAGGUGACACAACCUGAUUAGAGAACAAUUAAAAAAAAUAUAAAAGAAAAAAUUGGGAAGUUGGACACGUGGGAAAUGGAAAAAGAACUUUUUCUUCAAAAUGGGGAGUUCGUCACGUGGGAAGUGUAGAGAGAAUGUUUUUCUUCUUCGUUGGAACUAGGUCCAAGAACAGGAGAAUCAUGGCGGUAUUCUCUGCGUUCCUCUUCGUCUAAGAUUAGACUUCUUCUCAACCCUGAAACUGGAUUGUCGAAGUAAGCUCGGAACUCUUUUGUUUCACAACACCCUAUUCCUUCUUAGGCCUAUUCAAAUGGCUGUAUGGAUAAUGCUUUUAGGCUGAACCGAAGAAUUGGCUUGAAAUGAUUAUCCGAGUUGCUCGCAGUUUGACAGUUUCUGUUGCUUGUUUCAUGCAUUUGUAACUUAUUUUUUGCCCUUUAUUCCAAUUAUGGUCUUUCUACUCAUUGUCUUUGACACAAUAAUGAAUAAAUUUUCUAUUGUUCAUUCGAAAGUACGGCAUUGCAUCUUUCACUUCUAGCAGGAAUUAGAAAUGGAAGAUUGAUAGCGUUCACUAAAAAUGAUAGCUAGCAGUUAGUAUAGGCUGGAAAAGGGUGAUAAGUAGAAGAACUAACAGAGUGGUGCUGGCAUGUACAAAGUUUGAUUUUGGUCUCUGUGGUUUAUUUUUUAAAUUAUUAUUAACAGGAGGGGGGAGGUUCAAAACUAUUACAAUAAUUUGAGGGAGGGGGAGUUUCGAGCCUUUGAUGCAUAGGUGGAAAUCCAACACCCUAUUACUAGGAUAUAUUGGACCACAUGCAGGUAUUACAUGGGUGGAAAUCCAACACCUUGUUCCUGUAGUUUCAAUUAUCGCGUUUCUAAAGAGAUGCUUUACCUUUUGGGUGUUACAUUUGCACGAAUCGCAUUGCAUCCGUCAUUUGUGUAGUUCCAACUUUGCUGUUCGUACACCUUCCAGGUACUAAUUCGCUGGAUGUAGCCAUAAAAAUGGGCUUAGAUAUGGAACAUCAUACAACUAAUUUCAAAUCGACUCUCAUUAUUUCCUCUAUUUGAAUUGUAACAUUACAAAGAUUUAGAUUUGUCUUGGAACAUAAUUUGUAUAAAAUGUAGCAUCUCUGAGAGAACUGCCCUGUAUCGACGACGUCAAUGGUCUACUCUUUAAUUAGAAGUGCCCUUAAGAUGACUUCACUCAUACCAUCUGGAGCUGGCAACAAAUGUCCACCACCUGGUACCUCAUGGUAGUGAAUCCAUGGAAGCUUUUCGGCAAUAUAGCGUUGCAGCUCAACUGGGACAAGCUUAUCUUCGUCACCCUGCCAUAGAUGGACCGAGCCUUCGUCGCUGGCAAAGGGGUUCUGCAGAUCCAUAGGAUCAAAUUCCCAGCUCCCAAAUCCAACUACCAUGUCGCGAAAGAUGGACUCAGCUUCUCCUUGCUGUGUGGCAUGUUCCUGCCCAAACAAAUAACAAAACAAACAAAAAUCAUCAACUCUGCCGAGUUUCUAUAAAAUCGUAAACAAUUAGCGAUCGAAUAAGGAAAGUACCUUGUGCUUUUCUCUUCCAAAAACCUUUGCAUUCUUAAUGGCUUCCCAAUCUUGGCGGGACAACAUAACCCUGUGUUUAGGAAAGAAUUUCUGAGUGUUCCACCAGUAGGUUAACCAAGGUAUAUAGUGGGCAGCUCGAAGCGCCCAUUGAUCCUGUGGAGCUUGCUUCUUAUAGGCAUAAGACGACAGGUUGGCAGGAAGUCCUGGCCACCAGUAGUUGAUCACCGGAGCGAUCAGUGCUGCUCCAGCUAGCCUGUCGUAACAGGCAUCCCAAACUCAUCGAACUUUAGAGAAAAUUUUCAGUACCGAACGAUGCAUCAUCAGGUAACGAGGCUGCUUGCAAAAUCCUACCUAUGAGGGAUGUACUGAAGACACUUCCAGAUGACCUGUCCUCCCAUUGAGUAUCCAAUCAUAUAAAAUUUGGAUCCGAGUUCCAGCUGAUCACCAAGCUCCUCUAUAUCUAACGCUAAGCUCUUCGUUGUUCGCUUAGGAUCCGGAUCACUUUCACCGUACCCUGGUCUGUCGAAAGACACAAUGUACACACCUAAAUCUUCAAUAACUUCCUGAGGAAAGGAAAAAAAAACACGCACCACGAAAUCAACCAAUAAAGAGUUGAACUGAAAAAUGACAAAGAAUCAAGCAAGGCAGUACCGGAGAGACGGCUGUUGCAAUGAUUGGAUCAUGUCGGGAACUAAAGAAGGGAUGAACAAAGAUAAUCUUGUACUUGGCCAAUUGUUUUGGAACACCAUGUUCCUUGUAGGCCAAAAAUCUUCCAUCCCUUAGCCUUAUUCUAGGCGCUGUGACGGGUGGACCGCCAGGCGAACCACAGAUGUUCGGAGGUGGUGGUCGGGUGGCCUGAUAUGCCCACGCCAGCAAUCCAACCAACAAGAUGAAUGUGAUCCUCUUAAACAUGUUUGAGAAGAUGGAAAGUAAGAAACUUUACUCACCUGCAGUAAAAAGAAGCAAAUAGAAAAAUAACAUUACACUAGAGGACAUCAUUGUAUAAUAAGUUUAAAGUGCUUUUAGAUUUAGGUCCAAAAAUAAGUUGUUUCGGGAGUGAGUUCAGUAAUCUAAUUACAUGUUUUGAUACUAAUUUUACCCUUUUAGAUAAGAAUAUUUAAAUUCUUUAAUUAAAGAAUACAAUUCUUAAAUAUUAAAUAGAAAAUCGAUUUAUGUGGCAGGUAAUCAAAAUGAUCAUAUAUUUGAAUCUAAAUAUACACUUUUUUUCGUAGCCAUAAAAACAUUAUAAUGCAUUUUGAGAAAGGAGAUGAUGAUAUGUGAGAGAAAAGAAAGAUCGAAGAUGUUGGAAGUUUGAAACGUGAGAAACAAAAACACAAAGAUACAAUAAAAUGAGUUAGUUGAUUAAAAAGAAAACAAGAAAUAAAAGAGGAGAAUGCUUCCAUGGUGCUUUGGUGCCACCUGUCUCAUAUUUAUUGGGUUGGUUGGAGUGCUUUAAUCAGACUUGACCAAACGAGAUUCAACACUAGGGGAUUUCAUUUCUACAUUUAAGAACAAAGCAGUAGCAGAUGCCAUACAAAAAUGAGAAAGAAGAACGAAAAAAAGACAAAAAAAGAAAAGGAAUAUUUUUGUUUGCUAUUCUUAAGUGAUGGUGAUUCUUAUUACUCUAUUUAUCAUCGUAAAAUGAGUUUAAAUUUCAAAUAUGUAUAGUGAAUAUAUAUAGACCUCAAAAUUUAAACCCAUUAAAUAAUGGUAAAUAGACUUGUGAGUAUUAUCAUCACUUGAUAAUGAUGAUUCGUGAGCAAAAAUGCACCUGGAAAAAAAUUAUGAAGAUAAAACGAGCCGUGAGAAGUAGGUCAGUAAGAGAUUUAAUUCCUAAUCACUGAAUUCAUUUCAACGAGUAAACUAUUCUUAAUAAUAGUUUGAAAAAUUAGACUUAUAGUAAAUUUUCUCGAGUUUUUUAAUUUGCUACUUCCCCUCAAUUGAUGAAAGGUUAUUUAAAUCAAACAACAACCAGAAAAAUGGACAAUCAAGUAUAAAGAAAACAAAUACACACACGCUUUACUUUUAUCCAAAACAAUAUUACAAUAUCAAAACUAUAAGAUGCGGAUUUUAAUAUAUAAGAGAGAAACAGUGUUCUAGCUAAUUUGAUUAUACUAAUUGUUCCUGUAAACGCACACAAUCAAUAAAUAAGUUGCAAAUUAAAAGAUGCACUCCUUUGUUUAACCAAAACCACAAGAAAAUAAAUCAUAAAAAAUCAUACUUGCUAAUGUGGUUUUUUGGUAAAAACUUACCACCAACACUCCUCCCUCUGUGAUAAUAAUAAGUUUAUGCAGAAGAAAAUGGCAGAAACCAGGCUGAGUGAGCAGCUGCUUUUAGCUUUUGUGUGGUUGUUAAAUUACGUGGAGGAACCCACCUUCACCUAUUUCAAGGCUCGUUUCUUGUCUAGGACUGGCUUGACUUAGACAAUCUGCCGGAUUUUAAAGAAAAAAAAAAUAGAAAUAUGAAUGUCAGAUUGCAUGUUUUGUCAAAGUGACGAACGUAGAUGGAGACGCGAAGAAAAAUUGUCCAUCUUAAUCUUAGACUUUUUGUAAAGAUUAGGAGAAAUAAGUUUUGUUGGUAAUUUUAAUGACAUAUUUGUCAAUCUCCUUCCCUCUGAACUUGGAAAAAGUUGCUAAAUUUCUGUAUAAAUUUUAAUUUUAAUCGAUUACUCGCCUGAGUUGUUAUAAUUAACCAAAUUUUCCCUUAAUGUUAGAUUUUAGAAUUUUUGUUCUAUUUUGGUCACAACAAAUGUUUGAGGACAAUAAAGUAAUUUUAUUCUUAAUGUGGACAUCAAAUUGCUUUUUGUUUUUUCCUUCUCCACCUCCUCGACACCGUUCACUCAAAUUGCUUUUUGUUUUUUUUUUUCUCCACUUCCUCGAUGUCGUUCACUCUCUGUUCGAAUUAGUAGCUGCAAUGUAUUAGCUUUGCACCCAAUUUACCAAAACAAAAUUAUCUUUUUGCCUUCAUACAAUUGUCAUGUGUUGCUUGCAUGACCAAAAUAGAAGAAAAAAUUUAAAAUCUAACAGGAAAAAAAUGGCUAUUUAUAACAGUUUAAAAUAAUAAUCGACUAAAAUUAAAUUUCAAAAGAAAAAUUAACAGUUGCAUAAAUGUUCGGAAGCAAAUCAAGAAAUAGGUCAAUUUUAAUUAAUGGCAUAUUAUUUUAUUUUUAUUUUUUUGAAGAGAAUUAAUGGCAUAUUACAAGGAAUAAAUCCUUGUGGUAUUUGAUAGUUGGUGGCCAUGGAGAAAUUUUUAGUUAUAACCGAAAUACGGAUGAUAUAUCACGUGUUUCUACGUAAGUGGUGAAAAAUUUUAAUUUUUAAAUUAUUAACAUUUUAACACACAUAAUACAUCAUUUAUAUAAAGAUACGUAGUGUAUCAUUUAAUGUAACGGUCACAUUAAAAAAUCUAUUGUGGCCAUGGUUGGCAGCCUUCCUCUUCGCUUUUAUUCUUUUUCUCUAUUGGGUUGGGAAUUUUUUUUUUUUUUUUUGAAGAAUUGGUUUGGGAUUUUUAUGAGUCGGCACUGAACAGGAAGGCAGGGGUGGUUGUUGGUUUGUCCAAUCCAAAAGUUGGAGGCUGCUCAACUACACGACAUAAUAAACGACAAAAUAGACAAGUCUAUAUGUGGGCGUUGUUAGUUGUCCUAAUAAGAGUAGACAAAUGCUAGCAGAAUUCUUUUUAAAAUGAGACUUUUUAUUGAUUUUUUAUCAUUCCACAGUUUAACGUUAAUUAUCGUGCGAAUGUUAUAAAAUAUUAUAUAAAAAAUAUAAGGUAUAGAGAGUCAAUUGAAAGUCUCACCAUUAAGAGAGUUCCUUUAUUAUUUCUAUAAAAUUUUGGUUACAACUUACAACCAUACCAUUAGAGCAUCUCCAAAAAAAAAAAAAAAAGAUAAUGUAGCAUCUCUAAGAGAGCUGCCCUGUAUCAACGACGUCAAUGGUCUACUUCUCUCUAAUUAGAAGUGCAUUUAAGAUGACUUCGCUCAUACCAUCUGCAGCUGGAAACAAAUGUCCACCACCUGGUACCUCAUGGUAGUGAAUCCAUGGAAGCUUUUCGGCAAUAUAGCGUUGCAGCUCAACUGGCACAAGCUUAUCUUCGUCACCCUGCCAUAGAUGGACCGAGCCUUCGUUGCUGGCAAAGGGGUUCUGCAGAUCCAUUAGAUCAAAUUCCCAGCUCCCAAAUCCAACUACCAUGUCGCGAAAGAUGGACUCAGCUUCUCCUUGCUGCGUGACAUGUGCCUGCCCAAACAAAUAACAAAAGAAAACAAAAGAAAAAUCAUCAACGCUGCCGAGUUCUGUAAAAUCCUAAACAAUCAGCGAUCUAACAAGGAAAGUACCUUGUGCUUUUCUCUUCCAGAAACCUUUGCAUUCCUAAUGAUUUCCCAAUCUUGGCGGGAAAACAUAUUCUCUGGUUUCCCGGAUACAACGCUGGAUUUAGGAAAGAAUUUCUGAGUGUUCCACCAGUAGGUUAACCAAGGUAUAUAGUGAGCAGCUCGAAGCGCCCAUUGAUCCUGCGGAGGUUGCUUCUUAUAGGCAUAAGAUGACAAGUUGGCAGGAAGUCCUGGCCACCAGUAGUUGAUCACCGGAGCGAUCAGUGCUGCUCCUGCUAGCCUGUUGUAAUAGGCAUCCCAAACACAUCAAACUUUAGAAAAAAAAAAUUCAGUACCGAACGAUGCAUCAUCUGGUACCGAAGGAGGCUUCUUGUAAAAUCUUACCUAUGAGGGAUGUACUGAAGACACUUCCAGAUGCACUGUCCUCCCAUUGAGUAUCCAAUUACAUAAAAAUUGGAUCCGAGUUCCAGCUGAUCACCAAGCUCCUCUAUAUCUAACGCCAAGCUCUUUGCUGUUCUCUUAAGAUCCGGAUCACUUUCCCCGUACCCUGGUCUGUCGAAUGACACAAUGUACACACCUAAAUCUUCAAUGACUUCCUGAGAAAACAAAAAAAAAUAAAAAUCCACCACGAAAUCAUCCAACAUAGAAAUUAACUGAAAAGUGACAGAGAAUCAAGCAAGGCAGUACCGGAGAGACGGAUAUUGUAAUGAUUAGAUCGUGUCGGGAACUACUGAAGGGAUGAACAAAGAUAAUCUUGUACUUUGCGAUUGGUUUUGGAACACCAUGUUCCUUGUAGGCCAAAAAUCUUCCAUCCCUUAGCCUUAUUCUAGGCGCUGUUAUGGGUGGACCGCCAGGCGAACCACAGAUGGUCGGAGGUGGGGGUCGGGCGGCCUGAUAUGCCCACGCCAGCAAUCCAACCAACAAGAUGAAUGUGAUCCUCUUAAACAUGUUUGAGAAGAUGAAGUAUGAAACUUUGCCCAACUGCAGUAAAGAAGCAAAUACAAAAGUAAAUUACACUUGAGGACAUUAUAUAAUAAGUUUUAAGAUAAUUUUUUAUUCAGGUCCAAAAUUAUAAGUUGUUUUUUGGAACGAGUCGAGUAAUCUAAUUACAUAUUUUUGUACCAAUUUUACCCUUUUAGAUAAAAAUAUUUAUAUUCUUUAACUAGAGAGUACAAUUCCUAACUAGCAGGUAUUUUACCAAAAUAGGAAAUUGAUAUACGUAGCAGAUAGUCUAGAAAAAUAUAUUCUAUGUAAUUUAUAUACUCAUUACUCUAUUUAUCACCGUAAAAUGAGUUUAAAUUUCAAGAUAUGCAAGGGCGGAGCGAAGUACAAGGCUACCCUUGUAAGAUCCCACAUCGCGCCCAGGGGUGUGGAUCAUGUAAGCCUUAUAUGUAUAUUCUCAUCUCUACCUAGCACAAGGCCUUUUGGGAGGUCACUGGCUUUGGUUUCCAUCAGAACUUCGAAGUUAAGCAAGUUCGCGCGAGAGCAAUCCUAGGAUAGGUGACCCACUGGGAAGUUCUCAUGUGAGUUCCCAGAAACAAAACCGUGAGGGCGUGGUCGGAGCCUAAAGCGAACAAUAUCAUGCUACGAUGAAGUCGAACCUGGGAUAUGAUAAGGGCCCGGACUGGGAUAUGACAACCCUGAGCCUGGGCUAUAGCCGAGGUAGCUCUUGUGGGUACAAACCAAGUAUUCCCUAUAUUUCAUUUAUUUUUAUAUUCAUCUCACUAUUAGCUCAUGUAUUUAUUUUAUUUAUUUACUUCAUUAACCAAUACUAUUUAUUUCCUAACAAAAUCUAUUUUAUAGUUCAUAUGCUAUCCAUUUAUGGUUAAUCGUGACAAUAAUUACUUACUCUAAUAACGCUUUUAAUUCUUUUCAAAAGUAACUCGUUGCAUGUUUUAGUUUUUGAAUUAUUUUAUGCAUGACUUUUUUCUAUUUAAAAAAGUUUUACAACGUGUUAACCUUUUUCUAUUUAUUUAUGUAUAUAUUUGCCAUAUUAAAGGUUGAUGAACAUAGAAUAAUUGGACGAGCUUUGCUUAUAACAUUAACGUAUAGUCAUUUUUCAAAAAACAAACAUUUUUUAAUACUUCUUGGCUAGCUCCGCCUUUGAAGAUAUGUGGAGUGGACAAACACUGACUUUAAAAUUUAAAUUCACAUGUGAGCAUUAUCACCACUUGACGAUAGUAAGCAAAAAUGCACCCGAAAAAAAAUUAUGAAGAUAAACCCAGCCGUGAGAGGUAGAUGAGGAAGAGAUUUAAUUCCUAAUUACUGAACUUACUUCAAUAAGGAAAUUAUUCUUAAUAAUAAUUAGAUUUAUAUUAAGUUUUCUCGAGUUUUUUAAUUUGGUAUUUCCCCUCAAUUGAAAAUGGUUAUUCAAAUUAGACAACCAGAAAAAUUUAGACUUUUAUCGAAAUAAUAUUCUAAAAUCUAAAUUACAGAAGACGGAUUCUAAUAUUUAAGAGAAGUCUUACUUGAUAUGCACUCCAUUGUUAAACCAAAAUUACAAGAAAGGAAAUCAUAAAAAAUCAUACUUGCUAAUGUGGUUUUUGGGUAAAAACUUACCACCGACCCUCCGCUCCUCCGUCUGUGACAAUAAUUUGUUUAUGCAGAAGAAAAUGGCAGAAAUAGGCUGAGUGAGCAGCUGCUUUUAGCUUUUGUGUGGUGAUGAAGCUGCCGUGUUUGGUGUCUCUUUGCUGCUCAUUUUUUUAAUACCAGUUAAUUUUUGCUCCUUUCUUAACCAAAGUCAAUUUUUUCAAAAUUGGAAAAGAACAUUUAAUAUUAAAGUUAACCAGUUACUUAGUAUCAUAAUCUAGUAGUAUUCAUUUUUAUUUAUAAGUGAGAGGUCUUAGGUUUAAUUUUCGCCAAAAAUGAAUUUGUACCAAAUUAUUGCUAACUCAUUGUGAGACUAAAGAUGGUGUAUUCAAUUAGGAUUUUGAGGGAUUUUAAUUUUUUUAAUGAAUCUAGGGGUAUUCAAUUAGGAUUUUAAAUGAUUAUAUGAAAUUCAAUGUGUAUUCAAUCAGGAUUUUAAGAUAGUUUAUUAAAAUCCUUAGAAAUUCGGGUGUAUUGAAUUAGAAUUUUAAAGAAGUUUAUAACAUUCCAAGUGUAUUCAAUUCGAAUUUGAAUUUAAAGAAUUUGGAAAAGUUAGGAAUUAUAGGGAAUUAGAGAGAUUUUGUAGUGUAUUUUAAGCAUCCAUAAAUCUCACAUAUUCUAUGAGAUUUCGAAGGAAUUAAAUCAAAAUUUUACAUUGAAUCUUUACAAAUCAGUUAAACUCCAUAAAAAUCCAUGGAUUUAUAAAUCCAUUAAAAUCUCUCAAAUUCCCAAUUGAAUACACCCCCAUAAGUCCAUCCCCUUCCCUUUCCAUUUAAGGGGUGUAUUCAAUUGGGAAUUUGAGAGAUUUUAAUGGAUUUAUAAAUCCAUGGAUUUUUAUUGAGUUCAACUGAUUUGUAGAGAUUUUAUGUAAAAUUUUGAUUCAAUUCCCUCGAAAUCUCAUGGGAAAAUGUGAGAUUUGUGAAUGCUUAAAAUACACUACAAAAUCUCUCCAAUUCCCUCUAAUUCCUCAACUUCUCCAAAUUCUCUAAAUUCUAAUUCUAAUUGAAUACACCUAAAAUGUUAUAAACUUUUUUAAAAUUCUAAUUGAAUACACUCGGAUUUCUAAGGAUUUUAAUCAAGUAUUUUAAAAUCCUGAUUGAAUACACAUUGAAUUUCAGAUAAUCACUUAAAAUCCUGAUUGAAUACCCCUAGAUUCAUUAAAAUAAUUAAAAUCCCUCAAAAUCUCACACUCCCUUAGUGUAGAUAAUAUCGUUUGUUAAAAAAAAUUAAAGUUAAUCAGAAUUAGUUAAAAUGACAUGUGUCAGAUGAUAAAGAGUAUUGGUGGUGAGUAAAAGUGUUCACGUUAUUGUUAAAUUACGUGAAGGCCCCCACCUUCACCUAUUUUAACGCUCGUUUGUUGUCUAGGACUGACUUGGCUUAGGUCACCUGCUGACUUUAAUGAAUAUCAAAUAGAAAUAUGGACCAGAUUGCAUAUUUUGUCAAAGUGACGACCGAAGAUGGCAAAGUCAAGAAAAAAACUUGGUCAAUUUAAAUUUAAAUUUUUUAUAAAGAUUAGUAGGAUUAAGGUUUGUUAAUAAUUUUAAUGAGUUAUUUGUCUAUUAUCUCCUCCCCAAGCUUGUAAACAGUUUCUAAUUUUUGUAUGAAUUUUAAUUUUAGUUGAUUAUUUGCUUGAACUUUUAUAAUAACCAAUUUUUAAUCCUAAGAUUAGAUAUUGGAAUUUUUCAUUCAAAACAAAUGUUUGAGACCAAUAAAGUAAUUUUAUUAUUAAUGUGGAUUUCAAAUUGCUUAUUUUUUUUUACCCUUCUCUCUUCCUUUAGUGGACUCCGAACACUUUCUGUUUGAAUCAGUCAUGAGAGUCCAAUAAGCAGCUCUAAUGUAUUGGCUUUCCACUCAAUUUACCAAAAAAAUUUACCUUUUUACCGUCAUACAGUUGUCAUAUAUUGUUUGCAUGACCAUGAUGAAUGAAAAAAAAUUCAAAACCUAAUUGGGAAAAUUUGUUUAUUUAUAAAAGUUUAAAAAUGUAAUCAGCUAAAAUUAAAGUAAAAAAAAAUAUUUAACAACUUUGUAAAAGUUUGGAGAGCAAAUCAAGAAACAUGUCAAUUUCAAUCAAUUAAAAUGAUAGGUGAACAAUUAAAAAAAAAGAAAAAGAAAGAGAAAAUUGGGAAGUUGGUCACGUGGGAAAUGGAAAAAGAACGUUUUUCUUCAAAAUGGGGAGCUGGUCACAUGGGAAGUGUAGAGAUAAUGUUUUUCUUCUUCAUUGGAACUAGGUCCAAGAACAGGAGAAUCAUGGCGGUAUUCUCUGUGUUCCUUUUCGUCUGAAAUUAGAUACUUCUUCUCAACCCUGAAAAUGGAUUGUUGAAGUAAGCUCGGGACUCUUUUGUUCCACAACACCGUAUUCCUUCUCAGGCCUAUUCAAAUGGUUGUAUGGAUAAUGCUUUUAGGCUAAACCGAAGAAUUGGUUUGAAAUGAUUAUCCGAGUUGCUCGCAGUUUGACAGUUUCUGAUGCUUGUUUCAUGCAUUUGUAACUUAUUUUUUGUUCUUUAUUCCAAUUAUGGUCUUUCUAUUCAUUGUCUUUGACACAAUAAUGAAUAAAUUUUCUUUUGUUCAUUCGAAAGUACGGCAUUGCAUCUUUCACUUCUAGCAGGAAUUAGAAAUGGAAGAUUGAUAGAUUUCACUAAAAAUGAUAGCUAGCAGUUGGUACAAGAUUGAUAGAUUUCACUAAAAAUGAUACCUAGCAGUUAGUACAAGCCGGAAAAUGGUGAUCAGUAGAAGAACUAACAGAGUGGCGCUGGCAUGUACAAAGUUUGAUUUUAGUCUCUGUAAUAUAUUUUUUUUAAUUACUAUUAACGGGAGGGGGAGGUUCAAAACUAUUCCAAUAAUUUGAGGGAGAGGGGGUUUCGAGCCCUGGACGCAUAGGUGGAAAUUCAACGUCCUAUUACUAGGAUAUAUUGGACCACAUGCAGGUAUUACAUGGGUGGAAAUUCUAACCCCUUGUCCCUGUAGUAGUUUCAAUUGUCGCGUUUCUAAAGAGAUGCUUUACCUUCCGGGUGUUACAUUUGCACGAAUCACAUUGCAUCUGUCAUUUGUGUAGUUCCAACUUUGCAGUUCGUUCACCUGCCAGGUACGAGUUCGCUGGAUGUAACCAUAAAAAUGGCCUGCGAUAUGGAACAUCAUACAACUAAUUUCGAAUCGACUCUUCAUUAUUUCCUCUAUUUGAAUUGUAACAUUACAAAGAUUUGUCUUGGAACAUAAUUAGUAUAUAAUGUAGCAUCUCUGAGAGAGCUGCCCUGUAUCGACGACGUCAAUGGUCUACUCUUUAAUUAGAAGUGCCUUUAAGAUGACUUCACUCAUACCAUCUGCAGCUGGCAACAAAUGUCCACCACCUGGUAACUCAUGGUAGUGAAUCCAUGGAAGCUUUCCUGCAAUAUAGCGUUGCAGCUCAACUGAGACAAACUUAUCUUCAUCACCCUGCCAUAAAUGGACCGAGCCUUCGUUGUUGACAAAAGGGUUCUUCAGAUCCGUAGGAUCAAAUUCCCAGCUCCCAAAUCCAACUAUGAUGUCGCGAAAGAUGGACUCAGCUUCUCCUUGCUGUGUGGCAUGUUCCUGCCCAAACAAAUAACAAAACAAACAAAAAUCAUCAACGCUGCCGAGUUUCUAUAAAAUCGUAAACAAUUAGCGAUCGAAUAAGGAAAGUACCUUGUGCUUUUCUCUUCCAGAAACCUUUGCAUUCCUAAUGGUUUCCCAAUCUUGGCGGGAAAGCAGAUUCUCUACUUUCCCGGAUAAAACGCUGUGUUUAGGAAAGAAAUUCUGAGUGUUCCACCAGUAGGUUAACCAAGGUAUAUAGUGAGCAGCUCGAAGCGCCCAUUGAUCCUGUGGAGCUUGCUUCUUAUAGGCAUAAGAUGACAGGUUGGCAGGAAGUCCUGGCCACCAGUAGUUGAUCGCAGGAGCGAUCAGUGCUGCUCCAGCUAGCCUGUUGUAACAGGCAUCCCAAACAUAUCGAACUUUAGAGAGAAAUUUCAGUAUCGAACGAUGCAUCAUCAGGUAACGAGGCUGCUUGCAAAAUCUUACCUAUGAGGGAUGUACUGAAGACACUUCCAGAUGACCUGUCCUCCCAUUGAGUAUCCAAUCACAUAAAAUUUGGAUCCGAGUUCCAGCUGAUCACCAAGCUCCUCUAUAUCUAACGCCAAGCUCUUCGUUGUUCGCUUAGGAUCUGGAUCACUUUCACCGUGCCCUGGUCUGUCGAAAGACACAAUGUACACACCUAAAUCUUCAAUAACUUCCUGAGGAAAGAAAAAAAAAACACCCACCACGAAAUCAACCAAUAAAGAGUUGAACUGAAAAAUGGCAAAGAAUCAAGCAGGGCAGUACCGGAGAGACGGCUGUUGCAAUGAUUGGAUCAUGUCGGGGACUAAAGAAGGGAUGAACAAAGAUAAUCUUGUACUUGGCCACUUGUUUUGGAACACCAUGUUCCUUGUAGGCCAAAUAUCUUCCAUCCCUUAGCCUUAUUCUAGGUGCUGUGACGGGUGGACCGCCAGGCGAACCACAGAUGUUCGGAGGUGGUGGUCGGGCGGCCUGAUAUGCCCACGCCAGCAAUCCAACCAACAAGAUGAAUGUGAUCCUCUUAAACAUGUUUGAGAAAAUGGAAAGUAUGAAACUUUGCUCACCUGCAGUAAAGAAGCAAAUAUAAAAAUAACAUUACACUUGAGGACAUCAUUGUAUAAUAAGUUUUAAGGUGCUUUUAGAUUUAGGUAAAAAAAAAAAAGUUGUUUUGAGCGUGAGUACAGUAAUCUAAUUAACUGUUUUUAUACCAAUUUUACCUUUUUAGAUAAUAAUAUUUAAAUUCUUUAACUGGAGAAAACAAUUCCUAAGUAUUAAAAUAGAAAAUCGAUCUACGUGGCAAGCAAUCAAAUGAUCAUAUCUUUGAAAUUAAAUAUACACCUUUUUCGUAGGUAUAAAAACAUUAUAAUACAUUUUGAGAAAGGAGAUGAUGAUAUGUGAGAGAAAAGAAAGAUUCGAAGAUGUUUGAAGUUUGAAACGUAAGGCCAUCUCCAACCGAAGGGUCUAGAGGGCCAGAGGGUCGAAAAUAGCCCUAAAACCAUCUCCAAACGAGGGCUAGGCCAGAGGGCUCUGGAAUCUGGGAGGGCCCCAUGGGAUCGGAGAGGGCUGGAGGGCUGGAGGGCUGGCUGCUUUCGGCCAGCUAGCCAGCCCCGGGCUGGCUUAUUUUUUUUUUAAUGUUUUCUAUUGCUGUCGGUUUUAACUGACAGCAUUAAACAGGUUUUAUUUUUUUUUAAUAGUUCUACUAUUAGUGUCGGUUAUAACCGACACUAAUAGUUUGAAUGUUUUUUAAUACAAUGGCUAGUAGCCGUUGUAUUAUUAGGCCUUUUUUUUUUUUUUAAACUUUUUUUUUCCCUUUUUUUUUCCUUUUCAUAUUAAUCAAAUUUUGUUUCAUAUUUUUUUUCAAUUCUAUUUUACAAAAUUUGUUUCAAUUUUUUUUUAAAUUCUAUUUUUUUCCUAUAACUUCUAUUUUACAAAAUUUGAUUCAUAUUUUAUUUCCUAUAACUUCUAUUUCACAAAAUUUGUUUCAUAAUUUUUUUCAAUUCUAUUUUUUUCCUAGGCCAUUUAUACAACAUUAAAUUAAAUUAAGUAACAUGAAACAACAUUAAACAAUAUGAAAUAACAUUAAAUAACAUUAACCAACAUACAAAUUAUACAAUUAUGUUUGGCCCUAGCCGUUAGAUUUGAAUUUAAAUUGUAGUUUUUAAAUAAUAAAUUAUGUUUGGCCCUAUGGCCCUUUGGCCCUCGGUUGGAGACGGUUUUUUGUGACAGGGCUAAAACGAGCCAUCUGGCCCUCUGGCCCUCGGUUGGAGACGGAGGCAAAUAUGGCCAUGUACUGUUCAUUAAAAUAUUAAUAUCUUGGAGAAUCUUGGAGGGCCAGAGGGCUAAAACGAGCCCUCUGGCCAGCCAUCGGUUGGAGAUGGCCUAAGGAACAAAAACACAAAGAUACAACAAAAUGAGUUGAUUAAAAAGAAAACAAGAAAUAAAAGAGAAUGCUUCCAUGGUGCUUUGGUGCCACCUGUCUCGUAUUUGUUGGGUUAGUUGGAGUGUUUUAAUCAGACUUGACCAAACGAGAUUCAAUGAGGGGAAUUCAUUUCUACAUUUAAGAACAAAGCAGUAGCAGAUGCCAUUCAAAAACGAGAAGGAAAAACGAAAAAAAGAAAAAAAGAAAAGGAAUUUUUUUGUUUACUAUUCUAAAGUGAUAGUGAUUCUCACUACUAUAUUUAUUAUCGUAAAAUAAGUUUAAAUUUUAGAUAUGUGUAGUAAAUAGAUACAGAUCUUAAAUUUUAAACUCAUCAAAUGAUGGUAAAUAGAGUUGUGAGUAUUAUCAUCACUUAAUAAUGAUGAUUCGUGAGCAAAAAUGCACCCGAAAAGAAAUUAUGAAGAUAAAACGAGCAGUGAGAAGUAGGUCGGGGAAGAGAUUUAAUUCCUAAUCACUGAAUUUAUUUCAACAAGUAAACUAUUCUUAAUAAUAGUUCGAAAAACUAGACUUAUAGUAAGUUUUCUCGAGUUUUUUAAUUUGCUACUUCCCCUCAAUUGAUGAAAGGUUAUUUAAAUAAAACAACAACCAGAAAAAUGGACAAUCUAGUAUAAAGAAAACAAAUACACACACACUUUACUUUUAUCGAAAACAAUAUUACAACAUCAAAACUAUAAGAUGCGGAUUUUAAUAUAUAAGAGAAACACUGUUCUAGCUAAUUUGAUUAUACUAAUUGUUCCUGUAAACGCACACAAUCAAUAAAUAAGUUGCAAAUUAAAGGAUGCACUCCAUUGUUUAACCAAAACCACAAGAAAAGAAAGCAUAAAAAAUCAUACUUGCUAAUGUGGUUUUUUGGUAAAAACUUACCACCAACGCUCCUCCCUCUGUGAUAAUAAUAAGUUUAUGCAGAAGAAAAUGGCAGAAGCCAGGCUCAGUGAGCAGCUGCUUUUAGCUUUUGUGUGGUUGUUAAAUUACGUGAAGGAACCCACCUUCACCUAAUUCACGGCUCGUUUCUUGUCUAGGACUGGCUUGACUUAGACAAUCUGCUGGAUUUUAAAGAAAAAAAAAAUAUGAAUGCCAGAUAUUUUGUCAAAGUGACGAACGUAGAUGGAGACGCGAAGAAAAAUUGUCCAUCUUUAUCUUAAACUUUUUGUAAAGAUUAGGAGGAAUAAGUUUUGUUGGUAAUUUUAAUGAGAUAUUUGUCGAUCUCCUUCGAACUUGUAAAAAGUUGCUAAAUUUCUGUAUAAACUUUAAUUUUAGUCGAUUACUCACCUAAAUUGCUAUAAUUAGCCAAAUUUUCCCUUAAUGUUAGAUUUUGGAAUUUUUCUUCUAUUUUGACCACAACAAAUGUCUGAGGACAAUAAAGUAAUUUUAUUUCUAAUGUGGACAUCAAUUUGCUUUUUGUUUUUUCCUUCUCCACUUCCUUGAUGCUUUUUGUUUUUUCCUUCUCCACUUCCUCGACGCCGUUCACUGUCUGUUCGAAUUAGUAGCUGCAAAGUAUUAGCUUUGCACCCAAUUUAUCAAAACAAAAUUACCUUUUUAUCUUCAUACAAUUGUCAUGUAUUGUUUGCGUGACCAAAACAGAGGAAAAAAUUUAAAAUCUAACAGGGAAAAAUUAGCUAUUUAUAACAGUUUAAAAUAAUAAUCAGUUAAAAUUAUAUUUCAAAACAAAGAUUAACAGUUGCAUAAAAGUUCGGAGGCAAAUCAAGAAAUAGGUUAAUUUUAAUUAAUGGCAUAUUAUAAGUAACAAAUCCUUGUGGUAUUUGGUAGUUGGUAUUGCGUACCACCUAACACAACCACACAGAAAAAUGCAUCCAUUGGUGGCCAUGGUUCGCAGCCUUCCUCUUCACUUUUAUUCUUUUUCUCUAUUGGGUUGGGAUUUUUAUGAGUCAGCACUGAACAGGCAGGCAGGGGUGGUUGUUGGUUAGUCCAAUCCAAAAGUUGGAGGAAAAGACUUGGCUAAUGAAGAAUUCAGCAGCAGAUUCUGCUUACAACUAAUCUGGCUGGAGACAUGUCCAAUUUUUGUUAAAAAAAAUUAAAAUUUAGACACGUGUCUAAUCGGGAUUGGCAGUAAGCAGGACCUGCUGCUGAAUUUGCAGCAGCCAAGUCCAGUUCAAAGUUGGAGGCUACUCAACAACACGACAUAAAUAAUAGACGACAUAAAAGACAAGUCUAUAUGCGGGGGCUGUUAGUUGUCCUAAUAAGAGUAGACAAAGGCUAAUGGAUUUCUCAGAUAAUCACAGUUUAACAUCAAUUGUCGUCUGAAUAUUAUAAAAUAUUAUAUAAAAAACAUGAGGUAUAGAGAGUUCAUUGAAAAUCUCACUCUUGAGAGUCCUUUAUCAUUUCUAUAAGAUUUUGGUUACAACCGUACCAUUGGAGCAUCUCCAAAAAAAAGAUAAUGUAUAAUUUCUAUAAUGUAGCAUCUCUGAGAGAGCUGCCCUGUAUCGACGACGUCAAUGGUCUACUCUUUAAUUAGAAGUGCCUUUAAGAUGACUUCGCUCAUACCAUCAGCAGCUGGCAACAAAUGUCCACCACCUGGUACCUCAUGGUAGUGAAUCCAUGGAAGCUUUUCGGCAAUAUAGCGUUGCAGCUCAACUGGGACAAGCUUAUCUUCGACUCCCUGCCAUAGAUGGAUCGAGCCUUCGUUGUUGACAAAAGGGUUCUUCAGAUCCGUAGGAUUAAAUUCCCAGCUCCCAAAUCCAACUAUCAUGUCGCGAAAGAUGGACUCAGCUUCUCCUUGCUGCGUGACAUGUUCCUGCCCAAACAAACAACAAAACAAAACAAAAAUCAUCAACGCUGCCGAGUUUCUAUAAAAUCUUAAACAAUUAGCGAUCGAAUAAGGAAAGUACCUUGUGCUUUUCUCUUCCAGAAACCUUUGCAUUCCUAAUGAUUUCCCAAUCUUGGCGGGAAAACAUAUUCUCUGGUUUUCCGGAUACAACGCUGGAUUUAGGAAAGAAUUUCUGAGUGUUCCACCAGUAGGUUAACCAAGGUAUAUAGUGAGCAGCUCGAAGCGCCCAUUGAUCCUGCGGAGGUUGCUUCUUAUAGGCAUAAGAUGACAAGUUGGCAGGAAGUCCUGGCCACCAGUAGUUGAUCACCGGAGCGAUCAGCGCUGCUCCUGCUAGCCUGUUG
rnacentral:lncRNA from 1 species